ACGAGAAUGAGGCAAACACGGACCUUCCAGGCUUUAAUUCUAGCCGCGCAGAGCUUGAGGCGGCAUUCCUCAAGAAGGGUGGCCUCAACACGGUCGACAUGGUGGCCCUCUCCGGCGCGCACACCAUCGGCCAGGCGCAGUGCUCGACCUUUCGGGCUCGGAUCUACGGCGGCGACACCAACAUCAACACGGCCUAUGCGGCGUCGCUUAGGGCCAACUGCCCGCAGACAGUCGGCUCCGGUGACGGCAGCCUGGCGAAUCUGGACACGACGACGGCCAACACGUUCGACAACGCCUACUACACCAACCUCAUGUCCCAGAAGGGGCUCCUGCACUCGGACCAGGUGCUGUUCAACAACGACACCACCGACAACACCGUCCGGAACUUUGCGUCCAACCCGGCGGCGUUCAGCAGCGCCUUCACGACGGCCAUGAUCAAGAUGGGCAACAUCGCUCCCAAGACAGGGACGCAGGGCCAGAUCAGGCUCAGCUGCUCCAGGGUGAACUCGUGAUCGACGGACGAGCUGCUAUACCUACCAGCCGGCAGCUCGCUAGCACGAUACGUGAAUGAAUAAGGCGAACCAGUGGCCAAUAUAAACACCAGCACUUGAAAACGUCUAUUUUAAGUACGAGCGGCAGCAAAUCAUGCAGGCAUCUACAUAUAUAUGUAACAUCGAAUUCCCACUUUCUCAUGCAAAGGCAUGGAGAAUUAUUAUCGAUCCUACUAAUACUUGUAUACAUAAUGAAGAUAUGAACUUCUCUUUUUGACUUGGUAUGACGUGGCCAUGGAGAACUACUGUCAAUAAUCCUACAUACACUUGUAUACAUAGUGAAGAUAUACACUUCUCUUUUGACAUUUGACAUGAGGUAGCCGUUGUUGGCCCAGACCUAACGCACGCACACACAUUGUUGGAAUUAAACACGCCGGCCGUAUACGUGCCCAAGUCUGAUAUGUAUACGUAUCCGUGUAGAUUUCUAAAGCAUCAGCAAGUAGGACUAGUGCUAGUUGGUUUUAGCUAGAAUAAACAUCCCUGCACCCCUGUAACAAUUAUACAACCGCAAGAUUGAGAACAGAAGCAAUAAAGUAUACACAAGGCUCGAUACCAGCCUUUGGCAAUACGCCGGUGUCUCGCGUGCGUGCGUUUUGUGCUUCCGGCCGGCUACGUUGGUGUAGUUGUUGCACCUUCACAUAGGAUCGAUCAGGAGCAGCGCGACUACUUUGGGAUAGCUUUGCACUGCAUUGGUGGAUCAGUCAGGAGCCAGCUAGCGGUGUAUUUUGAAGUAAAGCAAUUCGUCGAGUUUGUCACCGUCGUCCUUCGUCAUCGGUCAUUGCCUAUCGUCGGAAAGUACUCGGCGUCAGGUCUGGACCAACAAUUGGUAUCUAGAGGGAGGUUGAUCUUCUAGUAACGGAAGAUCAUGUCGGAGGACGACAAGACCAAGUAGCUGGCGGCGUACUCCGGUGCGGCUAAAGUAUUUGCUGCUCCGGCGAGUUCGUCGUACCCACGAUUUGACCGCGAGAACUUCGGCGUCUGGAAGGCACUGAUGGAAUGUGGUCUCCACGUCAACGUGUUGUGGGACGCAGUCGAUCCAGGAGGCGACGCUUUCAAGAAGGGGGGAGCCGAGCACUGGAAGGAUCGGCAGGCGGCAUCGGCGAUUUACUCGGUGAUGUCGAUGGAUGUCCUCCAACACUUGAUCACCAAAGAAACGGCGAAGGAGGUGUGGGAUACCUUGGAGCUCAUGUUUGAGGGACACGACCGCGUCAAGCAAGCCAAUCUCCAAACUCUCUUAAGGAACUAUGAGACUUUGGUCAUGGGCGAUAAUGAGUCCGUGGAUCCGUUUGCUUCAUGGGUACCUACUCUCGUCAAUCGGAUCCGCGCACUUGGAGAGAAUCUAACGGAGGCCUUGGUUGUCCGUCGGUUCUUGCGUGCGGCUCCUCCCCGGUACCUGCAAAUUGUCAUGGCGAUCGAGCAGUGCGUCGAUCUCGCGACUCUCUCCAUUGAUGAUCUCGUCGGGCACUACAGGGCUCACGACGAGCGUAUGAGGUACAGUCUCGGGGACGAGAGGAACGAUGAGCUUGUCAUGCUCACGCGGGCUCUGUGGCAGGCGCUGGAAACAAGGAGAGAAGGUGAGGGCUCUAGCAGUUACGCUCGCCAAGAUCGUGUGCCAAACGAACAAAAUCAAAAGGACGCCAGCGAUGGUGCUCCGAAGAAGAAGAAGAAGUUCGGCAAGCGCAAGAUCAAGUGUCACAAUUGUGGCAUCAUGGGGCACUUCAAGUCGGAGUGCAAGAAUCCCCCAAAGGAGAAGGCGCUCAUGGCCCAGCAAGGAGAUGAAGGUGACAUGAUGUUGAUGCAUGUGUGAACUCAUGGACGAGGAGGAUCCAGUUCUUCAAGUGCUGGCUAAAGAAAUUGCCGCACUCCAUGAAGAAAAAGUUUGCUCUCAACAUCAUGGUUCGGAAACCCGUAUCGAUGCUACGGAUACGGGGGUGAUUCCAAAACUUACAGCAAUGCUACGAGUGUAAGUGCUACCUGAAGACAACAAAUCAAAGUAUGCUGAUGCAAAAGUAGGCACGUGCGCAACAGCUUUGUCAUGAUGUCCAUCAACAGACGAAGGCAUGGUGUCAGAAGUACACUACGCACGUGUUAUGGUGCCGGAAAACCAUAUCACACGACGAGCUAUGCCGCUCGGACCUGACGAGAAUCGCGCCGUGUCAGAGGAUGGCAAAGCGAGGGAAAAAGGUCCACUCCCGGCUGUGGUUGUGGAGAUUUCAGAUUUUGGACCGCGAAUUCACGGACGAGCAGCCGUCCGGUCGUCUACGGUCGCUCGGCUAGAAGACCCGAAGUUGGCUGUCCCGAUCAGCAGCAAAGGAGGUGGACUAGGCUGUAGUAUCCUACGUAGCAGUACAUCUUCAGCAAUAGGGUAUGGAGCAGAGCAGGACAUGGUGGAUUUGUUCCAUCACAUGAAGAAGCUCUACAAGUAGUUCGUAUGGCUGGAGGGAGCACAUGCAACGCAUCAAGUGAUCCAAAUGAAGGGCCAGGGAUACUAGGAAGCUUAGUUCGGGCUGGAUUUUUUGCUUCGCCAAAAGAAACGCGCGCAGCAGAAAUUUUCAUGUCGUCUCCGACAGUAAUGGAGGAAAGGACACCACCACGUAUAUCCAUAAAACUACAACCGGUGUUUCAUCCAUAUCCGGAGGAUACUCUUUGGACGAUUGACCCGGUAAAUAUCAAAGGAAGUGGGCGAAGGUGUCUAGCAAUUGCCGAGAAACCGGCAGAUUUUAAAGACGCAAAUAUGAAGGAGUGUUGGCAUCAUGCUAUGAAAGAAUAUUUGAGGUCGAUCCACGACAACAAUGCAUGGGAGCUUGUGGAUCUUCUCAACAAUGAAAAAAACCAUGGAGCUCAAGUGGGAAUUUACGAUCAAGAAAGAAGCUGAAGGAAAUUGUGUGAAGCACAAGGCGAAGCUAGUGGCCAAAGAGUACGUGCAAGAUGAAGGUGUGGACUUCGAAGAAGUGUUCGUUCCCGUUGCACGGAUGGAGUCGAUGAGAUUACUCAUCGCUCUCGUGGCUCAAGAAUCAUGGAAGAUACAUCACAUGGAUGUAAAAUCCACGGUUUUGAAUGAAGGAGAUGUGUUUGUGAAUCAACCACCGAGUUUCAUCAAAGAGGGAGAAGGACAUGAGGUAUUGAAUCUACGCAAAGUCUUGUAUGGGCGACGGCAAGACCUUCGGGCGUGGAGCAUCAAACUUGAUCAGACUAUGAUUUCUCUUGAAUUUGAGAAAGCCCCACUCGAGCAUGCAAUGUACAAGAGAGGUGAAGGUAGGGAUCGUCUACUUGUUGGCAUCUACGAUGACGAUCUAUUGAUAACUGGAGCAGAUGAAGAGGUGAUUGCAAAGUUCAAGCUACAAAUGUAGGAGCUUUUCAAGAUGGAUGAUCUAGGUCUUUUGAGUUGCUACCUCGGGCCAGAGGUGCAUCAAAAGUUGGAAGGGGUCACACUAUGCCAGGAGGCAUAUGCAAGAAAGGUACUUGAAAGCUGUAGCAUGAAAGAUUGCAAUCCGAUUGACGCUUCAAUGAAACCUCGUCUUGAGCUGAGCAAGAAGAAGAUGGCGAGACUACUCGGCUACAGUGGUAGUGACAAGGAAGGAAUUGUUGAAGACCGUAAGAGUACCUCAGACAUGGUAUAUUUCCUUGAUGAAAGCAUAGUAAGCUGGCUAUCACGAAAGCAGACAGUGGUGACAUCGACUUCAAGUGAAGGAGAGUGUCAAAGUGUGUGGCUAGGAAGGCUACACGGUGAUCUCAUGGAUCGAGAUCCGAAACGAGUAGUGCUCAAUGUUGACAGCGAGUCUAUGUUUUUUCUAUGCGAGGAUCCAGUGCGGCGUGACAGAAGCAAGCACAUUGAUACUAUGUAUGACUACAUGAAGGACCGCGUGGAGAAGAGAAGACGAAGGUCAACUACAAUCGCACCCAUGAUCAGCUGGUGGACAUGCUGAAUAAAGCUUUGGAUCGAGAGAAGAUCAUGAAGAUGUGAAGAAGGAUCGGCGUCGAAGCUGUGACAUGACGACGUCGUGUUUAAGGAGGUGAUUGUUGGAAUUAAACACACCGUGUACGCGCCCAAGUCUGAUAUGUGUAUGUAUCCGUGUAGAUUUCUAAAGCAUCACCGAGUAGGACUAGUGCUAGUUGGUUUUAGCUAGUAUAAAGAUCCCUAGCUGCAUCCCUGUAACAAUUAUACAACCGUAAGAUUGAGAACAGAAGCAAUAAAGUAUACACAAGGCUCGAUACCAGCCUUUGGCAAUACGCCGGUGUCUCGCGUGCGUGCGUAUUGUGCUUCCGGCCGGAUGGCCGUUGUGUGCGUACCUAUACGUUGACGUAGUUGCUGCAGCUUAACAAAGGGUCGAUCAGGAGCAACGCGGCUACUUUGGUAUAGCUUUGCACUGCAUUAAUGGUGGAUCGGUGAGGAGCUAGCUAGCGGUGUAUCUCGACGUAAAGCAAUUCGUGGAGUUUGUCAUUGUCUUCCUUCAUCAUCGGUCAUUGCCUAUCGUUGGAAAGUACUCGGCGUCAGGUCUGGGCCAACAGCCGUGGUCAAUUAAUUUAGGAGAAAACCUUUUUCUUCAAUGUGAGGAGAAAACUCAAGCAUGCGAACUAUACUUGCGACAUAUUUUCGUUUUUCUUUUCCAUUUUUUCCGUGUUCUUUCUAUUCUGUUCUUCUCUUUUUCACUUUCCCCUUCUUUUUUUUCAGGAUAAAAUAAGGUAGCUUUUUUCCAAAAGUACAUGGAAACCUGUCCUGAAAAAAUUAAUAUACUUCUUCCUUGCCAAAUUAUAAUGCAGAUAAGUUUUAUCAAACGCCAAACUUUCUAUACAUUUACUAAAUUCAUAUAAAAAUUAUUGAUAACUAGUCGUCAACCCGUGCACUCGCACGGUCUAGGUCUAGAUAUAUUGUGAAGCACUACUGGAAUUCACAAAGUAAUUUUAAAACAUAUGCAUGCACUUUUAAAGGGUUGGUUCUGAAAAAUGCACAAAAAUUUAUUGAUGUUUCUACAUAUUGUAUUUUGUUUUCUUACAAAUACGGUCAUUUGUAAGCUACACAAAAGGGCAAAAUUGUGCCUCCAAAAAUCGAGAAGGUGAGUCUAGAUGGAUCGAUAUAUUUGCCCUUCUAUUGCAUACACCACGGAUGCAAAGGUAUAUUAAUAAAACUAUGCACACACAUACUACUACACAUUAUUCUUACAUGUAUAAUUAUUGGCUUUUUUGAGGUUUCAAAAUACUGUUUAUGUUCUCUCUUUUUUAUGAGGCUCCAUGUACGUGGGCUCUUAUUUUAUUUGUCGAUAUCGCAUAUCAUGUGCCUUGUUGUCAUGGUUUUAAUGGUAACACUUGCAUUUAACCACAAAUGGAAGCUUGAAAACCUUAUAAUAAAAUGCUCAGGCGUGAUAAAGUCCAAUAAAAAAUAACAUACACAUCAUGGCAUGUCAGUUAGAGAAAUUUCAAACUUAAAUUAUGAAAGAGAAUAAUUGAAAUGUGGCCAUAUCUUACCUGUGCAUAAAUCUGUAAUAUUUUUCUUUCUGGGUGUAGCCAAGUAUGUAUAUUUCACCUCUUGGUAUUUCAUGAUGCACUGAUAUACAUAAUUUGUACCUGAAAAAAAUCUAGCAAAAACGUAUUAUGGUAAAUAGCAUCCAACAAGCAUAUAUAAUGUACAGAAAAGAACGAUCGUACAUCUGCACAUAUAUAAGGGAUCUCUGUCCCUUCUCUUAUGUUAUAUGGAUCACAGUGACAACUUGAGAUAUGAUCAAAAUGACUACCCCCAUGUAAUUGGCUUAUAAUAAAACCCAUGAUAUGCAACAAUAUGAACAGAACCUUGUGUACUCUAUGAGUUAACAUAUAGACACAUGUCUUACGAUGUAAACUUUUCUGUAGUUCAUAAUAAUACAUCCAGAAAAUUUCUUAAAUAUAUGGUAGUAGUACUCUUUUUAUUCUCGUUGCAGUAAUUAAGGAAAUAUAGAUAUGAAGAGCAACCUUGUCACUCUAUUGCAUGCCAUAAAGACAAUUGUCUAAAGAACAAUUUAAACGCAAAUGAAUGUAGAAAUCCUUGUGGACAUAAUUCUGCUCAAAUCUUUUUCCCACUGAUCAUAAAUACUAAAGAAACCAAUUCCAUAAUCAUACAUGCAGAUUACCAUAUUAGAAAGUGCAGAAAAAUAAUAUUAUCUACAAGCCUUAAUUUUAGUUAUGUAGAGGUCUGGCGCCACCACCUUUAUGAGAACAGCAGUUACUUUACUGUAAAAAAUAACCACUAAAAUCUCCAGUACAUAUAAUAAUCAGUUAUUUUCACAUUCAACAUAAAUAGGUGAUGCAAUUUACUUUCUCUUGUAGAGUAGUACAUACCAUAUACUCAUGCAUCUCACGGACCUGCUGAUCAGGUCUUAUUACUGUUGACUGCACACCAUUCUCUUCCACAAACAAAUUUAUCAUGGAACCUGAUGGUCGUUCAUAGAUUCUCCUUAGACUUUCACUUGUAUCUCUCGUAAUUAUAUAAAUUAUUUUGACUUGCAGGAAUUUCAUCCAACAUCUAGCCAAAAAUUAAGGAAAAAUAUAGCUGCGACAUCAUCCAAACAAAAUUGUACAGUGAAUCGUGGAAAAGAUGCGACAAAAUUCAGUGCAUUGAAGUGACCUCUCUGCCUCGAUGCUAGCUACUAAUAUUGAAGCUAACUACUAGUAUUCGACACAUUCAUGUUUGGGACACCUAGGUGCCCAAGCUCCUUACCUUUCCACCGUUAGAUUGCAUUUAUAUGCGUGUUGUUAUAUGGAUAUUGAAGUUAAUGGGUAUAUUUAUUUGGAAACAAUUACAAUGCUAAUCAUAAAUGGAUAUUAUGAUCCCACGUCAUGCAUGGUAAUAAUUUUCUAGCAUGCAAAAUAAAUGACAUACAUUCCAUUUCUUCUGUAUAUAUAAUUAGGAGAGAGAAAAAUUAGAAAUUAGUACCGUAUGAUUGUAUUCUAAACGAUUUGUAUAUUUAUGAUUUGCGAUAUGUUAGUAUACUUGGAUACCUACAACAUUUCUAUACCAUUGUAUAUAUUAAAAGUAUGUAAACAUACUUAAAAGGGUAACUGAGUAAAUCAGUUUAAGUUUGUUACAUGUAGAUAAAGUAAUAAUAUGUACGUACUAAUAAGUUAUUUUGCAUGGGCGUACUACUAAGUCGCACAUACCCAAAAAUAUAUUGAGCAUAAGAAUAUCUGAGAAUAUGUUGGGUACUAAAAAAACACAUAUUUGUAAAUACUAUAUUUAUCAGAAAAUAUACUAUUAUACGGAUAUCUCUUCAAGCAUAUACUUAUUCUCAAAAUGAAUAUUUGUUGGGGUAUGUGCAUACCCGUCGUAUUUCUCUGCAUACCCCCACAUGCGAGAUUUGUAUACGGAUAUUCGGAUACCUAUCGAUGUCAUAAUUCAUGUAGUCGGGUAUGUAUGUAUCCAUAUUUUAUUUUAUAUAAGUGUAUGGGAUAGCUAUAACAAUCUUCUACCCUUUUAUAUAUAACCGGGUGUAUAUAUGUGCAGACAUAUUGGUUAUAUAGUUUUAUUUUUUAGUUCAUUGGGUAUAUACUGAAAUAUUUAUGUGAGCAUGUCGUAUAACAUAUUUGGGUACACUAGGAGAUCAUUAGGUAUAUUUUACGUAGCCGAGUAUAUGUGUAGCUAUAUUUUACAUGGCCUGGUAUAUACGUAGCCACGUAUAUACAUAAUUUAGUUACGAGAUACCGGAUAUCAGUAUUAGGUCAUACUGGACACAGAUAGCCUGGACCUAGUUCAACUAUGGAACUUACGUCACAACUCUCGUUCAGUGGUGGCGCCUAUCUUAGAUGAGAUAGGGGAGCACGUAGAUGUUUUUACUUCUUUUUGCAUUCAGCAUUGUAAUAGGGAGGCCAAUAAUCCUGUCCAUCUGUGUGCUAAGCAAGCAAGCACACGUGAUGUGAUAGAAUGUUGGCUUGACUCAAAACCUAGCUUUCUUGUAACGUCCCUUUUGACCAAUUCUGUCGGGGCUUUUGCUGAAUAAAAUCCCAUAUCUCCACUAAAAAAAGGAUACCAGAUAUCAUAUCAGUAUUAGGUAGUUAUGAAAUCAGUAAAUUUUCCGGUAUAUACGAACCCGGGUAUGUACAUUAUUUCAUUAUUAAUGGGUGUUCGAUGUCCAUAUUAGAUAGUAAGGAAAAAUGAAAUAGUUCAAGAAAAAUACACGCAUUAGAUAACCAUAGCAGUUUCAAUAAAAUAAAACAGUAAUACUAUUUAUUGUAUGGCAAGUGUUGUAUGCCUAAUAAUUAGGAAACAAAAACAGAAUCAUAUGUAUGCAAAGUCUUGCAUUGCAUGAGGAAUAAUUAGGAAACUAAUGAAAUAUAUCACGGUUUCCAAAACAAUUAAGGUGCCCAUGCACCUAGGUGCCCCAAACAUUUUAUCUAUAUAUAUANGCCUUGCCAGCCCGCUCAGAGAUGUGUAUAAGAGACAGAUAUAUAUAUAUACAUACAUGCGCUAUCACGUGCUAACGGUAUUCUCCGUUUGGUGAUAUGACCUCAUCAAGGAAGAAUCCCUCCAAUUUCUCUUGAAUUGCUUGUAUGCGAUUUUCUGGUAGGAGUUCAUCCCUCUUCCGUUGGAUCUAAUUUAAAGAAGGGGUCAAUAUGAAAGUCAACAAAAUCGAUGGUAAUAAAAUAAAAUUGUGAAUAUUGUUUGCGUACGUCAAGUUGUUCAAAAUUUAUUCCCGUCUCGAGGUCAUCAUGCGAAUGAAGUCGCAAACGUAGUAUCCACAUAAGCUAUUCCCGUCUAAUUCACUUCGGAACUAUACGAUAAUAGAGUUCAAUCAUAAUAAUAAUCAAGCAUUGUAAUGGUAUUAAAACUAAUCAAAGAGGUGCGCGGACCUAGCUAGUACUACUUACAGUGAUUUGUUGAAAUCGCAACUCCUUUCUCCGUUCACCACUAGUCUUGUUGGUGAACUGUUUCCAAAUCCUAUCUGGCAAAGAAAAUGAAUAUAUAAAGGAAUUAUUAACUUUGGCCAAUAUCUUCAUAAUUGUUGUUAUAAUCAUCAACAUCAUCAAUAAUUGAGAUCAGAUGGGUUUUCUCCAACCAAGUUAGAUCGGAGCGAUGACUGUAGUAGGUCCUGUCUAAUGUCUUGUGAGUUUUUUUAAGAAGAGAAAUAAGUUGUCAAUUAAAGAUAAACAAGUUAAGUAGGGAUGAACACCAACUAUUUUUAAAUAAACAAUUCAAAUCACUUAACAAAUAUGGUUGUCAAACUCACACUGAGGUCAAACUGGAAGCAUAUUGACAUCCAUCCAAAUGUCGAUAUUACCUUCAAUAUCAUGUUCACGACGAAUAUCGAAGGUUAUUUCUAUAUCAUCAUGAAAUCCAUAUGCCUUUCCUAGAGCUUUCCAAGUUGAGCAACCAAAAUGCGAGUGAUUAAUUGCAUUGUUGUGACGCCCCCGAUUUGAUCACACGCUAAUCAUGCACGCAAAUGCGUACGACUAAGCUCAAUGACUCAUGGGAAGAUAUCACAACACAACUCUAAACACAAAUAAAAACAUACAAGCCUCGUAUUAUAAGUCAGGGGCCUUGAAGUCUAGAAUACAGAAGUUCGAGAAAUACAUGAGUCAACGGAAGCAAAAAAUAUCUGAGUACAGACAUAAAACAAGGAUAAUGCCUUAGAUAAGGCUAGCAUCAAAGAUACAUCGAUAGACGAGGCGAAGCCUCCUGCCUGGAAACCUCCUAAACUAACUCCUAAUCGUUAGCGGCCUCCACGUAGAAGUAGCCACCGUCGGGGUAGUAGUCGUCGUCGGCGGGGUAUGCCAUCUCUUGGGCUCCAUCAUCUGGUCACAACAAUCUAUCAAGGGGAAAAGGGGGAGUAAAGCAAAGUACUCACAAGACUGACAUCAGAACCAUGCUAGUUAUGCAUCAGUAUCAAGGGAAAGGGGUUAUAUGUGGACUGACUACAGUAAUGUGAGAAUAGAGAAAAGGGGCUAGUCCUAUCGAAGACUAGCAUCUUCGGUGUCUUGAAGCAAUAGACGAGACAAAGCAAGUAACACAAAUAUAUAGUCAUAUUGUUGCAAUAAUUUUAAUUCAAGUCACACCCAAAAAUUCUUCCUCGACUCCCUGCGAGAAAGCAAUCCCGGAGCAAACUUUCCAGUUAAGUAACAGUUGAAGUUGUAUAAGAUCGGGGCACAACUCCAAGUCGUCUUCUAACUCUGGACACAACUAUUCGAAUAGUUAAUUUUCAUCUCUGCAGGGGUGCACCACAGUACCCAACACGCUUGAUAAACUCUGACCGGACACACUUUCCUCGGUCAUGCCCGGCCUCGGAACAUCAGCACAUCGCAGCCCUACCUAGGCUCAACAGAGAGGCCAGCCCACUGGUCUAAAUCCUAAACGCGCAGGGGUCAUGGGACCAUCACUCUUUGCACUCCUACAUGAUGCGUGUGCGACCGAUGUUAGUCCGGGCACCUCUUAUACAAUACGAUGCUUACACGGCCCACUCGAGCGUGUGCCGCUCCAUUGCUGACGUCUGAAGAGUUUCGGCUGAUACCACGACGUCGAGUACCCAUAACUUCUCCACGUGAAGGUUAGUGUGAAAAGUUCUCCCGACCAACUCAGAUCAAAUACCCAACUCCCAUUAGCAUUUUAAUUAACACUGCGUCGAUGAUCAGUAUUCCACGAUAUGUGGUCCCGUUGCCCCGUCUCGAGGAUGUGUGGCAAGGGCGAAGAAUGCCUGGCCAGACCUCGUCACAUUCACGCGGGAAUCCACCCGCAACACACCUCUUCAUGUCCCCAGUAGAAAAUUCAAGUAAUUGUGUGCUUGUAACAUUGGAGGGAUCGGAGUAUCACCCUUGAUGGAUUCCGAACGAUGUAAUCGUCAAGGUGGCCAGGGAGGAAUCACCCUCGAUGGACCACGCUUGAUGGGUUGUACGACAGAGUCGUUAUCGGAGGUUGUGAAGGAGGAAUCACCCUCCGAGAGCCACCGCCUGUUAAUUACACUACAUAGCUAACAUCAGGAGUACGUAUCGAGGUGUCACCCUUGGUACUCGAUAGUAGAUCUGCACCGUCGUAAAACUAAGGGGGUGUGAGUGAUGUGACAGGUCUUGGCUCGUCGAUCAGUAGAUCGAUACUUGGUGAUAAAGCGACGCAACUGGAUUAAGGGGUAAAUGGGGAUCACUGCUCCACCUAUACUAAACAGUUUAAAGUGCGAUAGAGUAAAGUAGCAGUUCAUCAAAAACAGAUUAUGCAUCAGAAUAGGAGCUAUCUACAAUAGUACCAAAAUCUAGGGGGGUUUGCUUGCCUUUGUUGCUCUGCGGCAAAGGGCUGGUCGUCAAGAGGGUAGUCGUACCCGUCAUCAGCGUAAGUGUUAGUGUCUACCAGAGAGAAGAGGGGGAAGAAACAAUAAAUAUAAAGCAUACAGAUGCAUCACUACGCAUGACAUGAAAAAAUAUAGUGCUAGGCGAACGUGACAGAAGAACAGACAACGUAUUCAAAUUCGUCGGAUUUUUUGAUCAACUUUCAUGUAUAAAACUUUUUCAUCCAAGCUACGAACUAUUUUAUAUGAUUUUGUAAUGUUUAAAGAAUAUUCUGAAAUUAUUAUUAAUUAGAAAAAUAACAGAAAUACUUUUUAUACCCACUGAGGGCUAACCACAGUGUAUGACUGGUGUGUCGAGGGGGUCCCAAUUGACCCAGUCAACUAUCAAGUCAGCACCAGUUGACUUGGGUAAACUGACAUGUGGGCCCCCCGUGUGAUAAGCACAAUUGAAUAACCAGUAUUAAUUAAGUUAACUAUCUAAUUCAUUGAUUAAUUAGCUAAUUAGCUAACUAAUUAUUAAUAUUAUUUAUUUAUAUUAUCAUCAUUAUUAUUCAUUUUUGUAAGUGUCGGGCCCAUGUUGUAGUGACACAAGGCCACCACAGAGGGUGUCGGGCUUGUACGUGCCCACGGGAGGGGCUGGCCAUGACAAGCAUGUCCCUCGAGAGGCAGAGAGUGGCGGUUGGCAAGCGCGGGGUGCAACGGCGAUGGCCGGAGGCUGUGGCCGGUAGUGGCGGGCGUAGCGAGAACAGCAGACAGUGCNNNNNNNNNNNNNNNNNNNNNNNNNNNNNNNNNNNNNNNNNNNNNNNNNNNNNNNNNNNNNNNNNNNNNNNNNNNNNNNNNNNNNNNNNNNNNNNNNNNNNNNNNNNNNNNNNNNNNNNNNNNNNNNNNNNNNNNNNNNNNNNNNNNNNNNNNNNNNNNNNNNNNNNNNNNNNNNNNNNNNNNNNNNNNNNNNNNNNNNNNNNNNNNNNNNNNNNNNNNNNNNNNNNNNNNNNNNNNNNNNNNNNNNNNNNNNNNNNNNNNNNNNNNNNNNNNNNNNNNNNNNNNNNNNNNNNNNNNNNNNNNNNNNNNNNNNNNNNNNNNNNNNNNNNNNNNNNNNNNNNNNNNNNNNNNNNNNNNNNNNNNNNNNNNNNNNNNNNNNNNNNNNNNNNNNNNNNNNNNNNNNNNNNNNNNNNNNNNNNNNNNNNNNNNNNNNNNNNNNNNNNNNNNNNNNNNNNNNNNNNNNNNNNNNNNNNNNNNNNNNNNNNNNNNNNNNNNNNNNNNNNNNNNNNNNNNNNNNNNNNNNNNNNNNNNNNNNNNNNNNNNNNNNNNNNNNNNNNNNNNNNNNNNNNNNNNNNNNNNNNNNNNNNNNNNNNNNNNNNNNNNNNNNNNNNNNNNNNNNNNNNNNNNNNNNNNNNNNNNNNNNNNNNNNNNNNNNNNNNNNNNNNNNNNNNNNNNNNNNNNNNNNNNNNNNNNNNNNNNNNNNNNNNNNNNNNNNNNNNNNNNNNNNNNNNNNNNNNNNNNNNNNNNNNNNNNNNNNNNNNNNNNNNNNNNNNNNNNNNNNNNNNNNNNNNNNNNNNNNNNNNNNNNNNNNNNNNNNNNNNNNNNNNNNNNNNNNNNNNNNNNNNNNNNNNNNNNNNNNNNNNNNNNNNNNNNNNNNNNNNNNNNNNNNNNNNNNNNNNNNNNNNNNNNNNNNNNNNNNNNNNNNNNNNNNNNNNNNNNNNNNNNNNNNNNNNNNNNNNNNNNNNNNNNNNNNNNNNNNNNNNNNNNNNNNNNNNNNNNNNNNNNNNNNNNNNNNNNNNNNNNNNNNNNNNNNNNNNNNNNNNNNNNNNNNNNNNNNNNNNNNNNNNNNNNNNNNNNNNNNNNNNNNNNNNNNNNNNNNNNNNNNNNNNNNNNNNNNNNNNNNNNNNNNNNNNNNNNNNNNNNNNNNNNNNNNNNNNNNNNNNNNNNNNNNNNNNNNNNNNNNNNNNNNNNNNNNNNNNNNNNNNNNNNNNNNNNNNNNNNNNNNNNNNNNNNNNNNNNNNNNNNNNNNNNNNNNNNNNNNNNNNNNNNNNNNNNNNNNNNNNNNNNNNNNNNNNNNNNNNNNNNNNNNNNNNNNNNNNNNNNNNNNNNNNNNNNNNNNNNNNNNNNNNNNNNNNNNNNNNNNNNNNNNNNNNNNNNNNNNNNNNNNNNNNNNNNNNNNNNNNNNNNNNNNNNNNNNNNNNNNNNNNNNNNNNNNNNNNNNNNNNNNNNNNNNNNNNNNNNNNNNNNNNNNNNNNNNNNNNNNNNNNNNNNNNNNNNNNNNNNNNNNNNNNNNNNNNNNNNNNNNNNNNNNNNNNNNNNNNNNNNNNNNNNNNNNNNNNNNNNNNNNNNNNNNNNNNNNNNNNNNNNNNNNNNNNNNNNNNNNNNNNNNNNNNNNNNNNNNNNNNNNNNNNNNNNNNNNNNNNNNNNNNNNNNNNNNNNNNNNNNNNNNNNNNNNNNNNNNNNNNNNNNNNNNNNNNNNNNNNNNNNNNNNNNNNNNNNNNNNNNNNNNNNNNNNNNNNNNNNNNNNNNNNNNNNNNNNNNNNNNNNNNNNNNNNNNNNNNNNNNNNNNNNNNNNNNNNNNNNNNNNNNNNNNNNNNNNNNNNNNNNNNNNNNNNNNNNNNNNNNNNNNNNNNNNNNNNNNNNNNNNNNNNNNNNNNNNNNNNNNNNNNNNNNNNNNNNNNNNNNNNNNNNNNNNNNNNNNNNNNNNNNNNNNNNNNNNNNNNNNNNNNNNNNNNNNNNNNNNNNNNNNNNNNNNNNNNNNNNNNNNNNNNNNNNNNNNNNNNNNNNNNNNNNNNNNNNNNNNNNNNNNNNNNNNNNNNNNNNNNNNNNNNNNNNNNNNNNNNNNNNNNNNNNNNNNNNNNNNNNNNNNNNNNNNNNNNNNNNNNNNNNNNNNNNNNNNNNNNNNNNNNNNNNNNNNNNNNNNNNNNNNNNNNNNNNNNNNNNNNNNNNNNNNNNNNNNNNNNNNNNNNNNNNNNNNNNNNNNNNNNNNNNNNNNNNNNNNNNNNNNNNNNNNNNNNNNNNNNNNNNNNNNNNNNNNNNNNNNNNNNNNNNNNNNNNNNNNNNNNNNNNNNNNNNNNNNNNNNNNNNNNNNNNNNNNNNNNNNNNNNNNNNNNNNNNNNNNNNNNNNNNNNNNNNNNNNNNNNNNNNNNNNNNNNNNNNNNNNNNNNNNNNNNNNNNNNNNNNNNNNNNNNNNNNNNNNNNNNNNNNNNNNNNNNNNNNNNNNNNNNNNNNNNNNNNNNNNNNNNNNNNNNNNNNNNNNNNNNNNNNNNNNNNNNNNNNNNNNNNNNNNNNNNNNNNNNNNNNNNNNNNNNNNNNNNNNNNNNNNNNNNNNNNNNNNNNNNNNNNNNNNNNNNNNNNNNNNNNNNNNNNNNNNNNNNNNNNNNNNNNNNNNNNNNNNNNNNNNNNNNNNNNNNNNNNNNNNNNNNNNNNNNNNNNNNNNNNNNNNNNNNNNNNNNNNNNNNNNNNNNNNNNNNNNNNNNNNNNNNNNNNNNNNNNNNNNNNNNNNNNNNNNNNNNNNNNNNNNNNNNNNNNNNNNNNNNNNNNNNNNNNNNNNNNNNNNNNNNNNNNNNNNNNNNNNNNNNNNNNNNNNNNNNNNNNNNNNNNNNNNNNNNNNNNNNNNNNNNNNNNNNNNNNNNNNNNNNNNNNNNNNNNNNNNNNNNNNNNNNNNNNNNNNNNNNNNNNNNNNNNNNNNNNNNNNNNNNNNNNNNNNNNNNNNNNNNNNNNNNNNNNNNNNNNNNNNNNNNNNNNNNNNNNNNNNNNNNNNNNNNNNNNNNNNNNNNNNNNNNNNNNNNNNNNNNNNNNNNNNNNNNNNNNNNNNNNNNNNNNNNNNNNNNNNNNNNNNNNNNNNNNNNNNNNNNNNNNNNNNNNNNNNNNNNNNNNNNNNNNNNNNNNNNNNNNNNNNNNNNNNNNNNNNNNNNNNNNNNNNNNNNNNNNNNNNNNNNNNNNNNNNNNNNNNNNNNNNNNNNNNNNNNNNNNNNNNNNNNNNNNNNNNNNNNNNNNNNNNNNNNNNNNNNNNNNNNNNNNNNNNNNNNNNNNNNNNNNNNNNNNNNNNNNNNNNNNNNNNNNNNNNNNNNNNNNNNNNNNNNNNNNNNNNNNNNNNNNNNNNNNNNNNNNNNNNNNNNNNNNNNNNNNNNNNNNNNNNNNNNNNNNNNNNNNNNNNNNNNNNNNNNNNNNNNNNNNNNNNNNNNNNNNNNNNNNNNNNNNNNNNNNNNNNNNNNNNNNNNNNNNNNNNNNNNNNNNNNNNNNNNNNNNNNNNNNNNNNNNNNNNNNNNNNNNNNNNNNNNNNNNNNNNNNNNNNNNNNNNNNNNNNNNNNNNNNNNNNNNNNNNNNNNNNNNNNNNNNNNNNNNNNNNNNNNNNNNNNNNNNNNNNNNNNNNNNNNNNNNNNNNNNNNNNNNNNNNNNNNNNNNNNNNNNNNNNNNNNNNNNNNNNNNNNNNNNNNNNNNNNNNNNNNNNNNNNNNNNNNNNNNNNNNNNNNNNNNNNNNNNNNNNNNNNNNNNNNNNNNNNNNNNNNNNNNNNNNNNNNNNNNNNNNNNNNNNNNNNNNNNNNNNNNNNNNNNNNNNNNNNNNNNNNNNNNNNNNNNNNNNNNNNNNNNNNNNNNNNNNNNNNNNNNNNNNNNNNNNNNNNNNNNNNNNNNNNNNNNNNNNNNNNNNNNNNNNNNNNNNNNNNNNNNNNNNNNNNNNNNNNNNNNNNNNNNNNNNNNNNNNNNNNNNNNNNNNNNNNNNNNNNNNNNNNNNNNNNNNNNNNNNNNNNNNNNNNNNNNNNNNNNNNNNNNNNNNNNNNNNNNNNNNNNNNNNNNNNNNNNNNNNNNNNNNNNNNNNNNNNNNNNNNNNNNNNNNNNNNNNNNNNNNNNNNNNNNNNNNNNNNNNNNNNNNNNNNNNNNNNNNNNNNNNNNNNNNNNNNNNNNNNNNNNNNNNNNNNNNNNNNNNNNNNNNNNNNNNNNNNNNNNNNNNNNNNNNNNNNNNNNNNNNNNNNNNNNNNNNNNNNNNNNNNNNNNNNNNNNNNNNNNNNNNNNNNNNNNNNNNNNNNNNNNNNNNNNNNNNNNNNNNNNNNNNNNNNNNNNNNNNNNNNNNNNNNNNNNNNNNNNNNNNNNNNNNNNNNNNNNNNNNNNNNNNNNNNNNNNNNNNNNNNNNNNNNNNNNNNNNNNNNNNNNNNNNNNNNNNNNNNNNNNNNNNNNNNNNNNNNNNNNNNNNNNNNNNNNNNNNNNNNNNNNNNNNNNNNNNNNNNNNNNNNNNNNNNNNNNNNNNNNNNNNNNNNNNNNNNNNNNNNNNNNNNNNNNNNNNNGCACGGGCGGGUGCCACAGUCGAUAGCGGCGGCCAGCAAGGGAGCGUGGCGGCGCGAGCAUAAUGACGAGCAGCGGCGGGCGGAUAGGGGGCGAGCGGGGCUCCAGCGGGGAGAGUGCGGGUGCGGUGGCACUAUGGCAUGCGUGGGUCGGAGCGGGGCUAGGGGCGGCGAUCAAAGGGUUUGCUAGAGGGAGGAAGGGAAGAGAGGGGAGGGGUCAGCUCAGGGCUCACUUGUGGCUGAAGGGGUGGCAGAGGCUCAGGGAGGCGUGGGGAGAGCCGGCUGGUAGAGGCAGCCGGAGGCGGGGUGGUGUUGGUGCGGGGCGGCGGGUCAGGGGUAACCGGAGGUCGCAACCGCCAUGGAUAGUGUCUUGGGAGGGAGGUGAGGGAGUGAGUUGGGAGGGUGAGGGAAUUAGGUUUCCUGGGGGGGGGUGUUAUAUACCCCGAGGUGGCAGGGUGGGCUGGCAGGGCCGGUUGGCCUGGUGGGCUGAGGGCAGUUGGGCAGGGGCCUUUUAUUUUUUUAAUAUUGUUCUAUAGCUUCUACUUUAUUUAUUUUUAGCUCAAAAUUCACUUUUGUAAAAUAAGGGAUAGGGUCCAUUAGUUGUGUUGCCAAAUAAGGUAUCACCACAAAAUGUUUGAGGAUUAUUUGAAGUAGUUUGAAUCUUCUAUAAUUUAGAAGACAUUUAAAAAAUAGUUUUAGCCUCGAUUUUAAUUGUUUUGAGGUACUUAGAUACUCACAAAAUGUUGGUUUCAAUUUAAGAAGUACUUAAAGAAUAUUUGCAACCCAACCAAGAUUUUUCUUUUACAGUUUGAAGAAAUAAUUUAUUAGACUUCAUUUUUAAUUUAAAAAUGGCUUUUGAUUUUUAUCAAGUGGAAAGUUUGCUUAGUUUACCUGGAUGACACGAUAUUAUUAGUGUGUGAUUAAUGUAGCUUAACUAUCGGGCCGUCACAAUUGUAUAGUUUAACUAGAAAUGUGAAACCAUGUUUAGUUUUUAGGUGAGUUCUUUUCGUCUUCAUAUUCUUCAUUUCUUGGAAACAGAGCUUCUUCAAGACAUACGAUCUUGCAUGGCGUGGGAUGAACUAGUCGAGUUGUAAAAAAAACAGAUUUUACACGUUGAAGCAAAUUAAGUAACACAAACCAAAGAAGCAAAAAUAGUGGUCAUCAUUGCAUACCGUAAAAACAUCAAAAGUCUCGUCAACCUUGAUGGUGAAGAACUUGCCGUCUCACAAGUGAGGUUGGCGGUCGCACAUACCCCGAUUUUCACCGCAAUAAUCACACUCAGGGAUCCCCUUGUUCCACGCACUCGAUAUUUCCUACUUUCUAGCACAAGUCAUGUCAAAUUUUUUGCAUGAACUUCUCUUAAAACAAGAUACGUUGAACUCGUGAAAUUUGCCGGAACGGAAAUGAAUCAAGAUUCCGUUAAAACAUAGGCCAUUGAGAGGUGUUCCCUGCAAUAACAUACACACAUGUACAAAUAGAUCUAAAUUUUUUUGCUAAAAAUUUCUAGACCUACAAUUUUUUUACUAGAAAUUUCUAGACCUAAUAUUUUUACUACAAAUUUAUAUUAAUGAAGUCCUAGGAAAUUCAAUACCUAAAAAUUUCUCAUCUACAAGCAAAACUACUCGAGGCUACACAUGUGGCGGAUGGGAGGCUACCUAUGGCGGCGAUGGACGGCCGGGAUGGGGAAGCGCGACGGGAGGGCUGGGAUGUGGGGGAGGGCGGCUGCGCGUGGGAGGGAGGCCGUGCUGCGGGGGUGGGGGCGGUGUAGGGAGUGCGAGCGAGUGUGAAGAGGGAGAGAGUAAGAGAGCCAUGACGCGUGGAAGAAGUAGAUAUGGUAUGACUUAGGAGUAGCGCGUGUUCGAAACAGACGGUACUGCUAAGUUGGAGAAGGGAGUGGUGGACCUGGGCUACCACAGCAGCAGCGCUAGCCAAGAGCAAGCGCUACUGCUAAUACGAUUAGCAGUAGCGCUUGUCAUCACCAAGCGCUCCUACUAAUUAAGAGUAGUGCCGGCCACAUUAAAACAACUACAGGUAAUAUUCUACCUAUAAGUUUUUUUCUAGUAGUGUUUGGCUUGCAAUAUGAAGAACGUUGCCUAUAAGAUGCGCCGUCACCGGCAGUGGGAGGGGAGGAGGAGUUGGCAUCGCGGGUAGGUGCGGGCAUCGUCGAGGGGAUGUCUCCCCCGACGCGUCGGGCACCCCGCACCCCAAACAAGAAAGAGGAGAGGUACAAGCUCAUGUUGGAUCCUCAAAAGGAGAUGAUGGAGUGGGGCCAAUCAAGGGCGGAGAGGAGGAUUGAAAUUGAGAAGGAGAAGAUUGAGCUGGAGAAGCAAGAGACGACGAUCAAAUGGGAAUUCGAGAAGGCCAAUACAUUAGGGAGAUUGAACUCGAGAAGGAGAGGUUGCAACUCGCACGGGACGCAGAUGAUGCGAAGAUCAUGUUGACGGACGAAAUCUACUUGGAUACACCUGCAAAGAAGUGGCUUGCGGAGAAGAAGAAGGAGAUCAACGAGUGUAGGGCGCAGGACGCAGCGAGGGCGGUUGUGGUAGCGGAGCACGCGGCCAGGAUAUAGGCGGAGCCCGUAGCCGGAUGCAGGUGGAGCACGAAGCCAGGCAGAGCAGGACAAGCUGCACGAGUAGGACGCAUGGAUAGGCGUGUCCGGCUAGUGUUCCAACAAGCAUUCCUUCUUACUCAUACAUUGAUUUUAUUUUAGCAUGUCCGAUUUAUUGAACUGUGCUUUAAUUUGCUUUAUUUCAAACUGUUAAAUUCAAACAAUUUGUGUCAGAUGAUCUACGUGCUUGGAUUACUUGGAUUUAAAUGUUUCAUUUAAGUUAUCUGAAUGUGGAUCGCAACAUAUGAGGGCCGAUGCGCCCGCGGGCAUAUAGGGAUCGGAUUACCGGAUGUAGAUGCUUUAAAAAACCUGGACUUGAAAAAUAUCCUGAAUCAUAAGCAUUGUUAUUUUAGAGAAAAAUAAAAACUUAGUUUUUCCACCGAACACAUGUGGCUGUUAACAUGGGAAUGCCAGCAAGACAGCCAUGCGAAAUUUGUCACGUAGUUAGGAUUUCUUCGACAGGUGUCAAAAACCAAUUUGAGUGAUCGAGAUUUAUAGGUGGAGAUAAAAGUAAUAUAUACAUCGGUAUUAAUCUGCAGGGACGUUUCGUGUAUGUGUUUAUCCUUCUUUUGUUUACUAGGACAAUACCUGCGCGUUGUCACGGGAAAAAAAUAAUUCAUUUAUUAUUCUUUCAACCAUUAGUUCAUUUGUAAAUUCAAUUUUGAGUUGUCGCGCAUGAAAAGACAUGAUGUCUCUUCUUCAUCUGUCGGUUUACUAUUGACUUAUCACGAAUGAAAUCUCCAUCAUUAAUCCUUCUCCCUGUUACACUCUCAAUUUUUCUUUUCAAAUAUUAUUCUUCCUAAUUUACAUGUAUGGCCAGAAUGAAUGUUAUUGCUGAUGCACAAGCAUGGCUUCAUCGUGUAUUUUUCUUAUCUUAAUAGUUAAACCAACCCUUUUCAUUUAUCAACAGCCCUUAUACUCGACACAAACAAGCAAAUACAUAACACACCGAUAGACCAAAUAAUAAACUUUUAUGAAGAGAACAGUGGACAGUGCAGUUGCAGAUCGAUAAAAGAAGUGAUAUGCACACUAGUAGAAAAAGGCCCAUUUGUCCAGGUUUUAGAGGUCCAUUAGCUCCGGUUCUGGAACCGGGACUAAAGGGUCGGGACUAAUGGCCCAAACCUUUAGUCCCGGUUGGCUUACGAACCGGGCCCAAAGGAGCUCCACGUGGCCGCUGCGGGGAGCCCAGGCAGGAGGAACUUUAGUCCCGAUUGGUCACACCAACCGGGAUCAAAUGACAUCAACGCGUCAGCAUCUGGCCCGAGCUGGGUUUUUUUUGAAUGGGGGGGGGGUUGGAGGGUUAAUUUAGUGGUUUCAUAUUGUGUUAGCUAGCUAAUAGAGAGAAGUGGCCUCUCUUUCUCCGUGCUUGGUCGAUGCUAGCUACUAUACAUAUAGAAAGAACUUGACGCUAGCUAAUAAGAAAAUGAAGGAAAUCAUUUACAAUGCUUAACAUAUAUAUGCAAUAUAACAUAUUCUACAAUCCCUAACAUCAUCUAAUUAAGAUCCAAUCAGAAAUCCACAUGGUAUUCUCCGUCUUUAGGUAUGACAUGGUAAAGAAAGAAUCUCGCAAAUUCCUCUUGAAUUGCUCGUAUGCGAUCAUAUGGUAGGAGUUCAUCCCGCAUCUCGCAGAUCUAAUUUAAAGAAAGGAUCAAUACAUGCAUAUAUAUCAUGAAUAAAACUCAACACAAUUGUGAAUACUAUUUACGUACUUGAAAUUGUUUCUCAAAGAAGUCCCGCUCAAAGGUUGAGUGACGAAUGAACUUGCAUACAUAGUAUGUACAUAAAACACUGCCUUUUUUAUGGUACAUACACUUUACGAGAAUAGAGUUCAAUCAAACUAAUAAGCAAGCAUGGUAAUGAUAUAUUGAUGAAAAUUUAAAUCAAUUAGAGAUGCGUGGAACUAGCUAGUACUACUUACUUUGGGGUGCGUAAACCACAACUCUUUGUUUAGACCGGGAACCUUAUUGGCGAACUUCGACCAAACCCUACCAGACAAAGAAAAUGAUUACUUGAUAUCAGAAAAUUAACGAAACUUGCAUGCCGAUAUGGUCUCGGUAUAUUGACUGAACUUACUUCUUGAGCAUUGCAGUAAUGUCCUCAUAAUCCUCUUCGGCUUUACGUCUCGAGUCUAAGACAUUUACUAAUGCCCUGCCAACGUCAAUGCAUAGCAGAAUAAAGUGGUCUCUGCGCACGCAUAUAUAACUCAUCAAUCCUCUAUUCCUAAAUAGAUGCCUCCCACUAACAAAUUUUCCUGCCCUCAGAUGAUGCCACGUCAUUGGUUGACGUCGCCUUCUUUUUUUACCACGGUGGUUCUAGCACGAUCGCCUCUUCUUUUCCAGUGCAAAAGGCUGGCCCAUAAGGUUUUUUUUUUCUUUGACCCUGAAAAGCUGGCCCAUCAAAUCAGGCGCUGGUUCCUUGACUUCCUUCUCCACGGUCGAUUCCGCCGGCGGCGCUGCUUCCCCAUGGCGGUCGACUACGCCCUUUUCUCCUUCCCCAUGGUAGGCUCGCUGCCUCUUGCCCUUCUCCACAGCAGGCCUCCCCCUCUUCACCUUCUUCAUCAUCAAUUAAAUUCAACAGAAACGGAUCUACUUACCUCUCCUUGCACAGGUAACUGAACCACUUCCUCUCACCAUAAAUCAAUGGAGCCGCUCGAGAGAUCAGCCACGCCCACCGCCUGUUGGUGCCGUACAAGUUGGCGGGGACGCAUCUGCGCCCUCAACGCCACAUCCCCUGUCCACACGUGCUUCCCCAUCCUCAUUCUGCCUACAGGUCAGCCAAUAUAUUUCUGCAGUUUGCUUUUGCAAUAAUUUUCCAGAGGUUAGAAAGAUAUUGCAAAGCUAUUCUGAUUGUUUGCAAAGCUGAGUAUGCCUUCUUUUUUCCGCAGUUUGCUUUUGCAAUAAUUUUCCAGAGGUUGGAAAGAUACUAGGCCGGGUCGCAUUUGUGACCUCGACGCCACCUGAUCCUGUUUUUCUACGAGGUUCUCCCUGACUCCUUCAUUCCCAAUCUCCUUGCACCAUGUUAUUUCUUUGAUGUUAGAUUACUAGCAGUUGACCUGUUGAUUGGCCUUUCCUCUUGAGUGACUUGCUGCUGUAAUAUUGCCAUAGAGGUUCUGUAGCAGUGUAUAUGUAUAUGCAGUUUUGUGCAUCCUCUAUUUCUAAAUAGAUGCCUCCCACUAAUAAAUUUUCCUAAAAUAUAUAUCCUCUUGAGUGACUUGCUGUUGUUAUAUUGCCAUAGAGGUUGUGCAGCAGUGUAUAUGUAUAUGCAGUUUUGGGCAUUGACUGACUUGGUACUACAGCACAAUUAGCAGUGUAUAUGUAUAUGCAGUUUUGGGCAUCCUCUAUUCCUAAAUAGAUGCAUCCCACUAAUAAAUUUUCCUAAAAUAUAUAUCCUCUUGAGUGACUUGCUGCUGUUAUAUUGCCAUAGAGGUUGUGCAGUAGUGUAUAUGUAUAUGCAGUUUUGGGCAUUGACUGACUUGGUACUACAGCACAAUCUGAAAUAUAUAUAUCUGAUAGUAGAUUAGAGCCUUUCCUCUUGAGUGCCAUGUUAUUUCUUUGAUGUUAGAUUACUAGCAGUUGAUCAGUUGAUUGACUUGCUACUACGGCACAAUCUGAAAUAUAUAUAUAUCUGACAGUAUAUUAGAACCUUUCCUCUUGAGUGCCACAUUAUUUCUUUGAUGUUAGAUUACUAGCAGUUGACCAGUUGAUUGGCCUUUCCCCUUGAGUGACUUGAUAGCUGCUGUAAAAUUGCCAUAUAAGCAGGUUUAGAGGUCGUGUAGUAGCGUAUAUGUAUAUGCCAUAUAAGCAGGUUUAGAGGUCAUGUAGCAGCGUAUAUGUAUAUGCAGUUUUCUGGGCAUUAACUAACUUGGUAGUACGGCCAUUCAUGAGAACUGCAUUAUUUGCUAGAUCAGUGUGUAUGUCACUUUGUUGUAACAUUUUUAAGGUUAAUUAGUACGCAUAACACAAAAGGUACCAGUAUUCCUUUAGGUGAUCACCGCUUUUAAUAAAUUUUUAAUCAAACCCUUGUGUUUAUAAGACUGGGCAAGAUGGAUGUACCAGAAAGUUCUUCACAGGGUCUCUCUGUUCGACGAGAUCGUGGCCGUCCACGCGGACCACGACACCGAUCAUCACCGCCUGUUCUAAUCCCGCGACCAACCCCGGUUGCUGCAGCUGAAAACCGUCGUAGGCGUAUGCAGCUUAACAGAGGUUAGUUAGGUUCAUGAAGCUACUGGAGAUGUUAAAUCUUGCUGUAUGGUAUCUAUCGAUUUGUCUACAACUCUUUUGCUCAUCAUCAUCUUGGCGUGAAACAAACAACAGCCUCUGAACACAGACGUUCACUAACUCAUCAGUCAAAUGAAGGAUCCUUAUCAUCUUUGCAAGCACCAAAUUUGACCUUUAAUUUGUUGAUCAAUGUUUUGAAACAAAAUUCUUUUUCGCAGAAACUCUGGUACAAAACGAAAACUUGACUUUACUGAAGAUGUUACCGACAAAUCCCAAAGGUAUAUAACCCUUCAAUACCCUGCAAGCUAAGGAAGCAAUUUUUCUUCUAUAAAAUCAUUAAAUUUAUGUCAUUUUCUUAGUGUUUUCUUAUCCAUAUUUAAUCAGUACAGAUUCAUGGGAAGACUACUAUUACCUAUCACAGUUUACCAUGACACUCUCAUUUUGCAUUUUCAUGCAGCAGUACAAAAAACAAGAAUGCAUCAAACAAUCCAGGACAGGCAGAGUAAUGCUGCGAGGGGAAACAUAUGGAGGUACUAUGCAAGACAUAGCAGAUUGAACCAGUUCUUAUUCACAAACUAAUUAAUCAUUCUAUUCACUUAAUACCUUCCUAACAAUGACACAAAUUAUAAACCAUGACGGGCAACAUCCAGCUAUGCUACAAUGAAGAUACAAGCUUCAAUGCCUUCCAUACCAGUUACUUAUAGUAUAACAUUAUCAAUAAUCGUUACCUUCAUCGCUACCUACUGUAAAUAAGAAACAUUCUCAAAAUUCUAAAUGUCUUUCAGCAGUACAAAACUAUAUAUAUAUAUAGUUUUGUACUGCUGAAAGACAUUUAGAAUUUUGAGAAUGUUUCUUAUUUACAGUAGGUAGCGAUGAAGGUAACGAUUAUUGAUAAUGUUAUNUUCUGCAGUUCUGUCAUCUCAUUAUCGAUACUCAACUUUCUUAGAAAAUUCAUGACAAAAAUUCCCGCAGCAACGCGUGGGGCAUUAUCUAGUUACAUUAGUUAAUUAACCUCGAGUAAGAGAAAUCGAGUUUACAGAGAAGACAACAACACUCACUUGAAGUUGUAAGGAAAGAUUAUUUCCAUAUUUUUUUAUGUAUAAGGAACGAGUUUAGCAAGUUCUCCUCGGUCUCUUUGAUUGAGUUUCGUAUCGUCAAUUCAUUUACGGUAUCUGGGCUAAUGAACCCAACGUCGAUGAUUCUUGCUUGUUUUAAUUCGACGAUCUUCAAUCUGCAUAAUAUAUAUAGUGAAGAUAAUUAUAUAUACAUGCAAUGAACGAGCUGAGCUAGAGACUUAACUAUAGAAGUAAUACUUACAAACAGUAGGAAGUCAUGAGUUCUUUGACGAGGGCCAGUUGAUUGUAUAACUGAAAUAACUCCCCAAAUUCAAUAUUAAUCACGGAAAGUCCAAUGAAUUCGUGCUCUGGUUUCACUGCCACAUGCAUAGCAUUUUUCCCAGACUCCAUGCAGGUUUUCAUGUGCCAUUCAUGCAAUCUGUGCAUCAUCGUUGUUAGAGCAGGAUGACCAGGUUUGACGAGAGGCUUCCCGUGCACGUAUUUAUAUUGUUCUUUUGUUACAUAGUCCCCCAAGUAAUCGUUAGGAUUGGUAACGGGCACCAUCUCCGGAUGAUUAGCGACGACGAUAUCGAGCUCGGGAAUUGUUUUCUCACUUCUUCGUUCUACUAACCUUGCAUCACUAGAAGUAGUUCCCAACCGCACCGCUUGUGCAUAUGUCUUUUUAAGAAUGCGGUCAUAGUUGAAAUCCGACGGAGGCGCUGGAGGUCGCUGUAGUUGAUUGAUAGUGCGCUCCACUUUCACCAGAUCUAGCUUCUCCUUCGGAGGUGGAGUUUUCUUUGCAAAAUGGGCCCUCAAUUCGGCACGACAUAUGUCCUCGUUUUCCUCCUUGGUCCUCUCAUAUGGUAAGUUUUCCAGAGGCUUGAGAGAUGGACCGUAUAUGAAUUACCUCCCUCCUCUGCUUGUACUGCUAGCCGUCGGAGAGAAGGAGACGUCUCUCUUCCUCUUGAGAGAAGGAGGCGGACUGCUCUGACGUGCCGGUUGAGCCGGAGCGGCGGCGUUUGUCUUCCGACGUUGCCGACGAGGCGAAAGAGGAGGCGGACUGCUCUGACGUGCCGGAGUAGGCGAAGGAGGAGGCGAAGUGCGCUCACGCGUCGGAGGACCCGGCGAAGGAGGCGGAGUGCCCUGAUCACUCGUCGGAGGAGGAGGGGGAGGAGGUGGAGUGCCCUGAAUCGUCGGAGGAUGAGGAGGAGGCGGAGGCGUCCAGUUUGGAAGCUUGAUGAACUCCUUCUGCCAGAGACAUGUACUCCCCAAAGCACGAACCAGCUGAAUCUCCCCUUUACCUGUAGUGUGGUCAAGCUCGAGCUACUCAAAUUCCUCCAUUACUUGAUCCACCAUCACAAUAGCAUAGCCAUGUGGAAUCGGAAGGCAGUGAAAAGUUCCGUUGGGUUGAGGAGGUUCAACAGAGCUGAUAGCCACAUUGAAAGUGAGAUUCCGACAUUUCAUCAUAAGCUCGCAAUGUUGAGCCUCCAUGAUAGUAUCCACGGGAUAGCUAGGAGCCGUGAAGCCACACUGCUUCUCCGCUGAGAUGACGGGGUACCUUCUCGGGUAGCUUCGUGCCGCCGAGAUGGUUGGCCGGCAGCUCGCUCGCUCUCAAGUUCCUCAAGCUUUUGUAGUCUUGCCUUGAUCUGUUGCAUGUCGCUCAGCUCCGCUUUCCUCUUUCUCUCACGGCUUCUGUAACCACUUGCGUUAGGAAACCCAAACUUCCACGGAACGGAGCCUGGUGUGCCUCGUGUUCGUCCAGGGUGCUCAGCAUUCCCUAGGGCCUCAGUCGGCUCGUCCCUCUCACUGUCUCGAAUGAAGUCCCUUCCUGCGCUGCAGCGAUACACUUCUGAAGCUUCAUCAUGGGUAUUGCAAGUUGCUCGUCCGUCCAACGUCACUUCCAUGUUUCAGGGUCCAAAGUUCCCCCAACCCCGAAGAACCAAGUCCUUAAACGGUCUGGCCAGUUCAAUGUGUGUGGUUGGAUGACACGUCUUCGUCGUAUCUACUUUUCCGAACUCUUUUGCCCUUGUUUUGGACUCUCAUUUGCAUGAUUUGAAUGGAACUAACCCGGACUGACGUUGUUUUCAGCAGAAUUGCCAUGGUGUUGUUUUUGUGCAGAAAUAAAAGUUCUGAGAAUGUCUUGAAAAUUUACGGAGAAUUUUUCUGGAAUAAAAGAAAAAUACCUGCGCAAAGAUCCACCGGAGGAGGUGGACUAGUGGGCCACAAGCCCACAGGCCGCGGCCACCCCCCUGGUCGCGUCGUGAGGGCUUGUGGGGCCCACGUGGCUCUGACGCCCCCAAACUCAGCUCUCUAUCUUCCGUCUCGCCCGGAAAAAAAAUCAGAGAGAAGGAUUCAUCGCGUUUUACGAUACGGAGGCGCCGCCACCUCCUGUUCUUCAUCUGGAGGGCAGAUUUGGAGUCCGUCUUGGGCUCCGGAGAGGGGAAAUAGUCGCCAUCUUCAUCAUCAACCUUCCUCCAUCGACAAUUCCAUGAUGCUCUUCACCGUUUGUGAGUAAUCUCAUCGCAGGCUUGCUGAACGGUGAUGAGUUGGAUGAGAUCUAUCAUGUAAUCGAGUUAGUUUUGACAGGGAUUGAUCCCUAGUAUCCACUAUAUUCUAGAUUGAUGUUGCUACUACUUGGCUAUACUUAAUGCUUGUCACUAGGGCCCGAGUGCCAUGAUUUCAGAUCUGAACCUAUUAUGUUGUCACCAAUAUAUGUGUGUUUUAGAUCCUAUCUUGCAAGUUGUAGUCAUCUACUAUGUGUUAUGACCCGACAACCCCUGAGUGACAAUAGCCGGAACCACUCCCGGAGAUGACCAUAGUAUGAGGAGUUCAUGUAUUCACCAAGUGUUAAUGCGUUGGUCCGGUUCUUUAUUAAAAGGAGAACCUUAAUAUCCCGUAGUUUCCAUUAGGAGCCGCUGACACGGGAGGGAUGGACAAUAGAUGUCAUGCAAGUUCUUUUCCCUAAGCACGUAUGACUACAUACAGAAUACAUGCCUACAUUAGUUUGACGAAUGGGAGCUAGUUACAUAUCUCUCCGUGUUAUAGCUGUUACAUGAUGAAUCACAUCUGUCAUACUCAUCCAUCACCGAUCCACUGCCUAUGAGUCUUUUACUACUGGUCCUUGCUACGUUACUUUGCCCAGGCUUGACCCUUGCUACAAAAGGGAUUGAGCCACUUUGCUACUACUGUUGCUACUACUGUUACUCUGCUGCUGCUGCUACUGCUAUUCCUUGCUACUUCACUGUUACUUGUUGCAAGAUCCUUUUUCGACACCGUUGCCGGGGAAGAAUAGUUCCUCGUCCACGUGCAACCUACUAGCGCCAGUGAUACAACAGUUAGGAAUAGUCUACCAUCAACAAAUCAUUUCUAGCACCGUUGCUAUCAUACUACUUUGCUACUGAUACUUUGCUUGCACACACUAAUCUUUCAGGUGUGGUUGAAUCUGACAAACUCAGUUGCUAAUACUUGAGAAUGUUCUUUAGCUUACCCUUGUGAGCGAAUCAACAAAUUUGGGUCGAAUACUCUACCCUCGAAAACUGUUGUGAUCCCCUACACUUGUGGGUUAUCAAGACCUUUUUCUGGCGCCGUUGCCGGGGAAGCAAAGCUAUAUUCUGUGAGUCACUUGGGAUUGACGUUUGCUGAUCACUAUGAGGAAUACGAAAGAUCCGAGAACUAAAAUCUUGCCUUCCACUAUGAGGAGAGGUAAGGAACUGCCAUCUAGCUCUGCACUUGAUUCACCUUCAGUUUUGAGUAAGUUUGCGACUUCACCUCCUGCUAGAAAUGUUGAUAUGUCGCCUAGGCCUGAUGAUGCUAUGCUUGAUAUUAUGCCUGAUGAUGUUAUGUUUUAUACUAUGCCUGAUGAUGCUAUGCUUGAUAAUAUGCCUGAUGAUGCUAUGCUUGAUACUAUGCCUGAUGAUGCUAUGCUUGAUACUAUGCCUGAUGAUGCUAUGCUUGAUACUCCUUUGCCACUAGGUGCAUUCCUUGAUGCACAUAUUGCUAGAGUUGCUGCUAGACGUGAUGAUACUUCUGAAACUGCUAAUACUAUUGAAGUAGAACCUGCUACUAUGUCUGAAUUGCCUGAUAUGCCUGAUACGCGCUAUGUUAUGGAGGGAGAGAUAGUUGAGGAUUUUCUUGCGUGUAAGGAUAGCUAUGAUGUUGAGAAACUACUGCGCAAGUGGAAAGAAAUAUCUCUGAACGCUAGGAUGAAAUACGACCCGAAGUUUGCCACUUCGCCUAUCUUUGUGACCGAUAAGGAUUAUGAAUUCUCUGUCGACCCUGAGUUAAUCACUCUAGUCGAAUAUGAUCCUUUUCACGGUUAUGAGUCUGAAACGGUUGUAGCCCAUCUUACCAAACUACACGAUAUAGUCACCCUAUUCACUAGUGAGGAAAAGAUCUGCCACUACUACAUGCUCAAGCUGUUUCCUUUCUCGCUAAAGGAUGAUGCUAAGACCUGGUUCACUUCUCUUGAUCCUGGUUGUGUGCGUAGCCCCCAGGAUAUGGUCUACUACUUCUCUGAAAAAUAUUUCCCUGUCCAUAAGAAGCAAGCUGCCUUGCAGGAAAUAUACAACUUUGCUCAAGCUGAAGAAGAGAGUCUCCCACAAGCUUGGGGGAGGCUCAUCGAGCUAUUGAAUGCUUUGCCUGAUCACCCUCUUGAGAAGAAUGAAAUACUUGAUAUCUUCUAUAAUGGACUUACCGAUGCUUCCAAAGACCACCUAGAUAGUUGUGCUGGUUGUGUUUUUAGGGAACGGACCGUAGAACAAGCUGAGAUUCUACUGAAUAACAUAUUGUGCAAUGAGAAUGCUUCGACUAUUCCCGAACCACCUCCUAAGCCAACUCCAAAGAAAAGAGGUAUUCUAUUCCUCAGUCCCGAAGAUAUGCAAGAAGCUAAGAAAUCUAUGCGAGAGAAAGGCAUUAAAUCUGAAGAUGUCAAAAAUCUACCACCUAUCGAAGAGAUCCAUGGUCUCGAUAAGCCGAUAUAGGUAGUAUAAGUAAAUUCUCUGCGUAGGUUUGAUGAGAGUGAUAUUCCUUUUGAUAAACCUGCUAGCUUAUGCAUGGAUGAAUUUGAUAACUUCGUUGCCAAACAACAUAUUUUCAAUCAUUAUGUUAGCAGACAAUUGGAAAAGAAUGCUCAUAUGCGAAGUCAUUUAAGUGCUUGUGUAGACAGAAAUGUCAAUGAUCUUAAGCUUCUGAGUAAACAUGCCUCUAUGGUUACUACUCAAGUAGAAGAAGUACUUAAAGCUCAGAAUGACUUGCUCAAUGAGUUGAAUGACAAUUCUUUUAGAGUCGUCACUAGAGGCGGUAGAAUGACCAAGGAACCUUUGUAUCUUGAGGGUCAUUCGAAGAGAAUUGAACAAGAUUCUCAAGGAGUUAGCACUGAUGCACCUAGUCAUCCUAGGAAGAAGAAGAAAGAUGAUAGGAACCUGCACGCUAGCAACCUUGUUGCUGCUACACCCGAGAGUCGAAAUGAUGCCUCUGUCUCUGAUGCUGAAACACAAUCUGGUGACAAACAUGAGCCUAAUGAUAAUAUCAAUAGUGAUGUUCAUGUUGAUGCUCAACCUAGCAAUGAAAAGGAUGUGGAGAUUGAACCUGAUCUUGAUAACCCACAACCUAAGACUAAGAGAUACGAUAAGAAUGACUUCGGUAAAGAAAGGGAACCGUGGGUUUAGAAACCUAUGCCCUUUCCUCCCAAACCAUCCAAGAAAAAGGAUGAUGAGGAUUUUGAGCGAUUCGUUGAAAUGAUCAGACCUGUCUUUCUGCAAAUGCGUUUGACAGAUAUGCUCAAGAUGUCUCCGUAUGCUAAGUACAUGAAGGAUAUUGUGACUAAUAAGAGGAGGAUACCUGAGGUUGAGAUUUCCACCAUGAUUGCUAAUUAUACCUUCAAGGGUGGAACUCCUAAGAAACUAGGUGAUCCCGGUGUGCCCACUAUACAUUGCUCCAUUAAAGGUAACUACGUGAGAACUACUUUAUGCGACCUUGGAGCAGGUGUUAGCGUUAUGCCUCUCUCUCUCUUUAUCGUAGAUUUGAACCAGAUAAGUUGACACCCACUGAAAUCUCUGUGCAAAUGGCCGACAAAUCAACUGCUUUCCCCAUUGGCAUUUGCGAGGAUGUGCCUGUUGUGGUUGCUAAUGUCACUAUCUUAACAGACUUUGUUAUCUUGGAUAUUCCUCAGGACGAUGCCAUGGCGGUCAUCCUCGGAAGACCCUUUUUAAACACUGCAGGGGCUGUUAUAGAUUGCAACAAAGGCAAUGUCACUUUCCAUGUCAACGGUAGUGAGCAUACGGUGCACUUUCUGAAGAAACAAUAUCGAGCACAUUGCAUCAACGCUAUCGAAAAAACUUCAUCGGUUCUUAUUGGGAGCUUUGAAUGCCCUAUUCCUCAUGUCAAGAUGAAGUAUGAUUUGCUCGUUGGGGAGAUUCACAUCCCCAUUGAGGUGACCUAGUGACUAUUCGAAAAUUCUCCGUUCUCUUUUACGAUUCGAGAAGUUUUGUCGAGGGGAUUUGAUCAACCCCAUUGACGGAUUUCUUUCGAUGGCCAUGAGAUGGAUGAAUCGAGGAGUCACAAACCUCUGUUGCAAGCUUUCACUUUAGGUUGCUUAGAAGAAAAAUGAUAGAUUUAGUUUAGUUUUCCCUGUUUUCUGUCUUAGCGUCCCGUGGAAAAGUACCCUGGACUGGUUAUUUCCCUCCAUGGGAGUAGACCAACUUAGGCCAAAAGCCUAAGCUUGGGGGAGUACGUGUUCUCACCGACUUUAUAUUCUUGCUUAUGCUUUCACUUUGUUAGACGGUGUUCACACUUUGCCACUGUAUCAUCCAUGCUAGUUUAUUUUGUUUUUCUUGUUUUCUUUUCGUGUGUCUGUCUAGUGUGAGAAAAAAACCAAAAAAGAUUUUCUUUUCUUCUUUUGCUUGUUGGGAGCUUUCCCGUGUAAAUAGUUUUCUUUUUCUUUGGGUUAAGGUAGAAGACCAUGGUUACAAUGUUUAGUGGCUCUCGCAUGCAUACCUGUUUAGCUUUCAAAGAGCCAUAUUACUUUGUCUUCUCCUUUGUGUUUGCCUGCAGAUUCCAGCAUAGUCCAAUGCACGAGCACUCUUAUUAUUGUUCACAUCAUUCGGUCGUGCAAGUGAAAGGCAAUAAUGAUGAUAUAUGAUGAAGUGACUGAGCCUAGAAAAGCUGGUAUGAACUCGGUCUAUUUUGUUUUUGUAAAUAUGACUAGCUCACUGUUCCUAGUUCAGCUUUGUUGUGAGAGAAACAUGUUUGCCUUGACAACUUAGAGAUCAUAGUUGCUGAUGCCAUGCUUACUUAGCUAGGAGCUUAUAAUGGUUUGUCUUGGGUGCCCACAUGAAUGUUGAGAUGACUAUGAUGUAGUAUGAUAGGAUGGUAUCCUCCUUUGAAUGUUUCAAGUGGCUUGACUUGGCGCAUGUUCACGCAUAUAGUUGAAACAAAAUCAACAUAGCCUCUAUGAUAUUCAUGCUCAUGGUGAUUUGUGUCCUACUCAUGUUUGCACUCAAUGCUAGUUAAUCUCAAUGCAUUUUGAUGACUGUUGUCGCUCUCUAGUUGGUCGCUUCCCAGUCUUUUGCUAGCCUUCACUUGUACUAAGCGGGAAUACUGCUUGUGCAUCCACUUCCAUAAACCCAAAGUUGUUCCUUAUAUGUCCACCAUACCUACCUAUGUGCGGUAUGUACCUGUCGUUCCAAGUAAAUUUGCCACUCUCUAAACCUUCAAGAAAUAAUUUGUUUUGCAUGACCGAACUGCUCAUGUGGUGACAGGGGGCUAUUGGUAUGUACCAUGCUAGGCGUGUUAUCCUCGAUAUGUGUUUAUUCACUACCAUUCAUGAGAAAGGGGUAGGUAAUUGGAAUUCCCAGUUCCAUGCUCAAAUCGAAAAGAUAAUGGCAAACAAAACUCCCCCAGGAUUGAUGUUGGUAUGAACGGUACCCGAGGAGUCGGCUAGCCGUGGAGUGUGAUUGAUUGGUGGUGGGGGAGUCAAAAGUUUACCUUUCUGUUUGGGAACUUCCUAUAGAAUGUGUAGCGUGGAAGAUGUUGAGAACUCUUAGUCAUUGUGUUGAAAAUGAAAGCAUGCCACCCAAAAUUAUUAUCUCUGUUUUCAAAGCUUGAGCUCUGUCACCUCUGCAAAUCAAUGCUUCCCUCUGCGAAGGGCCUGUCUAUUUAUGUUCCUGUUGAGUCAUCCUCCUCUUACAAAAGCACCAAUUAAAGAGCACCUCUCUUAUUUUUAUGCUUUGCUUUUUAACUGUGUUGAGUAUGACUGUGACUGGUUCUUCAUUGCCUUGAAUUACAAUGUUUAGUCAGCCCUUGGUCUUUGAAGGUGAUAUACAUUUAUGUUUUGUGGUCUCAGAAAGAGCUAGCUAGCGAGAUACCAUCUGUUCGUACUGCCUCAUGUUGUUUUGAUUGAAGUAUUAACACUUGACAAGAUCAAACAGAGUUCAUCAAAGUUUUUCUUUUGUCUCUUUGAGUUUGUCAACUGAAUUGCUUGAGGACAAGCAAGGCUUUAAGCUUGGGGGAGUUGAUACGUCUCUGUCGUAUCUACUUUUCCGAACUCUUUUGCCCUUGUUUUGGACUCUAAUUUGCAUGAUUUGAAUGGAACUAACCCGGACUGACGUUGUUUUCAGCAGAAUUGCCAUGGUGUUGUUUUUGUGCAGAAAUAAAAGUUCUCGGAAUGUCUUGAAAAUUUACGGAGAUUUUUUCUGGAAUAAAAGAAAAAUACAUGCGCAAAGAUCCACCGGAGGAGGUGGACCAUUGGGCCACAAGCCCACAGGCCGCGGCCACCCCCCUGGCCGCGCCGUGAGGGCUUGUGGGGCCCACGUGGCUCCACCCCCAAACUCAGCUCUAUAUCUUCCGUCUCGCCCGGAAAAAAAAUCAGGGAGAAGGAUUCAUCGCGUUUUACGAUACGGAGGCGCCGCCACCUCCUGUUCUUCAUCUGGACGUCAAAUCUGGAGUCUGUCUUGGGCUCCGGAGAGGGGAAAUCGUCGCCAUUGUCAUCAUCAACCUUCCUCCAUCGACAAUUCCAUGAUGCUCUUCACCGUUCGUGAGUAAUAUCAUCGUAGGCUUGUUGGACGGUGAUGAGUUGGAUGAGAUCUAUCAUGUACUCGAGUUAGUUUUGACGGGGAUUGAUCCCUAGUAUCCACUAUGUUCUAGAUUGAUGUUGCUACUACUUGGCUAUGCUUAAUGCUUGUCACUAUGGCCCGAGUGCCAUAAUUUCAGAUGCGAACCUAUUAUGUUGUCGCCAAUAUAUGUGUGUUUUAGAUCCUAUCUUGCAAGUUGUAGUCACCUACUAUGUGUUAUAACCCGGCAACCCCGGAGUGACAAUAGCCGGAACCACUCCCGGAGAUGACCAUAGUAUGAGGAGUUCAUGUAUUCACCAAGUGUUAAUGCGUUGGUCCGGUUCUUUAUUAAAUGGAGAGCCUUAAUAUCCCGUAGUUUCCAUUAGGACCCCGUUGCCACGGGAGGGAUGGACAAUAGAUGUCAUGCAAGUUCUUUUCCCUAAGCACGUAUGACUACAUACGGAAUACAUGCCUAUAUUAGAUUUACGAACGGCAGCUAGUUACAUAUCUCUCCGUGUUAUAGCUGUUACAUGAUGAAUCACAUCCGUCAUACUCAUCCAUCACCGAUCCACUACCUACGAGUCUUUUACUACUGGUCCAUGCUAUGUUACUUUGCCCAGGCUUGUCCGUUGCUACAAAAGGGAUUGGGCCACUUUGCUACUACUGUUGCUACUACUGUUACUCUGCUCCUGCUGCUACUGCUGUUCCUUGCUACUUCGCUGUUACUUGUUGCAAGAUCCUUUUUCGACACCGUUGCCGGGGAAUAAUAGUUCCCCGUCCACGUGCAACCUACUGGCGCCAUUGAUACAACAGUUAGGAAUAGUCUGCCGUCAACAGAUCAUUUCUAGCACCGUUGCUAUCAUACUACUUUGCUACUGAUACUUUGCUUGCAGACACUAAUCUUUCAGGUGUGGUUGAAUCUGACAAACUCAGCUGCUAAUACUUGAGAAUGUUCUUUAGCUUCCCCUUGUGAGCGAAUCAACAAAUUUGGGUCAAAUACUCUACCCUCAAAAACUGUUGCGAUCCCCUACACUUGUGGGUUAUCAUUGGACCCCUUUAGCAAUCAGGUCAUUCUCAGCUUUGUCCCACAACGGUCCGGCUUUGAGGUAGCCACCUAACCCCGUGUGAUGGUGAUACUGCUUCUUUGCGGCAUUGUUCUUGCUUGUCUCUCACAUUUUCUUACUCUUGCCCGAUGACUUGUAGGCAACAAAUGCGGGCCAGUGAUCUCUUAUCUUCUCAAAUCGGCUAGUGAAUUCUGGAGUCUUCCCUUUGUCGACAAACUUUGUUUUCAAAUCAGUCUUCCACCUCCCGAAUAGAUGUGCCAUCUUCUUAAGAGCACACGCCUUGACCAGUGGCUCUAUAACUGGCUUAUUCGGAUCCUCCUGUGGCGGUAGGGUGAAAUUUGCCUUCAGCGCAUUCGAAAGAUCAUAUUUCUGCCUAUCGGUGACAUAAUCACCUUCAGGGACAUCGUCGCCCUUAGGCUUAUUCCAUUGCUUGAUGCUGAUCGGGAUGUUAUCCCUAACAAUAGCUCCGCACUGAGCAGAAAAUGCGUCCUUGGUCCGAAUGGGUAGAAUUGGUAGGCCAUCGUCCGCGAGUGCUGUGAUCGUGAACUUUUCAUCCAUGCACAACCUGCUCUUCGGGCCUCGUCUCUUUACCGAAGUUUGGCUUGAUCCGGAGGGCUACAAAAGAAGAAAGAAGAGUUAAUAUAUGUACAUACCUUUGGGCUUAAUUCAUAUAUAUACGUCGUCGGACUUUGCAACAGCUCCCUCCUCUGUUCGGUCACCGGAGCCGUCAUCAUGGUCUCCUUCUUCCUCCGUCAUUCGGUAACCGGAUCCAUCAUGAUCAUGUCCUUCCUCCUCCAUUAUUCGUUCACCCGAGCCGUCAUCCCGUCCUUCCAGAAAUAUAUCAUUGUUGAGAUACGACAAGGUAUCACCUCCGCCGAGGAUUAUCUCCCCCAACAACUAGGCUUGUUCCAAGUCUCUUUGAUCCAUAGUUUCUGCAAAUAUUUCAGCUCCUUGUAUGAAUAACCGAAUUACACAAACUUCUAUGUUUUAAACAUGCACAAACUUUUUUAUAUUUCAUUUCCAAAUGUUGAAUAGUUCAUAGAUGUAUGUUAUGAUAUAUAAUGCAAUAGAUCUCAAGAGGCAAAAAUGUUUUCUUUCAGUUACAACCACUAAUCAACUUAAUACAUCUCGAAUUUUAUCAAAUAUAAUCUCGAAUACAAGGAGAAACUGAUCACCCAAAAAGCUGUCGUUGUACUGAGGCACGGGCGGUAGAAACCCACACAGAAGGAACCAUAACAGGAUCAUAUCUCGGGUGAGAUACCUGAAGAACCUGCCAGGUAUUGGACAACCUGGCGUCGAACGCAACCAAGUAGCGACGGACGUGCUCAUCCUCCUCCCUCACACGGCGAAGUACCUCCUCCUCGGGGGUUGGCUGCCUCCGCACCGUAUGUGGCCCACGCGACCGCCACCAAAGAAGCUCCGGGUCUACGCCGGGAGCCUGAUUCCUCGUCAAGAUGCAUGCGUGAGAAGGUAGCACCUCCCAGUGCCAGCCCGGCGGAGCCCAUUCCCGCACAUGCUGGCGCCUAUCAAGCAGGUGGUCGCCACCGAGUCGACGACGAGGAUGCGAGAUGGGCAUCGUCGACGUCGACAACAAUUUCUACAACUAUUUUAAACCCUACUAUUUAACGAAUAAAUCUGGAUUUAAUAUAUUUAAAUCCCUCAUAUUUUACCGCAAAAAAAGAAAUCUAAAACUAAACCUAAAAUACAUCUAAAACUAAAUUUGCAAAGCUUUGACUCAUCCAAUUUAAUAUAAUAUCUAAAACUGAAAUACAUCUAAAACUCAUCUUUGACUCACCGGGGCCGAUGGGCUCGGGGCUGCGACGACGACGGGCUCGGGGGGCGGCGACGACGACGACGGGCUCGGGACGGCGACGACAAUGAGGAGGACGGGCUCGGGGGCAAAUGGGAGAGUUUGGGAGAAAUUUCGACAACUCGUGCCUAUAUGCGAAAACGAGUGGUCCCGGUUCGAGGCACAAACCGGGACCAAUGCACCCCUUUCGUCCUGGUUGGUGCCUCAAACAGGGAAUAAAGGCCAAUUUCCAGCAGCCCAUAGGGCGGGAAGAAGAGACCUUUAGUCCUGUUGGUGCGAAUAACCGACACGAAACAGCGUAUUUCGUGUCGGUUGGUGGCACAAACCAGGACUAAAGGCCCAUGCCUGCCACAGUCGCGGAGCGGUUGGAUGUUUACUCCCACCUCACUAGCCGAGAGUGCCCCGGAGUGGUUUAUAAGCGCUGGUGCGCAGGCCGUCUCGAGCUCCUCUCAACUGCAGGCUUUCAGGCCUAAUUUGUCACUGCAUGUGGGCCAACUGGGCCUUGUGCGGGCCUGAAUCCUGACCCAACUCUCUCGUUGGGUUUCUAGUCGUAUUCACGCCGUGGUGGCCUAGUAAGUGGCAUUUUUUUUAAAUCAAUUUUUUUGUUCCGUUUUUACUUUAUGUUUUAUUUUAUGACUAACUUUACUAAAAAAUAGAUUUUUGAGUGAUUCUUUUCCCGCUAUUUAAUAUUACUGUGUCUUUAUCAUUAUAUUUAAUUUGGUAGAUUUUAGGUUAUUUUAAAUGAAUGUUUUAAUCAAAAACAUAUCUGUUACAAAAGGGAUUUCAUUUUUUGAACUUAUUUGAACUCAAGACUUUUUUUGUGUUCAAAAUGCGCCAUUUAAGACCACAUCGUCAAUUUUGAACACUUUCUGAGUUCUUUUGGUAUUUUUCAUGCAUUUACUGUUUUUUUAGCUAAAUGGCCCAGAAAUUGAAAAGCACUGCAAAUGAACUCUGAAUAGGUUGAAAGUUGGCAUGGCAUCAUCAUUUCACCCACAUAGCAUGUGCUAAAAAGUUGAGAGGAUUGCGGCAAAAACUGGAUGCACUUCGUGUACAAAUCAAACAAUCUCUUUCGAAAUAUCAAGGUUUCUUACGAAAACUCAUCUCUUGAAAAGGGAUUUCAUUUUUUUAACUUAUUUGAACUCAAGACUUUUUGUGUGUUUAAAAUGCACCAUUCAAGGCCACAUCAUUAAUUUUCAACAUUUUCUGACUUCAUUUGGUAUUUUUCAUGCAUUUACUGAUUUUUUUAAGCUAAAUGGCAAAGAAAUUAAAAAGCACUGCAAAUGAACUCUGAAUAGGUUGAAAUUUGGCAUGACAUCAUCAUUUCACCCACAUAGCAUGUGCUGAAAAGUUGAUAGGGUUGCGGCUAAAACUGGAUGCACUUCGUGUACAAAUCGGACAAUCUCUUUCAAAGUAUCACGGUUUCUUACGAAAACUCAUCUGUUACAAAAGGGAUAUCAUUUUUUUGAAUUUAUUUGAACUCACGACUUUUUGUGUGUUCAAAAUGCACCGUUCAAGGCCACAUCAUCAUUUUUCAACACUUUCCGAGUUCAUUUGGUAUUUUUGAUGCAUUUGCUGAUUUGUUUGAGCUAAAUGGCCUAGAAAUUCAAAAGCACUACAAAUGAACUCUGAAUAGGUUGAAAGUUGGCAUGAUAUCAUCAUUUCACCCACACCGCUUGUGCUAAAAAGUUGAGAGGCUUACGGCAAAAACGGGAUGCACUUCGUGUACAAAUCAGACAAUCUCUUUCGAAGUAUCACGGUUUCUUAUGAAAACUGAUCUCUUACAAAAGGGAUUUCAUUUUUUAACUUGUUUGAACUCAAGAAUUAUUGUGUGUUCAAAAUGCACCAUUCAUGGCCACAUCAUCAAUUUUCAACACUUACCGAGUUCAUUUGGUUUUUUUCAUGCAUUUACUGAUUUUUUAGCUAAAUGGCCCAGAAAUUGAAAAACACUACAAAUGAACUCUGAAUAGGUUGAAAGUUGGCAUGGUAUCAUCAUUUCAUCCACAUAACAUGUGCUAAAAAGUUGAGAGAGUUGUGACAAAAACUGGAUGCACUUCGUGUACAACUCGGACAAUCUCUUUCGAAGUAUCAGGGUUUUCUUACGAAAACGCAAAUUGUUACAAAAGGGAUUUCAUUUUUUUGAACUUAUUUGAACUCAAGACUUUUCGUGUGUUCAAAAUGCACCAUUCAGGGCCACAUCAUCAAUUUUCAACACUUCCUGAGUUCAUUUGGUAUUUUCAUGCAUUUACUGAUUGUUUUGAGCUACAUGGUCGAGAAAUUGAAAAACACUACAAAUGAACAAUGAGUAGCAUUUACUCAUCUAAAUAAAAGGCAGCUAGAUUACUCAUCUAAAUAAAAGGCAGGUACUCAUCUAAAUAAAAGGCAGGUAUUCAUCUAAAUAAAAGGAUCAUGUGUAAGUAUUCUUUUUUUUAUCACAAGUAGUUGUUAGUUGUGCUAAAUAAAAGACAGAACUUGACAAAGACAUAGGGAGUUAUCUUCUCCUGUGAAGAGUGCAAGCAUUUUUUUCUUGUCGGAAGAUGAAUGGUUUACAAUUCCACAAGUAACUAACGACGGUUCAGAAUUACGACAGUCCACAUCUCAGAAAUAAGCAAAGUACCAAACUGACAACACCAGCAGAUGCUAGAUAACACAAGUACUACACCUCGGUCUAGAAUUACUUGACGCUCAAACGGAUGUAUCUAGCACUAUAUGUUUGAGCGUCGAGUAAUUCCGGGCGGAGGGAGUAGAUAGAUAACUAUUAAAAAAGAAGGAACUACCAUGAGAGGUAAAUAUUAUGAAGAGAAUUGACCUUGAAAAUAUGAGAGAGAGAGAGAGCAACCUGCAACACCCAUGCUGGGUUGUACGUGAUGGUCAAAGGAGUUGUGCGACAAAGUAGGCGACCACAUCCAGCGCCACCGGUAGCUAGUCAGAAGAAACAAUAAUUAGGCUAAGAGGUUCAUCACAAUUACUCAUUUUCGUAUCAGUAAAUUAGAUAAACACCAUAUGGCAAAAAGACAGGUUAAUGAUCAUUAAAGUCCGGUAAAUACACUAUCGGAACAGGUCAUUGAUUUGCAUUCGUAAAUCGUGAGUCACCCACACCACAACAGACUUGUAUGAACUUAACACAGAAAAUGCUGAUUAAAUAAAAUAUAGACAUCCCUCUCGAAGUUUAGAUUGCACAAAACUAUUUCAGCAAAUCAUCUAGCAGUCUAACGUUACAAAUUUCUGAUUAGGUAAACUAGUCGCCAACCCGUGCGACCUGCACGGGCUAGUUACUUGGUUUAAAUGAGGAACUAUAUUGGAUAUACAAAGAGAUAUUUUAUAUAAAUAUAGAUAAAAGAUGGAACCAAUUUUUUUGUAUUAGACCCAUGUGGUACAUAAUUCUUACAUAGCAAAACUAUGAUUGAUGUUGAGAAGGCAAAUGCGGAAUGUCCAUUUUAAGUCCUCCUAGGGAGACUACAACCUCGAUAUAUUGUUUCAAGGUACUUACUCCCAGAAUUACCAAACCCAGUCUGCGUAACUGAACAUUUAUUUAGGAAUUAUCAAAAAAAAACUUAUGUUGUCUAAAAUGAAAAUUCACUUUACAAACUAAAAGAUAAGUGAUACUUAACUGAAUAGAAUAGUACGCCUUUUUGACACCACAUCAGGGGAACAAUCACUUGAACGACAUCAUUCUCACCGAAUAAUCUUGGAAUAAUCCACUUUGUGUUAAUAUUCACAAAGUCAUAGACCUAAAGUAAAAAAUAAGAAUGCUAAAUACAAAUUAGGAGAAGACAGGCAAUAUAUAUCUUACUUAUGUGUGUUUCAUAUUACAUUAUUGCCGUAAGAAGUUCAAAAGGGAUUGAAAUCCCCUCAACGGACCUCAGUUGAAGUCACUAAAAGCAUUUGCGGUAACCUCUUUCUCAAUCAUCCAGUACCAUUAGACAAGAAAAUAGAACACCGUGCAAAUAAUAGUGCCAGCGAUACAAAUUGAUGACAGUUUAAAAAAAGAAUCAAGUGAAAAAUAAGCUAAGGCACGUGCGAUGCGCUUUUUUUGGAGGAAAAAAUUCUUACUUUAUUUGGUAGUAGCAGAAUGCAUAUAAAAAUCAACCAAAUAGUUUUCUUUUUGUGAUGAGAUUCUCCUGCAAAUCAUGUAACGUAAAGACUUGGUUUCCGACUUCUAUUUUAACUUCACUGUUAUCUUAUAAUAACCAAUUCAACAUUUAUGAUACAUGUAACAAACCUACUCAGGACUGAGCAUUUGAUGAUAUCCCUUUUCCAAGAGAAGGUAUCUGAAGUCCUUCGGAAAAUACAGUAUGCAAGAAUGAGAUGUAGAAACAAUUCUCAAAUCAUUGACGUUAGCAAGAGCAGCAACCUUAAAAAAAUGACCCCGUAUAUAGAGCAUCUGGACAGCUCGUUCGGCAAGAAACACAUAUAAAAAUAGCAUACGAGUCAUUUAAUGGAUUAUACAUCGAGAGUGAACCUUACUUCUAAAACUAACAUAAAAAAUCACCUUGUUUCCCUUUGCCCUGCAUCCAUCAAUGUCGUCGCUUCACAAUCAAAUAUAUCCAUUAACUCGAUCAUACUUUCAGAACUGUAUAUAUCAAGUUUCAAACAACAAUCAGUUUCUGAACUUCAAGUAGUGAGAUAGGCAAUUAGAACAGACACUCGUUCCUUCGCUCGUUCAACAAGAAACACAUAUAAAAAUAGCAAGCAAGCCAUUUAAUGGAUUAUACUUCGAGAGUGAGCCUCACUUCUAAAAUUAACAUUAAAAAUCACUUUAUUUUCCUUUUUUCUGCAUCCAUCAAUGUCGCUUGGCAACCAAAAAGAUCGAUUAACUCAUUCAUACUUUCCGAACUUCGUAUCUUAAGUUUCAGACACCUAUUAGUUUCUGAACUUCAAUUGAUGCCAUAGCAAAUUAGAACAGACACUCGUUGUCAGCCAAAUUGGAUAAACGUUUGCACAAAAAUAAAAAAUAUGUAUACAUAACAUUACAUUUACCUAUUGAAACUGGUCUUUGGGCUAAAUCUUCAAAAAAAGAUAACAAAAAACUCCUGCUGGUCCACGCCUGUCUCAACGUUGUCCAAUCUGACGCCUGCAUAAAUCAUGGAUUCAGUCUGAUAAUAGAUUACUUACUUGUUAACGUUGUGAGAUACGAAUAAUAGGCUACGUAUUGUUGGCAUGGGGCACAACAAAGUGAGAUUGUUUACUAUGUGCGUGAGCUAUAGUCUACAUAAAUAAUCAACAAGGGGCUUUAUUUCGAAGAACAAGGCAUGUGGUGCAGUGCAGAGUAAGAGAGGAGGGAGGAGAGAGUGGGAACCAACCUCACCUCACCUCCAUGGCGUCGGUCGGUCUGCACUAGCAGCAAACAGCAGCAACAGGGUUGGAGGAGGAGCCACCCUAGCAGAUCAAUGACAUUGGUCGGCCGGUCGCACUAGUAGCAGGGUCGUAUCAGAGCCUCCACCGUGGUGGUCUUGAAUGACUGAAUGCGUGAAGAACCCAUCGACGGUCGGCGCCGCGACCGGAGAAGGCGACGAGGAGGCGGAUCCGCGCCUGGACGCUGCCGAUGGGUUGGGCAUGAACGCCCGAGGCAGCGGGUGGGUGGCGCUCCUCCAUGUCGCGGCACACCUUCGCUAUGGUUUUGGGAUCCAGCGGCUAUGGGGGUGGAGGGAGAUGGGGUGCGGGUCGGUGGCGAUGGGGUUGGGGAAGAGCUCGACAGUGUCUUUCGCGACGGCCAUGGCCGCCGGAGCUCGUCGGAGGCACGCCGAUGGUGGAGACGAGGUCUCGCCCCAAACCCUAGCCGUGGGGGAUGGGUUGGGCGCGGGUGUUGGAGGCGGGGAGGGACGGAUCUCGUGGGAAGAAUCAACGAAGCAUGGCGAGGUGAGCUCGGCAAGGUCCUCCAUGCCGGCUAUGACCGCUGGAGCUCAGUGUUAAGGUCGGCGGCGGCGCCUAACCCUAGGUCGCAGGAGGACAGAGAGGAGAUGUGGAUGCGGGGGAGAGGGGCUUCGAUGCGGCAGGGUACUUUGCCGUCAUUUGGACUAAGGGCAGAGGGUAAAGCCAUGGCACCGCUACCUGCCGUUCGCGUGCACACAUGGCAAAAUAUCUUUGCUGUCAUCAGUUUUUUUACACACGGCAAAAUAUUUCUUUGCCGACAUUAGUAUACUUUACAGACGGCAAAAUUGUAUUUUUGCCGUCAUCAUUAAUUUUUUAUAGACGGCAAAAUAUAUUUACCGUCAUCUGAUUUUCUUACGGACGGCAAAAUAUUUCUUUGGUGUUAGUUAUUCUUUGCCGUCAGGUCAGUGACGAUAAAAUAAUCUUUGCCGUCUGCCCCGACGAUUAGCUCACGACAAAUAAUUUUUUUGUAGGCAAAAUAGUUGAUUCCUGUAGUGUAGGUUGAAAGUUGGCAUGAUAUCAUCAUUUCACCCACGUAGCAUGUGCUAAAAAGUUGAGAGGGCUGAGGCAAAAACUAGAUGCACUUCGUGUACAAAUCGGACAAUCUCUUUCGAAGUAUCAGGGUUUCUUACAAAAACUCAUCUUUUACAAAAAGGAAUUUCAUUUUUUUGAACUCGAUGUUUCGUUUUUCACUUUAUUUAUUUAAUUUUGCUAAUAAGUUUUACUAAAAAAUAGUUUUUUGAGUGAUUCUUUUUCAUGCUAUUUAAUAUUACUGUGUUUUUAUCAUUAUAUUCAAUUUGGUAGGUUUUAGGUUAUUUCAAAUGACUGUUUUAAUCAAAAACAGAUCUGUUACAAAUGGGAUUUCAUUUUUUUGAACCUAUUUGAACUGAAGACUUUUUGUAUAUAUAUGUGGUCGAAAUGCAUGAUACCAUGAAGUUAGAAAGGGCUAAACCAUUCAAAAAUAGAAAAUGAAGUUAGAACGGGCUAAACCAUUCAAAUUUGAAAACUAUACUGGCACAAACAAAAACUAGACAUAUAUAAAUUGGUCCAAGAAGUACAUAAUGACUAGUCCAAACAGUACAUAAUAAUAGCUAGCAUAGAUAUAUAUACAAGUGUUCGCCGUUGUGAACACUACUCGUGUGAAUCGUCUGAAUCAGAUUGUCCUUGCUUGAGGUGAUGCUGGCCAUAGUUGACGACUCGAAUCUUGCGGUACAACUCGUAUGAAACGUAUGCAUAUUUUGCUGCAUACUCAAUGUUGAUACGGUCAAGUGGGGUCCUCUCCCAAAGUCUGUGCUGAGGCUUUGGGAAUUUGGUCUUCAUAUCAUCAUACUCCUCAUCGAUCAAGGCGACGGCCAUAUGAGCCAUCGAAGUCGUGUCAUGUCGAAGCCUGAAUUCAUGUUGGAGAUCAAUGAGGCAAUCAGCUCGUAUCUCAAAACCGAAGUUGUGCCUCAUCUUCAGCUUGUCGUUCCUUAUCUCAACGGUAGCAAAACUAAUGCCGCUACAAAGGAAGUCCAUGAGUUCUGAACAAUGCUUGUCACUACUGCAACAUCAACAAAUUAAAAUGGAACAAAUGUUACAUACUGCUGUAACAAGGAAACAUGUUUCACUACAACUAAAGAGAAAAUUAUCUUUAGGAUUCAAAUGGAACAUAUUGAUAUCUUAUGCAAUUUUCAUAUCCUACGAAUUGAUUAUAUUCUCCCACGGUUUUGCAAAUAUGCAACAAGCUAGACAUAUUGCAUAUUGCUAUCCAAUGGAACCUAGAGAGAUCACUAUAGCUAUCCAAUGGAACCUAGAGAGAUCACUAGCUAUAUGCAAUUUUCAUAACUAUGACAUAUCAUAUUGCUAUCCAAUGGAACCUAUAGAGAUCACUAGCUAUAUACAAUUUUCAUAACCUUGGAUCAAAGAACGUCGCAUAAAAUUGUUUCACUACAACUAAAGAGAAAUUGAUCUUUAUAGGAUUCCAAAAUGGAACAUAUUGCUAUCGAUCCUAUGCAAUUUUCAUAUCCUAUGAAUUGAUCAAGAAACCCUCAAUUAACUAUCCAAUGGAACAUAUACAGAAACUGCAUAUUGUUAUCCAAUGGAACCUAAAGAAAUCACUAUAUAUAUGCAAUUUUCAUAACCUUGGAUCAAAGAAAGCCUCAAAACAUACCUCGCCCAUUGGAAGAUCAAGACAUGUUGUUUGAUGUUGGAAAUAUGCCCUAGAGGCAAUAAUAAAUUAGUUAUUAUUAUAUUUCCUUGUUCAUAAUAAUCGUUUAUUAUCCAUGCUAGAAUUGUAUUGAUUGGAAAAUCAAAUACAUGUGUGGAUACAUAGACAACACACUGUCCCUAGUGAGCCUCUAGUUCACUAGUUCGCUGAUCAAAGAUGGUCAAGGUUUCCUGACCAUAGGCAAGUGUUGUCACUUGAUAACGGGAUCACAUCAUUAGGAGAAUCAUGUGAUGGACAAGACCCAAACUAUGAACGUAGCAUAUUGAUCGUGUCGUCUUAUUGCUAUAGUUUUCUGCUUGUCAAGUAUUUGUUCCUAUGACCAUGAGAUCAUAUAACUCACUGGCACCGGAGGAAUGCCUUGUGUGUAUCAAACGUCACAACGUAAUUGGGUGACUAUAAAGGUGCUCUGCAGGUAUCUCCGAAGGUGUCCGUUGGGUUAGUAUGGAUCAAGACUGGGAUUUGUCACUCCGUGUGACGGAGAGGUAUCUCGGGGCCCACUCGGUAAUACAACAUCACACACAAGCCUUGCAAGCAAUGUGACUUAGUGUAAGUCACAGGAUCUUGUAUUACGGAACGAGAAAAGAGACUUGCCGGUAACAAGAUUGAAAUAGGUAUGCGGAUACGGACGAUCGAAUCUCGGGCAAGUAACAUACCGAAGGACAAAGGGAAUGACAUACGGGAUUGCGUGAAUCCUUGACAUUGAGCUUCAACCGAUAAGUUAUUCGAAGAAUAUGUAGGAUCCAAUAUGGGCAUCCAGGUCCCGCUAUUGGAUAUUGACCGAGGAGUACCUUGGGGCAUGUGUGCAUAGUUCUCGAACCCGCAGGGUCUGCACACUUAAGGUUCGGCGAUGUUUUAGUAUAGUUGAGUUAUAUGUGUGGUUACCGAAUGUUGUUCGGAGUCCCGGAUGAGAUCACGGGCGUCAUGAGGGUUUACGAAAUGGUCCGGAGACGAAGAUUGAUAUAUAGGAUGACCUCAUUUGGUUACCGGAAAGUUUUCGGGCAUUACCGGGAAUGUACCGGGAGUGAUGAAUGGGUUCCGGUUGUUCACCGGGAGGGGCCAGCCCACCCGGGGAAGCCCAUAGGCCGUAGGGGCGCUGCACCAGCCCUUGGUGGGCUGGUGGGAUAGCCCAACGGGGCCCUAGGCGAAGGAGAUAGAAAAUCAAAGAGAAAAAUAAAAAAAGGUGGGAAGGAAGGGAAGGACUCCACCUUCCAAUCAUAGUUGGACUAGGAUUGGAGGUGGACUCCUCCACCUCCUUGGCCGGCGGACCCUUGGGGUCUUGGAACCCAAGGCAAGCCUCCCCUCCCCUCCUCCUAUAUAUAGUGGAGUUCUAGGGCUGAUUUGAGACAACUUUUGCCACAGCAGCCCGACCACAAACACCACGGUUUUUCCUCUAGAUCUAAUUUCUGCGGAGCUCGGGCGGAGCCCUGCAGGAGUAGAUCCUUCACCACCACUGAAGCGCCGUCACGCUGCCAAAGAACUCAUCUACUUCUCCGUCUUGCUUGAUGGAUCAAGAAGGCCGAGAUCAUCGUCGACCUGUACGUGUGCUGAACGCGGAGGUGCCGUCCGUUCGGCACUAGAUCGGAGCGGAUCGUGGGACAGAUCGCGGGAUAUUUCGUGGGACGGUUCGCGGGGAGGAUCGAGGGAUGUGAGGACGUUCCACUACAUCAACCGCAUUUCUUAACGCUUCAUGGUGUGCGAUCUACAAGGGUACGUAGAUCCAAAUCUCCUCUCGUAGAUGGACAUCACCAUGAUAGGUCUUCGUGCGUGUAGGAAAUUUUUUGUUUCCUAUGCGACGUUCCCCAUCAGUGGCAUCAUGAGCUAGGUUCAUGCGUAGAUGUUAUAUCGAGUAGAACACAAAGGGUUUUGUAGGGUGAUGUUCGAUUUGCUGCCCUCCUUAGUCUUUUCUCGAUUCGGCACUAUUGUUGGAUUGAAGCGGCCCGGACUGAUAUUAUUCGUACGCUUACCAAAGACUGGUUUCAUCGCUUGACAUGCAACCUCGUUGCAUAAAGAUGAAUGGCGGGUGUCAGUUUCUUGAACUUUAUUUGAAUUGGUUUUGACCGAGGCGGUCUUUGGAGAGGUUAAAUAGCAAUUUGCACAUCUCCGUUGUGGUAUUUGCGUAAGUAAGAUGCGAUCUACUAGAUACCCAUAGCAGCCACGUAAAACAUGCAACAACAAUUAGAGGACGUCUAACUUCUUUUUGCAGGGUAUGUUUGUGAUAUGAUAUGGCCAAUGAUGUGAUUUGAUAUAUUGGAUGUAUGAGAUGAUCAUGUUGUAAUAGUUAAUAUCGACUUGCACGUCGAUGGUACGACAACCGGCACGAGCCAUAGGGUUGUCUUUAAACUAACGUUUGUGCUUGCAGAUGCGUUUAGUAUAUUGCUAGGACGUAGCUUUAGUAGUAAUAGCAUGAGUAGCAUGACAACCCCGAUGGCGACACGUUGAUGGAGAACAUGAUGACGAUGACGAUGGAGAUCAUGGUAUGGCACCGGUGACAAGAAGAUCGUGCCGGUGCUUUGGUGAUGGAGAUCAAAAAGCACAUGAUGAUGGCUGAUGACCCACACAUAUAGGGGAUCAAUCGUAGUCCUUUCGAUAAGUAAGAGUGUCGAACCCAACGAGGAGCACAAGGAUCUGACAAGUGGUUUUCAGCAAGGAAAUAUUUGCAAGCACUGAAAUUAUCAGUAACAAGUGAUUGUGUGGUGAGAUGAUUCAUAACAAGCAACAAGUAACAAAAGUAACAACGGUGCAGCAAAGUGGCCCAAUCCCUUUUGAAGAAAGGGACAAGCCUGGACAAAGUCUUAUAGGAGGAAAAACGCUCCCGAGGACACACGGGAAUUUCUGUCAUGCUAGUUUCAUCAUGUUCAUAUGAUCCGCGUUCGUUACUUUGAUAGUUUGAUAUGUGGGUGGACCAACGCUUGGGUACUGCCCUUACUUGGACAAGCAUCCCACUUAUGAUUAACCCCUCUCGCAAGCAUCCACAACUACGAAAGAAGAAUUAAGACAAAGUCUAACCAUAGCAUUAAACUAGUGGAUCCAAAUCAGCCCCUUACGAAGCAACGCAUAAACUAGGGUUUAAGCUUCUGUCACUCUAGCAACCCAUCAUCUACUUACUACUUCCCAAUGCCUUUCUCUAGGCCCAAAUAAUGGUGAAGUGUUAUGUAGUCGACGUUCACAUAACACCACUAGAGGAAAAACAACAUACAACAUAUCAAAUUACCGAACGAAUACCAAAUUCACAUGACUACUAUUAGCAUGACUUAUCCCAUGUCCUCGGGAACAAAAGUAACUACUCACAAAGCAUAAUCAUAUUCAUGACCAGAGAGGUAAUGAGUAGCAUCAAGGAUCUGAACAUAAACUCUUCCACCAAAUAGUCCAACUAGCAUCAACUACAAAGAGUAAUCAACACUACUAGCAACCUUACAAGUACCAAUCGGAGUCGCGAGACGGAGAUUGGUUACAAGUGAUGAACUAGGGUUUGGAUAUGAGAUGGUGCUGAUGAAGAUGUUGAUGGUGAUGAAUCCCCUCCGAUGAGAGGAGUGUUGGUGAUGACGAUGGCGACGAUUUCAACCUCCGGGAGGGAAGUUUCCCGAGCAGGAUCGUCCGUCCGGAGCUCUAGAUUGGUUCUGCUCAAGUUCCGCCUCGUGGCGGCGGCGAAUCCAUGAAAAAGCUCCUCCUUGAUUUUUUACUGGACGAAACCCUUCAUAUAGCAAAAGAGGGGGGGGGGGGUAGUGGGCCAGCAGGCUGCCCACAAGCCCUCAUGGCGCGGCCUGGGGGGUGGCUGCAUCGUGCAGGCUUGUGGCCAACCCCUGGCGCCCCUCUAACACUUCUUCGGCCCAGUAUUUUUUAUAAAUCCGGAAAAAAAUCCUCGUUGAUUUUCACGGCGUUUGGAGUUGCGCAGAAUAGGUAUCUCAACUUUGCUCCACUUUCAGGCCAGAAUUCCAGCUGCCGGGAUUCUCCCUCUUCAUGUAAACCUUGCAAAAUAAGAGAGAAAAGGCAUAAGAAUUGUACCGUGACGUGAAAUAACAACCCAAGAAGCUAUAAAUAUCAACAUGAAAACAUGAUGCAAAAUGGACGUAUCAACUCCCCCAAGCUUAGACCUCGCUUGUCCUCAAGCGAAAGCCUAGCUCAAUAAAUAUGUCCACAUGUUUAGGGAGAGAGGUGUCGACAAAACAAGAUAUGAACAUGCAUGAAUCAUGAUCAUGAUCAGAACAACAAUACCAACAUAUAAUCUCUCAUGCUAAAGUGAUAAUUCCUUCACAAAGUAAAUAAUGGAUAAAGAACCUUACCGAGAAGUAACAACCAAUAGCCUUUAGUCAUUGAAGCAAUUGCAAUUUAUCACAACAUCAGAAAGAGUCAAAUAAGAGCUUGUAAAGCAAAUCCACAUACUCAAUCAUUCUUUCGUUCUCUACAAUUGCUACAACUCACGUGGUACUCAUGAGAUCAAAGUUUCAGCUGGACACAGAGAAAGAUAGGGAUUUAUAGUUUUGCCUCCCAACUGCUUACCUCAAGGGUAAUGUCAACAAUAAUAAUUCAUGAAUGCCUACCUCCAAGUUGACAUAUGAAUAUAGAUCUUUCCCAAGCAUAUGACGUUAGCCAAUAUAAUGGCGAAAUAAGGAAUUGGUGAAGAUCACCAUGACUCUUUCAAGGGAAAAAAGUAAAGGUACAAGAUAGGACCUUCGCAGAGGGAAGCAGAGGUUGUCAUGCGCUUUUGAGGUUUGAAUGUGUGUCCUCGUAGUGCGGAGGAACGUCACUUUAUAUUGCCUCUGUGAUAAAUAAAUUUAUUAUCCAGUCUGUCGCUUUUAUGUCUUCCUCAUCACAGGUUCGUAUAAAGCUUAUUUUCCACACACUAAUAGAUCAUACAUAUUAGAGAUUUUUAUUGCUUGUACCGAUGAAAACUUACUUGAGGGAUCUUAUUCAAUCCAUAGGUAGGUAUGGUGGACACUCAUGGCAAGACUGCUUUGAAGGUUUAUGGAUGCACAAGUAGUAUCUCUACUUGGUGCGGGAGGUUUUGGCUAAUAUGAGGUGGAAGCAAUUGUCACAUGCUAAGGGAUCUCUAAUCAUAUAAGAUUGUUCGGAACCAAGCAAACACAGUUCAUUAUGUUGUCUUUCUUGUCCAACAUCUACUUCUAGGCAUGUAAUAGUUUAGUGAGUGUUCACAAUCAUAGAUGGUGUCAGAGAUGAUAUAUUUAUAUGUGAAGCUCUCCUUCUUUAUCACUUCCUAUUAAUUGCAACCAUGACCAAGGUCUACAUUUGCCUACCCUCAACAAGUUUCAAUCAUCAUUCUUUUUACAUGUGAAGCCAUCACUUCCCAUAAGAUCAUUACAUGAUCUUUCAUGUUUUUGUUCUAUUCUCACUCUUUUUGUCAAGGCAAGAGGCAAAGCCCUUCAACUAAGACGCUCUUUAUUAUAUGGCUCACGAGCUCGAAUACAUCGGGGGUGACACAAAGCAAAACUCAAGACUAAGACACUAAGAAUUUUAAACUACUAGAGAAAGAGAAAACUGAAAAGGAACAAACUAAAACAAAGGUAAAGGCAAAAGAUGUGAUGGUGAUACGAUACCGGGGCAACUCCCCCAAGCUUGGCACAAGCCAAGGGGAUUGCCCAUACCAAUGCUCAGUUGUCUUCCUUUGGUGGUGAUGGAGGAGUUGUUGUAACAUGAGUUUGAUCCUCCGUCUUCCAAGGCAUACGUGCUCCACCAUGGAAAGAUGAACCAGUCUCCGGAAUCCUCAAAUCUGCAGCCAACCGUAUUGAUUUAAAUCUAUACUCAUACUCACAGUUUUGGUUCUGCACGUCAUAGAUCUGGGCUUGGAGUUGAUCAAUCCUGUAAUAGAGCCUGGAGAGGUGCUUCCCAAUGUCAUUGGCAUCAAUCCUGUGCUUGUUGGUGAACUCCGUGAUCAUCAUGUGGUUGGCGUUGAGUCCACGCUCCACCAUCCCUUUGGCACUUGAAGACUUGUUGCUCCAUUGCUUCUAGCCUCGUCUCCAUGCUUUCGGUCUUCUUAGGCCCCUCAACAUCACGGAUGUGCAACAUCCCCUCACGCAUCUCGAUAGAUUGAGGGUGUUGCAGCACUCCCGUGAGGUAGGGAUUGAUGACCUUCUCGAAGAUCUUGUCCUUCGGAGCUUUUGGGGAAGUCAUGGCAAUCUAGAUCUGCAACAGAAACAAGCUCGAAACGAAAAACACAGGAAAUCUGCGUGAUGCAGGGGUCAGACCAAACGGAAGUAUUUAUACUGAUUUUUUUCAGACCAGAAGAAGUACCCUGCAUGAAAACGGAGCCCGGGAGGCCCACGAGGUGGCCACAAGCCCUCACGGCGCAGCCAGGGGCGGGCCCGCGCUGUACAGGCUUGUCUCCUCCUCGCACACUUUCCGGACUACAUCCAAUUUUUGUAUUUUUUCAGAUAUUCCAAAACGGAGAAAAUUUCCUACUAGAAAAGUUUUAGACUCUGUUUUCUUACCGAAUCACAUACCUCUUUGUUUUCGGAGUCUGAAAUAGGCUGAUAAAUAUCCCUUAGGUAUUCUUCCAGAGUUAUGGUAUUGAUAAUAUUGCUUUCAACAUUUAUGGGAGUACCUGAGAUAUAAUACUUGAUUCUAUGCCCAUUUACCACUCUCGGACAAUUACCUUUCGUGUUGUUGAUGUUGAUAGCACCGGAACGAUAUACUUCCUCAAGAACAUAGGGACCUUCCCAUUUAGAGAGAAGCUUGCGUGCAAAGAAUCUUAAACGAGUGUUAUAUAGCAAGACAUAAUCACCUACAUUGAACUCACGCUUUUGUAUCUUUUUAUCAUGCCACCUCUUAACCUUCACUACUGGAAUCUGCUGGUUUGCCGACAGCCAGAGCUGACGGCAAAGGACAGUUUAACUGAUGGCAAAGGCUUUGCCGUCAGUGAGCUGUCGGCAAAGGUGUCGGCCAAGAUUUUAUCGGCAAUCACCUUCUUUGCCGACAGCCGGAGCUCCACCGACGGCAAAGACUUUGCCAUCAGCCUUGUGGCACGGGCUGACGGCAAAGAGAAGUGGCGGCAACGGCGCAGGCCGAGCUCCGUUAGAAGGUUAACGGUAGGCUUUGCCCACAACCGUAGCAAAGCUGACGGCAAAGCCUCCCCUCUUUGCCCACAGCCGCAGCAGAGCUGACGGCAAAGCCCAAACACCUGGGUCCCCUUGGCCGCCUCUUUGCCGACAGCUAGAGCCCAGCUGACGGCAAAGCCUACCCCUGAGUCCCCUUGGGCACCUCUUUGCCGACAGCUUUGUCCCAGCUGACGGCAAAGCCUACCCCUGAGUCUCCUUGGCCGCCUCUUUGCCAACAGCUUUGUCCCAGCUGACGGCAAAGCCGAAAAUUUGUGAUGCCCAGAGUUGCCAGAAUGCACAGGCUGCCGCCACGUGUCCUCUUUGUCGACAGCCCACCGAUGGCAAAGGCGUUGCCGUCAGUGAGCUGUCGGCAAAGACCCUCUUUGCUUUUUUUCCAUAUUUGUUUUCUGUUAAUUCCCUGCAUUUGCAAAACAUAGAUACAAACAACAACAUAUAUAUAUUGAAUCUGCCCCUAAACAGCACCACAAGUGCAUCACAAAGUACGGACAGCACGCAAACAACACGAAUAUAUGUCAUUAAAGUGCAAACAAGAUCACAAAGUAUUACAAAGCAUCACAAGUGCAUCCACAAAUACAAUUGCAUUACAAAGUUCAUCUAGGACUACACAAGUGCAUUAAAAAGUCUCGAGCAUCCAUCCAUAUGCCAUGCUGCUUUAUCAAAAUCUGCAUAAUGAGAAAGAAUUUAGAAGAAGAAUACAAUAAGAAAGAAGUUACCUAAAUUAAGCUAAGCAAUUAGAAGAAGAAGGGGAAGAAGAANUUUUUCUCCUCUUUCUUCUUCUCUUAUUUCUUCGUCUCUUGUUUGUUCUUCUCUUCUGGUUUCUUUUAAAACUUUCUAAACUAAUUAUGUCAUUUUUGAGCUCUAAUAUCAACUAGAAUUUACUAAGCUAACUAAACCAUGGCUAAUAUCAACUAGAAUUUACUAAGCUAAUUAAAGCCUGGCAUAAUCUAAGUUGAUCUAAACAAUAAGAAGAAUAAGAAGGAGAGGAAUAACUUACCAAAUGCCAGGAAACGAAGGAGAAGCUGCAUCUCCGUUGGUCGCUGGAUUGCUAGGGCUCUCACCAGGAGAAGCAAAGGGAUCAUGGGAUUCAACUCUUGAAUGAUGCUGCAACAAGGCAAGAGUUAAAAUAUGUGGUUAGCACGGCAACAGACAAUGGUAUAAGACCGUGCAAGGUCGGUCAUUGAAAGGGAACUCACUGUUCCCACCGGAGAAGGCAUCGGCGGAGGGGGCGGCAAACCUUGCUUCUCACACAUAGCCUGCAAAUUAGUUUUCGAGGAGUCAAAGAAAUAGCCUUGUUGCGUCUCACACAUGGCCUUGCUUCUCACACAACUGACUUACCGCAACGAAGUCGUGCAUGGCCUUCGCAUGGGCAUUAUUGCGUGCCCUCUCCUCGUCAAGCAACCUCUGCGUAUUCCGUUCCCUCUCCUCCAACAAGAGCCUGGUGGCCUCCCUCUCCUUCAUAAGUGGUGCCUGCAACCACUCCUCAAAAGGAAUUUUCAUCAUCCAUCCAGGGACAAAAGAACGAAAGAACUAAUGAAGAAAACUAACCUCGAUGGCAAGAUGAACUGGCCUCGCGCGUUGCCGUAUUGCAGUAGCCGAGCUCGUUUGCCUCGACUUGAUCUGAGAUAGAGUCUCAGUGAUAGGGACGAAGCCAUCACACAUGGCCAGCGUGGCAUGACUCUUACCGCCACCAGUGAUCAUUAACGCCUCUGGAUCCAUAGGAUUCUCGCUCGGGUCAAAGUCAGGCCCGCGUAGCUGUUUGACCACCUCAGAAUAAGACGUCAUCUUGCUGUAGGCGGACAGGCUUGUGUACGCCGACGGCCCGUCCCCCUCAGAAUAUGCCUUCGCCGUCUUGUACGAGCCCUUAUGGGCCAUGCUAAACGCGGCGUAUCCCUCAGGCUCGGGCUGGUUAUUGUGUUUGGCCUACACGAAAAGAUAGAAUUAGUACAACAAAAAUCAUGAACGAACGAAUUAUUGAUGAAACAAAACAAGGCACACAUACCCAUUUUUUGGCGUAUUGCUUGAUGUUGGCAUUGCCUUGGUGGUGUGGCACACCAACCAGUUGGGCACGACGGUCCUUGGCCAUAGUGUGGGUGCUCAACCAAGCCUCUGUGCACCACCUGUCCGCUAUCAUCUCCCAACAAUCCAUCUUAUCGGCCAACCAUCUCGGGGGCACCUAUGAAUGUAAGUUAAUGAAGAAUGAAACUAAGUAUUAUAAAUAAAUAGACCUAACUAGCCCUAAGAAUUGAUCUUUGGAAUGUACGUACCUCCAUGUACUCGGUCUUAUCAAGGAAAAUCUUUCGACAUUCAGUCUUUGUCUUCGGCUCCCUUGCUUGGCGUACCAAUCUCGAACAGCCUGAACACGCAUUUCGUGCCUCGUGUUAUUCAAUAAACUCUUGCACUCUUUCACGAGGUUCUUCUUGGCCGCCUCCUCCGUCCCCUCCUCGACCCUAAAGUGACUCUGCAAUUAUGCCAAAUAGAUGCACAGAUGAAUAGUGAAAUGAUUUGGAAGGAAAUAACAAUAUAUAACAUUGUAUACUUACCCAAAAAUCAGCCAACACCUUGUCGGCCACGCUCACGCAAACAACACCAUUGACAUGUGUGUUUUCCGGGAGCAGAGCGGCUUGGUAGUGCUCCCAGUUGAGUCCUGGCUCGGGAACCAUACCCUCACCGGGAAACUGCACUAUCCCGGGGAAGUGCUCCCUAAGUAAAGCACCAAGGAGGCAGUUUGGAUUCCGGGUAUUCUGCGGGUAAUCCCACCCCCUACAUAAUGAUAAGGCAAAGACAUUAGCUACUUGGUGAAAUAUAAUGAUAUAAGGUACACAAUAUAUAUCAACUUACUUCUCGCCUUCUGGCUUAAUUAAUGGCCUGUGCUGCAAGUCCAAUCGGUCUGGAACUCGUGUCAUACCACGUUGGUAGACCGACUUGCUGGCAGCCCCCUCAGCCUCCGCCUCAGCACCCUCCGCCUCAGCCAACGUCUCAGCACCCUCCGCCUCAGCACCCUCCGCCUCAGCCAACGUCUCAGCACCCUCCGCCUCAGCACCCUCCGCCUCAGCACCCUCCGCCUCAGCCUCCGCCUCAGCACCCUCACCCUCCGCCUCAGCCUCCGCCUCAGCCCCCUGCAUCGGUGUCUCCUCCUGGACGGUAGGAUCCCGCACUGGCGACACCCUCGUCUGCAAGGAUGAAGUGGCCGAGGGUGGUGGCGACUGGCUCCUAUUAUGCAGCCUCCCUCUCCCACGACCACGUCCUCUGCAUCUCUUCUUUCCUACGCCUCUCCCACGGGGCUCCUCGGCAAAGCUCUGCAACAAAGUUCUCCGUAGCUGCCCAGGUGCUAUCCUCAACUUAUCCCCGCCUGCCAUGUCUCACCACCUGUAACGAUAAAUAGUUAAAUAAUUAGUACAAAUUCAAGGACAAUAAUUAAGUGAACAAUAAUAAAUACAUGAAUAAUUCAACUAAUAAUUGAAUAAUUAAACAACAAUGUUUGGAUGCAUACUAAGUACUAAUAGUCUGGAUCAUCUGUCUCUUCUCCAUGGUCAAUUGAAGCAAAAUCAUCAUCAGUAUCACACGUGUCGUCAUGACUGAUAUCGUCAUCGGGUUCAAGGACAUCAUGUGGAAGGCCUUUUUGUAACCGAUCAAGCAUUGAUAGCUCAUCGGCAUUGGUAACUUCUUCUACUUCCACUUCUUCCUCAUCAUCACGUGAGUCUUGUUCCUCCGUGUUCAGGGUGGACGUAGAGCAGUUUCGGGUACGACGUCUGACACCACGUGAUUCUUGGAAAAAUUCUCCAUCAUAUGUUAUUGGGUCAAUUUGAGGUUCAUAAUCGUCUUCAUUUGGGGGAGGUGGUCUAAGAUGUGGCGGCACAUCGAACACGACAUACCAACCUUCUAGGUUCUUAACACUUUGACGACAGUAUGGCAGAUAGAAAACUUGGGUGGCCUGUUGAGCCACAAUAUAGACAUCGACACCGCUUAACUGCCUGUCUUGUCGAAUUUCGACAAUCCCAAGAUGUUCAUGAGUCCGUAUUGUCUUAGUAGGAUCGAACCAAUGACAUUUGAACACAACAACGUUCGGAGGAUUUUCACCAUAAUAAUGAAGUUCGUAGACUUCUUCAAGUCUUCCAUAAUACUCGACACCUCCCUCGCCUAUAGCAGAGACACCGAAAUUGUUUGUUUUUCGACUGGGCAUUGAAAGCUCUUUGCUAGCAGUACGAAAGCGGUACCCGUUGAUGUCAUACUUCUGAAAUGUACGGACCUUAAAGUCAAAACCAUUAGCUAUUUGUCUCAAUUCAUCGUCGACUUGCUCAUCUGAAUUAGCCUAGAAGUUAAGAAAAGAUAGAGUUUGGUGUGUUACUCAUGAGUAAUAGCAACAAAGGAAAUCACUUAUUAUAUAUAAGGGAGGUACCGUUUUUUUGAACCAAGAGAUGAAACCGGGAUAGCCGCCUCCUGUCUUUUCAAGAAGUUCAUACUCGAGAAUGGAUUCUUUCUCGAUUGCAACACCAUUCGAGAAUUGUUCGACGUAUUGACUGUAUCAAUUAAUAAUAGUUGUUAGACACAAAACUUGUUAAAAGUUGCGAAACAAUGUACAUAGCGCUUACUCGAUGUAUGGCCGAACUUCUGUUAAAUUGUUCAAUAUAUACAUCGUUAGUGUGCGCCACUCCUCGACGCACAGCAACUUUGGUUUUCCCACACCAGAAGGUGCGAGCUUCCCUUUGAAAAGGCUGAGAUUGGAUUCACGUCGUUUGGGGUCGCCCAGAUUGUACCGAGGCUUUGGAUUAUGCAAGCUGUGCAUAGUGGCAUCAUAGUGUGCUGUUACGAAAUUUGCCGCCUCCUCGGUAAUGAACGCCUCGGCCAUCGAUGCUUCAAUUCUACGUUUAUUUUUACAUUUUCCUCGAAGUGUCUUCUGCAUUCUUUCAGUUGCGUAGCACCAACGAUUUUGCACAGGGCCACCCAAUCUUGCCUCGGUUGGGAGAUGCAAAAUCAUGUGUUGCAUCGGAUUAAAGAAGCCCGGUGGAAAAAUCUUCUCAAACUUGCAGAGCAACUCAGGCGCCAACUCUUCCAUGUCAUCUAUCAAGGCACGCGACAACUCUUUAGCACAAAGAACACGGAAGAAAUAGCUCAACUCGGCCAAUACUAGCCAUUCAGCCUCGGGGAUAUAGCCACGCAACAUCACCGACAUUAUCCGCUCAAGCCAUAUGUGCCAAUCAUGACUCUUGAGCCCAAAAAUUUUCAUUUUCUCAAUGCUCGCUCCCCUCGCUAGAUUCGCAGCAUACCCAUCAGGGAACAACAACUUUUUUUGCACCCACAAGAGGAUUUCCCUUAUUGCUGCCUUCUCAAGAUUGUACCAGGCAGGUGGUUUGGACCAAUUUUUUCUUCCUUUCGGUUCUCGCAUGUUUAGUGAUGGCCUAUCACACAGAGUCUCCUGGUCAACUCUAGCCUUUGUAUUAUCUUUGCCCUUAUCAGUGCCAAAAAAUGUGCCAAGAAGGGCCUCGGCGAUAUUAUUUUCAGUGUGCAUCAUGUCAAUGUUGUGUGGAAGUAAGAGGUCUUCGAAGUAGGGGAGAUCUCAGAUGCAUGGCUUGUGGGUCCAGGCGUGUUCCUCAUUAUAACCCAAGAAAUACCCUAGACGGUUUGGAUCAGGCUCCAUAGAUUUUAACUGUUCAUUAAUUUGUGCCCCCGUCAACGCAGGUGGUGCAGAGUGUUUGACAACUUUACCUUUCAUGAAAUUCUUCUUGUCUUUUCUGAAUGGAUGGUCCAUAGGCAAGAACUGUCUAUGCAAGUCAAAGCAGGAAUACUUCCCACCCGCCGGCAACCAAUGAAACUUAAGAGCUGCCUUGCAUUGUGGGCAUGGGAACCUUCCAUGCACACCAGGCAACGAAAAGCGCAAAUGCUGGCAGAUCAUGCAACGAGUAUUGGUACCAAACAUACAUUUGAAAGUUCUCUUUCUUAGCUGCGUCGUAUGUGUUGACCCCAUUCACCCAAGCUUCUUUCAAGUCAUCCAUCAGCGGUUGCAUGUACACACUCAUAUUCUUCCCCGGGUAUUUUGGCCCUGGAACUAUCAACGUCAGAAAUAUGUGCUUUCUUUGCAUAAUGGAUAGUGGUGGAAGAUUGAGGGGAAUGACAAAUACAGGCCAGCAACUAUAUUGGGUAGCCGUCAUACCAAAAGGAUUGAACCCAUCGAGGCUGAUGGUGAUUCAACAAUUCCUUGGUUUUUUAGCUUUUUCCUUAUGUAUACUAUCGAAUGCCUUCCAUGCGUCACCAUCUGAAGGGUGUACCAACAUCGGAACUCCGUGUUCAUCUAAUUCUUUCCUAAUUCCAUGUUUGUGCCAUGUCAUCUGUUUUGCUGUUUCUUCGAGCAUGUAAAGUCGUUGAAGUCUUGGUAGGAUCGGCAGAUACCGUAGGACACUCACGGGGAUUUUGCUCUGCUUCUUCUCACCUUCACCGUUUUCUACCUCAACAUAUCUGGAGGACUUGCAAAAUGGACAAUAUGUUUCCUCCGCAUACUCUUUCCUAAAUAAGGCACAUCCCUUCUCACAAGCAUGUAUCUGCUCAUACGACAUCUUGAGUGCACUAAGGAUUUUGUUUGACUCAUAUAGGUUUGAAGGCAUAAUAUGACCUUCUGGUAGAAAGCGCCCAAAUAGGGUCAUCACUGAGUCAAAUAGAUCUCUUCCAAUGUUGAACUGGGCUUUCAGGGCCAUUACUUGUGCGAUGGCAUCUAGCUGAGAAAUCUUAGUGUGCUCGUGAAGAGGACGUUUUGAAGACUCCAACAUGGCAUAGAAGGCUUUCGCGGAUUCCUCCAUCUCUUCGUCCUUGUUCCGAGCAUCAUCAAAUUCAUUCACCAUGUCUUCAAUCCCUGUACCAUGAUCAUCGGUGCGCCGACGCAACACCUCGUCUCUGUUACGUUGGGCCGACUCACCAUGAAAUGUCCACAAGGUAUAGCCGGGAGUAAAACCACGCAUCUGCAGGUGUUUACCCAUUACAUCCUUUGUCUGUCGCGAAUAAUUCUUGCACUUAGUGCAGGGGCACCAUGUUUUUGGCUGGCCUUUAGAAAACGCCGUUUCCACGAAUUCAUAGGUUUUGCUCAACCAUUCAUCGGUCAUAUCUCUCUGACUAUGGUGACCGGUGUACAUCCAUUCACGAUCAGUCAUUCUGGCAAGCUAGCUACAUAGUAUCCACAUAUAAAACAAUAUAAAAUAUCAAUUCAUCAAGUAUGUUAAAUUAAUUAUGGCCAUUUUUUAAUCAUGGUUAAUACAUUGGGAUGCACGGCAUGCACACCUACCAGCUACUAGGUAAAGAUGGGUCCUAAUCCCACCCGAGUAUGUGUAGAUUGGGUCAUUUCCCACUGCUCUGCUCCCGACCCAACGCAAAAUUUCGGCAGAACCUCCCCGCUGUUCUCCUGAUACACGUCUCGGCAACUAACCGAGAGGAUGUGUACCCGGAGAACAACAAGGAGGAGCUGUCGAAACUCUGCAUGGGAUCCGGAGCAAAGCGUGGGAAACGACCCAAUCUACACAUACCCGGGCUGUCCAUGGAUAACGUUGGACAAUUCGAAAGAAUCACCGUUAUAAAUAUGCAAAUGCAUGCAUAUUUAUGACAGGAACCCUUUCGAACGGGAGACGCAUAUUGGUUACGCAACACCUUUGCAUUUUAAUACUAAAAAUACCUAGCUAGAUAGUGUCAUCAGUACGAAGGCCGGAACAGAGCAAAAUAAAGGGGGUGGAGGAGGAGUUAACAAAUGUGCUCACUUUCGAAUGCAGGGGAGGUCGUCGAAAACCAAUCCCUCACGGAGAAGCUACUGCACAUUUAAAUGCACUCAAUGAACACAAGAAAUUCCUACAUUAAUUAGAAAUUAGGAGCCGUUAAUCUGGUGGGACCAAGUUAUUAUGGUGUAGAUUACUCUAUAUAAUAUGAAGUUUGCAAUAUAUAUUAUGUUAUUUUUAUACUAUGGAAAUACCAGAUAUUUCCAAUUCAAUCUCUCACAUAUCCGUUUUUGUCAGUUCCGCAUCCCUCACGUAUCUCUAUCUCAAAAAAUAAUAUCUCUAACGUAUCUCUCUCUCUCUCUCUUAACAUAUAGUCCAAGUUUUGAUCUAUCCUAGGCCGGCUGUCACCUUGGGAUCCUUUGUACUUGAGCAAAGGCGGUGCAGGCAUACCUGAAAUCCUUUGUACUUGAUAGUGUCUUUCAAACGGCCCACUAUGUACAAGUACCCAUCUGAAUCAAUUAUUUUGUAGUACUAGUAUAAUUAGAUAUUUGCAUCAGACUCUAGUAAAGGCGAGUGCAUAUGUCAGCCAUCAAACUCAAGUAAAGGCCAGCCAUCAAACUCAGAAAAUGCAGACAAUGCAUAUGUCAAAGUGUUCAUAGGGUCUUCAAUAACCACCUCACCAGCGAUUUAAGUAAAGGCCAGUCAAUGUCUUUUUAAGGAAAACUCAAGUGACUUGAAAUGAUCUUUUUAACUAGAAAUCGAUUUGCAUCAGACUACAAAUGCCCAAAAUUCAAGGUGUGUUUUUCGUUUGGAGUUGCUGAGUUGGGCUCAUGAAAUGUUACCUCGAGCUGCUGGUGGGCCGCGGGAGGAGGGGGCUGCGGCGGCGGGGCGAGCUCGAGGCGGCGGCGGCGGGGCGAGAGAGACGCGGUGAGACAGAGACGCGCGCGGUGAGAGAGAGGUCACGGGGGGAUAAGGCAGGUUAUGGGGUUAGCCUCUUUGCCCUCAGCCAGCUGUCGGCAAAGACAGCCGUUAGUCUUUGCCCUCAGCUGGCUGUCGGCAAAGAAGGCCCCCGAUUUUUUUUUCUGGCCGAGGCGGCGACUGGGGUUAGCCCCUAUGCCGUCAGCCUUCCUAUGCCGACCGCUUUUUUGUCCUUUGCCGUCAGCUGGCUACCGGCUUAGAUAAAGCGGACGACAUAGAUUUUAUUUGCCGUCAGCCACACCUAUGCCGUCAGCUUGUAUUUUGGCUGAGGGCAAAGUCUCUUUGCCGUCAGCCCCGUAAAAUCUCUGACGGCAAAGCUUAAAGCUGUCGGCAAACUAGCAGAUUCCAGUAGUGCUUCUCUUUGAACAACUUGGCAUUCUCAUAUGCCUGAGUUCUCCAUUCAUCAAGCGAGCUAAUAUCAAAUAACCUCUUCUCACUGGCAAGUUUGAAAUCAAAGUUGAGCUCUUUGAUUGCCCAAUAAGCUUUAUGCUCUAGCUCAAGAGGUAAAUGACAUGCUUUAGAGUACACCAUUUUUUUACGAAGACAUGCCCAUGGGAUUCUUAUAGGCAGUUCUAUAAGCCCAUAGUGCAUCAUCAAGCUUCUUAGACCAAUUCUUUCUAGACCUAUUGACAGUCUUUUGCAAAAUCAGUUUAAUCUCUCUAUUACUGAGCUCUACUUGACCACUGGACUGAGGGUGAUAGGGAGACGCAAUUCUAUGGUUGACAUCGUACUUAGCAAGUGUUUUACGGAAAGCACCAUGAAUGAUGUGUGAACCACCGUCGGUCAUUAGAUAUCUAGGGACUCCAAAUCUAGGGAAGAUGACUUCUUUAAGCAUCCUGAUAGAAGUGUUGUGAUCAGCACUACUAGAGGGGAUAGCUUCUACCCACUUAGUGACAUAAUCAACAGCAACUAGGAUAUGAGUAUACCCGUUGUAUUUUGGAAAAUGCCCCAUAUAAUCAAAGCCCCAAACAUCAAAUGGUUCAAUGACAAGUGAAUAGUUCAUAGGCAUUUCCUGACGUUUGCUAAUAUUACCUAUUCUUUGACAUUCAUCACAAGACAAGACGAACUUACGGGCAUCCUUGAAGAGAGUGGGCCAAUAGAAACCAGAUUGCAAUACCUUGUGUGCAAUUCUAUCUCCCGCAUGGUGUCCUCCGUAGGCCUCGAAGUGACACUUCUGUAGGAUCUGUCCCUGUUCAUGUUUAGGUACACAACGUCUAAUAACACCAUCUACUCCUUCCUUAUAAAGGUGAGGAUCAUCCCAAAAGUAAUGUCUCAAGUCAAAGAAGAAUUUCUUGUUUUGCUGGUACGUGAAACUAGGUGGUAUGUAUUUGGCAACGAUAUUGUUUGCAUAAUCAGCAUACCACGGUGCACUACGUGAAGCAUUGAUGACAUUGAAUUGAUCACCGGGAAAGCUAUCAUCAAUAGGUUGUGGGUCACCAAGAAUGUUCUCCAACCUAGACAAGUUAUCUGCUACUGGAUUAUCAACACCCUUUCUGUUGACAACGUGCAAAUCAAAUUCUUGUAGAAAGAGAACCCAUCUGAUAAGUCUAGGUUUAGCGUCCUUCUUCUCCACGAGGUACUUAAUAGCAGCGUGAUCAGGGUGAAUAAUGACUUUGGAAUCAACUAUGUAAGACCUGAACUUUUCACAUGCAAACACGACUGCUAAAAAUUCCUUCUCCGUAGUGGCAUAGUUUCUUUGGGCACUGUCUAGGGUUUUACUAGCGUAGUGAAUAACAUUCAAGUUCUUAUCGACUCCUUGCCCUAGGACAGCACCAACAGCAUAAUCACUAGCGUCACACAUGAUCUCAAAAGGUAAGUUCCAAUUAGGUGGUUGAACAAAAGGUGCAGUUAUAAAAGCCCUCUUAAGUAUUUCGAAGGCUUCCUCACAAUCAUCGUCAAAAACAAAAGGAAUAUCCUUUUGCAAGAGAUUGGUAAGAGGCCUAGAAAUCCUAGAGAAGUCUCUAAUGAACCUUCUAUAGAAACCAGCAUGACCAAGGAAACUUCUUAUACCGUUGAUAUCUGUGGGGUAUGACAUUUUCUCUAUUGCAUCAACCUUAGCCUUAUCGAUUUCAAUACCUCUUUCAGAAAUUUUGUGUCCUAAGACGAUGCCUUCAUUAACCAUAAAGUGGCACUUCUCCCAAUUGAAGACACGAUUGGUGUAUUACAUCUCUGUAAGACUCGAUCAAGGUUGCUGAGGCAAUCAUCAAAGGAAGACCCGUAAAUGAAAAAUUCAUCCAUGAAAACCUCAACAAUCUUUUCACAAAAGUCAGAGAAUAUAGCCAUCAUACAUAUUUGAAUGGUGGUUUUCUCCUGAUCAGAUUGUGCAACUGGUAUUUGGGAGAAACUAGAAUAGCCGUCUAGAAAGCAGAAGUGUGUGUGUUUGGACAGCCUUUCUAGCAUUUGGUCGAUAAAAGGCAAAGGGUAAUGAUCUUUCCUAGUGGCUUUAUUCAAUUUCCUAAAAUCGAUCACCAUCCAAUAGCCAGUAAUAAUCCUCUAUGCGAUCAAUUCAUCCUUAUCAUUAGGGACAACGGUAAUGCCUCCCUUCUUAGGGACGCAAUGCACCGGACUCACCCAAUUUGUAUGAGCAACAUGAUAGAUAAUACCCGCUUCCAGGAGCUUUAGUAUUUCUUUUCUCACUACUUCUUUCAUCUUAGGAUUUAAUCUCCUUUGAUGAUCAACAACUGGUUUGAAAUCAGAAUCAGCUUUAAUCUUGUGCUGGCAUAGAGUGGGACUAAUGCCCUUAAGAUCAUCAAGAGUAUAUCCAAUAGCAGCACGAUGCUUCCUCAGAGUUUUUAGCAACUUCUUUUCUUCAUGCUUUGAGAGGCUAGCACUAAUAAUGACAUGAUAUAUCUGCUUUUCAUCCAUUUUGGUCCAUUUUGGCAAUCGAUGCCAAUGGGGGAGAAGUUUAGAGAGUUUACUUUGGAUAUGUUUGGAGGGUUUAGCUUUUAUUACGUAAGCAUUUACAUCUUGCUCACAUGCACUAUUACCUUGUAUGUGUGUGCUUUGUGUACUGCUUAUUUCCUUAUAUAAACUCUCUUGAAGUGGUUGUCUUCAAUUACCAAAAUGGGGGAGAUUGAUAGAGCAUAAUAUAUCUCCAUAUGUGGUUUUGGUAAUUGAUGACCAUCCCUAUGGACUAAUGGUUGCCUUAAGUUAUAUUUAUAGGAUUUGUCCAUAGGCACUUCUUGAAGUCCAUAUGUUGGGUUCAAGGAGUUUAUAUGUUGACCAAGAUGUUAUUCAAGGUAUUAUCCACAGAAUGGUCAUAGAAGGUUGAUCAAGAUCUCAGACUAAGAACAAAUCAAGAUGAUCAACACACAAAGCGUAUAAGAUGUACCGAGAGGGAUCAAGUGAUCCCAUGGUAUGGUAAGCAUUGUCCAUUACGUGUUUGUGUACNAGAAUGGUCAUAGAAGGUUGAUCAAGAUCUCAGACUAAGAACAAAUCAAGAUGAUCAACACACAAAGCAUAUAAGAUGUACCGAGAGGGAUCAAGUGAUCCCAUGGUAUGGUAAGCAUUGUCCAUUACGUGUUUGUGUACUAACCCAUGGUAUUUGUGAGACUCCUAUGUGGGGGUUAGGUGUGUUUUCAUUGGGCUUGCGUCAAAAGGAAGAUCUCAUACAACCCAUGAAGGAUGACGUCAAGUGGUGAUCGUCAUCAAGAUUGUGGUGUGCAAGUUNUUUGUGAGACUCCUAUGUGGGGGUUAGGUGUGUUUUUAUUGGGCUUGCGUCAAAAGGAAGAUCUCAUACAACCCAUGAAGGAUGACGUCAAGUGGUGAUCGUCAUCAAGAUUGUGGUGUGCAAGUUCAAGUGGAUCAUCACUAAUAUAUCAAUGAAACUAUUGUCAAUGAUCAUGUGUUGAUAAGGACAAUCUCAUGUGCUAACAAGGACAAGAUCAAGAUAAGCAUUCUUGAGCACUACAUGCUUGAGUCUUGUGGAUGUUCGCAUGGUGGACAUGACAAGAUCAAGAUAAGCAUUCUUGAGCACUACAUGCUUGAUUCCUGUGGAUGUUCACAUGGUGGACAAAUGAAGAUAAGUACAUAAGCUAGGCUUUCCACAUUGUGUAUGGGAAAGCUACUUGAAGACUUCAUCAUGUCCUGCUUUCAACUUGAGCCAAGAAGGAACAACAACAUCAAGCUCAGGUGAAAGGGCUAACUCAAAGGUAUCAGUUCCUUUGACGUUAGUGGUGCGGAGUAAUGAUCAGCAAAUAAAAGUAUACACUCAAGUAUGGAUCAUCAGUACUCUUUUAUGAUUCUUGAGUCCUUAGGGAUCCCGCACUAUUAAGAGGGGAUCACAGGUUUUGCGAUGAACUUGCUCAAACUACAACUUCACUUUCUACUCAGACCACAUCUCCACUGCUUUGCUGUUAUCUGUAAACAGAACCAGUGCCUCGGACAUCCGGCUUCCUCCGGAUGUCCGAGGACCGGACGACCGACUAGUUCGGAAAUCCGGAAUCCUAUACCAGAGAAAUUAGAGCCAUAUAACUCGGACUUCCGGCUCUCUCCGGACGUCCGAGGCCCAGAUGUCCGGCCAAAUCCCGGAAAUCCGGAUGCCUGCUCUAGUAGAUGUUGAGCUCUAUAUCUCGGAAAUCCGGCUACCUCAGGACGUCCGAGCGCCGGACGUCCGACACCCGUCGGAAAUCCGGAACCUACCACCAGUAGAAGUUGAGUUCUAUAUCUCAGAAAUCCGGCUCCCUCCGGACGUCCGAGCGCCGAAUGUCCGACACCCGUCGGAAAUCCGGAAGCCACCACCAGUGGAAAUUGCGUUGUAUAUCACGGACUUCCGGGCCACUCCGGACGUCCGUAUGUUGAUGAAUUCAAAUAUGUUCAGGCACAUCUACAGGCCUCGGACGACCGACCCCUCUCGGACGCCCGGACGCUGAUGAAUUCAGAAGAGCUCCAGUCAUGCCUACAGGUCUCGGACGUCCGACCCCUGUCGGACGUCCGGCCCCUCACGGACGCCCGGACUUCCGACAACUGUCGGACGUCCGGACCCUGUGUGACUUAAAAGUGUCCCCAACGGCUCUUUUUUCUCUCCACACUAUAAAUAGCCCCCUCCCACUUCGUGAGAGGGUUGCCCAGCACAGCCUUAUCCUCAUAAGAACACAUUUCCACCUCACACACAUUUGCUCACUCCAAAUCUUAGAUCCCAAGAGCAUUUGUGAGCCCCUUUGAGAGUUGUUCCAAUCAAAAGAUAGAUCGUCUCCCUCUCCUUUUCUCAACCCAAGCUAUUUGUGAUUUGAGAAAGUUUUGAGCAUUCCCCGUGAUCUUGUUACUCUUGGAGGUUGGAGACUCCUAGGCGGUAGGAGUUCUUCGGAGAGGAGUCAAUUCGUGUGAUUUCCCCCGGAAAAGUUUGUGAGGGUUUGGAAGCCACCUCAAAGGCUUACCACUAGUGGUUGAGAAACGCCUUCGUGGUGUUAUCUCAAAGGGAGAAUAGGGUGAGCCUUCGUGGCGUUGGUGUGCCUUCGUGGUAACAUCCACCUCUCUAACGGUGACUAGCUUCCCUCCAAGGAAGUGAACAUCGGGAUACAUCUUCGUCUCAGUGACCUUGGUUAUCCUUAAACCUAACUCCUUACUUGUGGUUUACUUGUGUUAUUUGAGCAUACAUACAUUGCAUAUUUCUUGUGCUCAUUAUAUUGUGUUGGCCAUUUCUUGUACAAGAUUGAUCAUUCAAGCAUACCCUCUAUAUCCACACAUACAUACUUGCAACCCUUGAUAUAUCGUGUGAUAUAGUGUGAUCUAGUAUCUUGUGUUAUUUACCUACUUGUCGUGUGAUAUAGCUCAAGUAAGCUUGUGUAACUUACUUGUGCUUGUUAGUAACUGCAUUGUGUCCAUCUUGGUAGAUCGUGUUGUUGAUACACGUUGCAGUGCCUUGUGCAUUUAGGAUUUGUGCUUGACAAGUACCCUCUUAGUUUAUUUCCGCAUUAGGGUCAAGCCAAAUCUGAAGAAGUUUUUAAAUAGCCUAUUCACCCCCCCUCUAGGCGUCAUCGAGGUCUUUUCAAUUGGUAUCAGAGCUAGGUCUCUCUUUAAUUAGGUUUCACGACCUAGAGAGUAUCAAUGUCGACUAUUGGAUUAGUUCACAAUGGCAUCUUUGACUUUGAUGGCACAAAUUAUACCUUAUGGAGAAUUCGUAUGCUUCAUCACUUUCGGGCCAUGGGCCCAAAUACUUUACGAAUUGUUCUUGUAGGGAUUGCCGACAUAAAGGAUGAUGCAUCUUCAUCUACUAAUGAAAUGUAUCUUGAUUGUGAGGCCUUUCUUGCCAUUCAUCGAACCAUAAGUCCUGAAGUGUUCAAGUCUAUCUCGACUUGCAAGUCAGCUCAUGAAGUUUGGACGAAACUUGAAGAUAUAUAUGGUGGGUCCAAUCUUGAUGAAGACGGUAUUAUGAUGAAGGAGUUGGUGCAUGAGCUCUUCACACUUUUCGAUCUUAAAGAGUCCACCACUACUCCCAUAUCCGAUUGCUUGCACACCUCAGCAUCUUCAAUCUCACAAGGUAAUGACAUGGUGAGUGAAGAAAUAUAUGUUGAUGAAAAUGGCAUAGCCUCUAUGGACACGAGCAUAUCUAGCACCACACAUAGUGUAAAUUAUUGUGCUGAUAGGUCAUGCAUUUCACCUAAAGAUUCCUUGACAAAUGUCUGUGGUGAUAUGCCUGCUUCCUCGUGUCCUCUUGAUCAAAAUAUCUUGUUUCUCCCUAGUUGCUCUAUGACUAAUCAUUUAGGGGAUAUCAAGAAUUAUGAAGUACUUUUGACUAAUGAAGAAUCUGAUUCACCAAAAGAAUCAUCAUCAACUCCUCCAGUUCACAUGUGCCUCAUGGCAAGAGGUAAUAAUGAGGUAUCAUCUUCCCUGUGCAAUAACGAUGAUAUUUGCGAUGAGGAUGAUGAUGAUGACUUGACUGAAAAUAUCUAUGUGAUCAGUAAAAUUCUUCAUAAAGCUAAAAAUAACUCUCUUCAAAGGUUCCAAGAUGUUCUUGCUUAUAUUGAAAACUGUAAUGAUUCACUUAAUCAUGAACAAGCUAAAAGUGAACAACUUGAACAUGAAGUUGAGAAGAGUCAUCAAGCAUGUAGAGACUCAAGAUCUUCAAAAGGAGAGAUUGAAGUUGCUCAUGAUAAACUUAAAAGGGAUUUUGAGGUCCUUCUCCUUGAAUGUAAUAAUGUCAAGGGAGAGCUCAUCAAAACCUCUAAGAUCUAUGAGGAGCUUCAAUCUACUCAUGAGAAGUCUCUAUUUGCUACUUACUCCUCUCAUAUUGUUGAUGAUAUUUGUACAUCUAACUCUACCUCUUUUGAAGUAUCAACAUUGAAGGACAAUGUUGAGCUACGUGCUCAACUUGAUUUACUAACUAGCAAUUAUGGGAAGUUGGAAGAAAACCAUGUAAUGCUCACAAGCUCUCAUGCCGAUCUUCUAACAUCCCAUAAUGUGCAAAAGUUAGCUCAUGGGGCUUUCAUCACCAAGGUAACAUCAAGCGAGCCUCAUGUGGACAAUGGCACUACUUCUAGUCAAAGUACUAUAUUUCCAUGUGCUAGUCCUCGUAAUUCGUCUACUCAUAAUGUUGCUACCUCAUGUGAUGAAUUACUUUCCUUGCCUUGUUGCCCUAACAUUUAAGCUUAUACUUCCUCUAGUACUUGCAUUGAUACUAACCGUGUAGAGGAAAUCAAAGAGCUCAAGGCCCAAGUCACUUCCUUGAAGAAAGACUUGGAACAGUGUCAUGAAGGGAUGCCCACACUCAACAACGUCCUGUGUGAGCAAACAUCUCCGAAUGACAAAAAUGAGUUUGGAGUAAACUCAAACAAGAACAAGAGGGGCCUAGAACAAGUCAAUAAUUCGGCCAAAAUUAUUUGCUUCAAGUGCAAAGUUAAAGGGCACCAUGUUAGAUCUUCCCCUGUGAAGACGAAGUCUCAAAGUCACAAGCAACAAGGGAAGCGGCCACAAACUUAGUCACAUAUUCAACUACAAGUUGAAGGAAGGCCUCUUCCCAAUAAGACCCAAGCCAACACUCUCCGAGGUGAGAAAUCAACUGGGAAGAAAGCAAAGGGUAGAUGUUGCUACUUAUGUCGUGAGACGGGUCACGUCGCUUCGUCUUGCACAAGAGGUAACUUAUCCAACCCAAUCACUAUUGAUGAUAUCUAUUCCCUUGGGAAGGAUAAGGUUGGCAAUGUGUUUGCCAAGUUUGUUGGUACUCAAAAUGGUGUCAAGAAAAGAACCAUUUGGGUUGCCAAGCCUAUUGUGAUUAACCUCUUAGGACCCAACGUAGUUGGGGACCAACAAGCUCAAACUUGAUCAAUAGGUUACUAUGGAGGACAUUCGAGACUUGGAUACAUAAUGAAGAAUUAAGGGGUCUUCAUCAUUCUUAUUAUCUCAAACCAAGUCAUUUGUAUUAUCGAGUUUCUAUCUUAUAUCCAAUGUGCCUCCUUACGGUACCUUAUACUUAAACUGUUUACAUUGUUAGGUGCUUGCCCCUUUGCAUGUUGUGGUUUUGUACCUUGCAUGCGUUUGUAUAUGUUGUGCCUCCAACUUGCUUAUCUUGAGUAAUCAAGUAUGUGUAUGUUGGUUUGCACAUCAUGUACAUGUGAGUCUUGUAUUGAGCCUAUUUGCAUCUUGUCUGUAUUUUUGUUGGCUCUUGUGAGAGAUUAAUGGAUUAUCCCAUUGUGGGGGAGUGAUGUGCUUUGCACACCUCACAAUCCUAUAAAUGUUUAUACAUGGGGAAUACCACUUAGUUUUGAUAUUUCAAGAUUAUCUAGUUUCUAUGUGGUAUGUCUUACUCAUGAGAAAUUCAAAUUCUAUAUGAUCCAUUAAUUAUCUCUUGUUGGUUUCGAUUUACCACUUGUUAAUACUAUUGGUUUAUCACAUUAUGGGGGAGUAAUAUGCUAUGUGCAUAUUACAAACCUAGAAAAUGUGUACAUUUGAGGUGUUGCCACUUAGUGUUGAUAUUGUAAAUUAUCCUGUUCCUAGGUGGCAUGUUAUCUCUACAAGUGUCAUUUGCUUGCGUUUUAUGGAUAAAGAUGAUCUUGGAUAUACUUGUGAUCUACCAAUGAGUAUAAUUUCGAAAAUACUUCUUGUCCUUGACAAUUGGUAUUCCCAUCAUGUGAUUGGAAUUGCUAAUCAUCUUUACAUUGGUUUUUGUGUUUCGUUUGUCUUCCUUGCCUCUUAUGGAUCUAUUCUAACCUGUCUAGUGCUUUUAUAGAUAUAGAGAAAGUGAUGAUCCCAUCGUGUGCGUUUUGUAUUUAAAUGCAAAUUCUAUACAAUGCACGUCCCUUGAGGGAGCUAUCCUAUUGUCUUUAGAACACUCUCUUUAUUCACCCAUCAUAAAAUCUUUUGAUCCCCAUCAAGUGUGUGUUGAUGGGAGGCAAGUCUUGCUCUUUAUGAUGCUUUGUGCCAUCAUGAAAAUUUGUAGAGGGUUUUGGUUUGUUGGAACCUAGCUCUCUUUUGGAAACUAGAAACCUCGUGUUUGUUUUCCUUCAAUUGGUUUCUUGUUGCCUCCUAUUUGGCAUGUGUCAAUGGAUAUCUCAUUCCUUGAUGUAUCUUUUAAUUGAUAUCCUUCAAGUGAUAGUUCUUUUGUUUUAGGAUCUUAUUAUCACUUGAUACCUUGUCUUUUGAUGACUUAUCAACUUUGUGUUGAGUUGAUUUCUUGAGAGUCUUGAGCAUGCAUAUCUAGCUACUAUAUACAACUUCUUUUGCUUGCUUUCCUUCUUUGACCCAAUAUAUAAGGGAAACUCCACCCUGUCAUAAAUUGGCUAAGGUGUGCAUGAAAUUCAAAUUCAUAUCUAUAUGCACAUAUGUGUGUGGAGUUUGUCCUAUGUAUUACUGGUUUUCUAACUCUUUGGUCCCAAUGAGUUUGGGCACCAUUUUGUUUGUUUUGUUGUUCCAGGAACAACUGGAGAUGCAUUGGAUGCUCGGCUCACCUAUAAGGAAGAUGUUGAGACCACGUGAUUAUUGGAGCCAAGUUAGGAUGAUCAAAGAACAACUAUCUACUACAUCAAUCCAAUGUUGUCUCGGUAACAAGUAUCCACAUUAUGCAUUCUUUUCUUGCAAAGGACCCAACCUGUCUUCUCUUUUUUAGGUUGCAUCAUGGCAUGAAUCUCUUGAUUCGUUCUUGUAGUACUUGUUUGCUUUCUCGAAGCAUCCAAACGAUGAUGUCUUACUACUACUUGGGAUGUCUUUGAUGCUCGUAUGUUGGAAGUUCAUAUUAUACAAUAAGAAAAUAUUAGGCCAUGUGCUAUGCUUCCAAGCAAAAGAUCUCGUUGAUAUAUUUAUGACUUCCCUUUUGGAUAUCUAGUUUUCUUCCUUCUUGUAACCAUUUCGUGUGUACAUCCUUCUUUGUGGAUAUAUCUUCUACUUAGAAUCUUUCACAUAUGAGAGAAGUUACAUCUCUAAUUGAUAUCCUCUUUUCUUGCACGUCCAUCGCUGCAUUUCCUUUUUCAGUUUUUUUGUGGGAACGUGAAAGAAUUUGUUUUGAGUGCGUAUCUUAUUUUCUUACAUCUUGAUGCACUCUUUGGCCGUGAAGAUUAUUUUUCCUCGUGCUUGUAUUGAUGAGCGUGGUGUCAUUUUCAAUUAGUAUCCCUCCUCUUGACAAGGUUCUUACUUCCUAUCUUCACAAUGGGUUGUCACAAGCGUUGGUUCUUAUUUUGUUUAUUAGUAAGCUUGUGAACCCAUUUUCUAGUAUGUGUGUGUGGGAAUGAUAUGUCUUGCACUUGUAUCUCAUUUCAUCAAGACUAUGUUGAUGAGUAAUGCUCAUCCUUAUCUUAGUCUUCUCAAGUGCUUUGCCAUGACUCAUACACAUUACUUUGUUUGAGCCUAGUCUUAAGUUGCCUCUAUUACAUGUUGCUCAACCAUUUGUUUUGUGCAAUUGAUGUGCUUAGUGUCUCAUCUAUCCCCUUGCACUCGUUGUGUGUUCUAUAAAUUCUGGGGGAGCAACGAUCCUAUUUUGUGCACCUGUGUCAAAUACAAACAUCUCAUAUUAGUGCACAAAUCAUGGGGAGCUUCUCUAGUUUUUGAUAAAUCACUAUGUUGCCUUUAUCAUAAUAUCUUUUAUUCAUGUGGUUCGAAGGACCAUAUGAUUGUUUGUUCCAUCUGGGAUCUUUUGAUUGCUUGCCUCUAUCUUUGUAUGUCUUUGUGGCAUACGAUUCUUUUUGCAAUCUUUGGGUCCUUAAUAUAGUUUGUUUUCCUCCAACUACUUAUCAUUGUAUUUGUGUAUUUUUUUUUCUUCUGCACUCAUUUGCUGAGAAGUACACACUUUUUGGAGGACCACCUACUAUAUUUGCUUUCUAAACUUUUCGUCCAUUUUGGUCCAUUUUGGCAAUCGAUGCCAAUGGGGGAGAAGUUUAGAGAGUUUACUUUGGAUAUGUUUGGAGGGUUUAGCUUUUAUUACGUAAGCAUUUACAUCUUGCUCACAUGCACUAUUACCUUGUAUGUGUGUGCUUUGUGUACUGCUUAUUUCCUUAUAUAAACUCUCUUGAAGUGGUUGUCUUCAAUUACCAAAAUGGGGGAGAUUGAUAGAGCAUAAUAUAUCUCCAUAUGUGGUUUUGGUAAUUGAUGACAAUCCCUAUGGACUAAUGGUUGCCUUAAGUUAUAUUUAUAGGAUUUGUCCAUAGGCACUUCUUGAAGUCCAUAUGUUGGGUUCAAGGAGUUUAUAUGUUGACCAAGAUGUUAUUCAAGGUAUUAUCCACAGAAUGGUCAUAGAAGGUUGAUCAAGAUCUCAGACUAAGAACAAAUCAAGAUGAUCAACACACAAAGCAUAUAAGAUGUACCGAGAGGGAUCAAGUGAUCCCAUGGUAUGGUAAGCAUUGUCCAUUACGUGUUUGUGUACUAACCCAUGGUCUUUGUGAGACUCCUAUGUGGGGGUUAGGUGUGUUUUUAUUGGGCUUGCGUCAAAAGGAAGAUCUCAUACAACCCAUGAAGGAUGACGUCAAGUGGUGAUCGUCAUCAAGAUUGUGGUGUGCAAGUUCAAGUGGAUCAACACAAAUAUAUCAGUGAAACUAUUGUCAAUGAUCAUGUGUUGAUAAGGACAAUCUCAUGUGCUAACAAGGACAAGAUCAAGAUAAGCAUUCUUGAGCACUACAUGCUUGAGUCUUGUGGAUGUUCGCAUGGUGGACAUGACAAGAUCAAGAUAAGCAUUCUUGAGCACUACAUGCUUGAUUCCUGUGGAUGUUCACAUGGUGGACAAAUGAAGAUAAGUACAUAAGCUAGGCUUUCCACAUUGUGUAUGAGAAAGCUACUUGAAGACUUCAUCAUGUCCUGCUUUCAACUUGAGCCAAGAAGGAACAACAACAUCAAGCUCAGGUGAAAGGGCUAACUCAAAGAUAUGAGUUCCUUUGACGUUAGUGGUGCGGAGUGAUGACCAGCGAAUAAAAGUAUACACUCAAGUAUGGAUCAUCAGUACUCUUUUAUGAUUCUUGAGUCCUUAGGGAUCUCGCACUAUUAAGAGGGGAUCACAGGUUUUGCGAUGAACUUGCUCAAACUACAACUUCACUUUCUGCUCAGACCACAUCUCCACUGCUUUGCUGUUAUCUGUAAACAGAACCAGUGCAUCGGACAUCCGGCUUCCUCCGGACGUCCGAGGACGGGACGACCGACUAGUUCGGAAAUCCGGAAUCCUAUACCAGAGAAAACAGAGCCAUAUAACUCGGACUUCCGGCUCUCUCCGGACGUCCGAGGCCCGGAUGUCCGGCCAAAUCCCGGAAAUCCGGAUGCCUGCUCCAGUAGAUGUUGAGCUCUAUAUCUCGGAAAUCCGGCUACCUCAGGACGUCCGAGCGCCGGACGCCCGACACCCGUCGGAAAUCCGGAACCUACCACCAGUAGAAGUUGAGUUCUAUAUCUCGGAAAUCCGGCUCCCUCCGGACGUCCGAGCGCCGGAUGUCCGACAGCUGUCAGAAAUCCGGAAGCCACCACCAGUGGAAAUUGGGUUGUAUAUCACGGACUUCCGGGCCACUCCAGACGUCCGUAUGUUGAUGAAUUCAAAUAUGUUCAGGCACAUCUACAUGCCUCGGACGACUGACCCCUGUUGGACGCCCGGACGCUGAUGAAUUCGCCCUAUAGNNNNNNNNNNNNNNNNNNNNNNNNNNNNNNNNNNNNNNNNNNNNNNNNNNNNNNNNNNNNNNNNNNNNNNNNNNNNNNNNNNNNNNNNNNNNNNNNNNNNCCCCCUCCAUCAGGGCACCAGAACGUGCCCAGAUGGGAUCUUGCGAGACAGAAGCUUGCAGCGGACGGAAAGUACUUUCGAUGAUCUCCUGUACGUUUUUUGGGAGUUUUUAGGGAAUAUAGUAGGGGCAACGCUUAGGGCAGAGGGCACCCRRGGGGCCCACAAGCGUGUGGGUCGUGGCCUCCCCCGUGGCCGCGUGGUGGGGGCUUGUGGGGCCCCUGAGGCUCCCCUGCCUUGGCUCUCAAGCUUCCCGAUCUUCUUCCGAUACGGAAAAACUCUUUUCGGGGAUUUUCUUCCGUUUGGACUCUGUUUCAAAAUCUCCUCUGAAAGGGGUAAAAAACAUGGAAAAAACAGGAACUGGCACUUGGCACUUAGUUAAUAAGUUAGUCCCAAAAAAUAUAUAUAAGGCAUGCAAAACAUCCAAAGUUUGACAAGAUAAUAGCAUGAAACCAUCAAAAAUUAUAGAUACGUUGGAGACGUAUCAAGCAUCCCCAAGCUUAACUCCUGCUCGUCCUCGAGUAGGGAAGUGAUAAAGAAUGAAUUUUUGAUGUGGAAUGCUACCUAGCAUAGUUGUCCUUUGCAACUUCUUUCACGUGACAUGAAUGUUCAGAUCCGUAAGAUUCAAAACAAUAGUUUGCUAUUGACAUGAAAACAGUAAUAAUUCAAGCAAACUAGUAAAGUAAUCAUGAACUUUCAAAAUAACAAGGCCAAUGAAAGUUAUCGCUACAAAAUCAUAUAGUCUGGCUAUGCUCCAUCAUCCUCACACAACUAAUGUGAAUCAUGCACAACCCCAGUAUUGGCCAAGUAAUUGUUUUCGCACUCUUACUUUUUCAAACUUUUUAUAACUAUCACGCAAUACAUGAGCGUGAGCCAUGGAUAUAAGACUAUAGGUGGAAUAGAGUGUGGUGGUGGUUGUGAGACAAAAAGGAGGAGAUGGUCACGUUGACUCGGCGUAUCAAAGGGUUAUGGAGAUGCCCAUUAACAGAUAUCAAUGUGAAUGAGUAGGAUUGCCAUACAAGAGAUGCACUAGAGCUAUAAGUAUGGAAAGCUCAAAAGGAGAACUAGUGGGUGUGCAUCCAACUUGCUUGCUCACGAAGACCAAGAGCAAUUGAGGAAGCCCGUCAUUGGAACAUGCAAGCCAAGUUAUAUAAUGAAGAUUCCCACUAGCAUAUGGUACUAUUAUGAAGCACAAGUGUGGGAAAAGAUAGUAGCAUUGUCCCUUCUCUCUUUUUCUCUCUUUUCUUUUUUUCAUUUGGGCUCUUAGGCCUCUUUUUUCUUUUCUUUUCUUUUCUAUUUUUUUGUUUUUGGGCUCUUUGGCCUCUUUUUUUUAUUUCCUCACAUGGGACAAUGCUCUAAUAAUGAUGAUCAUCACACUUUUAUUUACUCACGGCUCAAAACUCACAAUGAUGACUCCAUAGGAAAUGCCUCCGGCAGUGUACCGGGAUGUGCAACGAUCUAGCAUGGCGUAUGAUGUUGAAACAUCUCGCUAGCUAUCUUACGAUCAUGCAAUGGCAAUAUGAGAGUGACGGAACAAGUCAUGAGACGGAACGGUGGGAGUUGCAUGGCAAUAUAUCUCGGAAUGGCUAUGAAAAUGCCAUAGUAGGUAGGUAUGGUGGUUGUUUUGAGGAAGGAAUAUGGUGGGUUUGUGCACCGGCGAGAAUUGCGCGGCACUAGAGAGGCUAGCAAUGGUGGAAGGUGAAAGUGAAUCUAUACCAUGGACUCAACACUAGUCAUGAAGAACUCACAUACUUGUUGCAAAAGUUUUUAUUAGUAAUCGAAACAAAGUGCUAAACUCAUACUCCGAGGGGAAGGGUUGGUAGGUGUUAACCAUCGCGGGAUGCCGACCUCAACACAAAGGAUGAAAAUCAAUAUAUCAAUUAUGCUCUGACUUACAAACAUAGCGGUUCACCAUACGUCCAUGCUACGGGAAUCACUAACUUCAACACAAGUAUUUCUAGAUUCACAACACCCUACUUAUAUAGCUCUUAAUAUUACCAAAUCCACGUCUCAAAACUAAUUGGGAGGAAUCAAUACUUCUCUUUCUACUCAAUGCACAUGAAGAUGGAGGUUUUUGCAUCCUCUUUGGGUGCCUAUCACAUUUGGGACUACUUUCAUAGCACAAGCCAACUACCAAGUCACGCACCGCCGUGCUCUAAAAGAUAUAAGUGAAGCACAUAGAGCAAAAGUAUCUAGCUCAAAAGAUAUAAGUGAAGCACUAUGAGCAUUCUAGCAAAAUCACGAUGAGUGCAUGUCUCUCUCUCUCAAAAAGGUGUGCAGCAAGGAUGAUUGUGACACAACAAAAAGAAAAGAAUCCUAAGAUACAAGACGCUCCAAGCAAAACACAUAUCAUGUGGUGAAUAAAAAUAUAGCUCCAAGUAAUGUUACCGAUGGAUUGAAGACGAAAGAAGGGAUGCCUUCUCGGGGCAUCCCCAAGCUUAGGCUUUUUGGUGUCCUUGAAUUUGGCUUGGGAUGCUUUGGGCAUCCCCAAUCUUGAGCUCUUUCCACUCCUUAUCUCUUUGUCCAUGAGAACAUCACCCAAAACUUGAAAACUUCACAACACAAAACUUAAACAGAAACUCAUGAUAACAUUAGCACAAGAAAACAAACUAUCACUUCUUUUGGUACUGUAGCAAACUUGAAUUCCAUCUAUAUUGGUGUUGGGCUACUGUAUUGUCACUUUUCCAUGGCUAGUACCCCCUGAUACUAACCAUAGUUUCAGCAAAACAAGCAACGAACUCAACAAAAACAUAAUCUGUCAAAACAGACCAAUCUGUAGCAAUCUAUAUACUUCAUAUACUUAUGGUACCUCAAAAGAUCUGAACAAUUACGACGGCCUGGGCAAAAGGAAUAUCAACCAUCAGCAAAAAGAAUCAACACAAAACCUCUUUCUGGAAAAAAUGAAAAAUCAUCUCGUGAGCGAAAAGUUUCUGUCUUUUUCCAGCAGGAUCAAACAACCAUUACCAAGACUAGUCAUAAAGGUUUUGCUUGGCUCAAACACAAAAAGAAACACAAAAAACACAAUCACAACAGAAUUAUGAAAGUGUGGAUGCAACAAAACAGAAAGAAAAUGAUAAAUUCAUUGGGUUGCCUCCCAACAAGCGCUAUUGUUUAACGCCCUUAGCUAGGCAUAAAAGCGAUAGAAUCACGUAUCGUCGUCUUUGGUGCUCAAACCAUAAGUGGCCCUCAUCAUGGAUUCAUAAGGCAAUCUUAUUUUCUUUCUAGGAAAGUGUUCCAUGCCCUUCCUUAAAGGAAAUUGAAAUCUAAUAUUCCCUUCCUUCAUAUCGAUGAUAGCACCGAUAGUCCUUAGGAAAGGUCUACCAAGAAUAAUAGGGCAUGUAGGAUUGCAAUCAAUGUCAAGCACAAUGAAAUCCAUGGGUACAUAGUUCCUAUUUGCAAUAAUAAGAACAUCAUUGAUCCUUCCCAUGGGUUUCUUGACAGUAGAAUCAGCAAGAUGCAAAUUAAGAGAACACUCUUCCAUCUCAUUAAAACCCAGAACAUCACAUAAAGACUUUGGAAUCGCAGAAACACUAACACCCAAAUCACACAAAGCAUUGCAUUUAUAGUUUUUGAUUUAGAUUUUGAUGGUAGGUUCCCACUCAUCAUGAAGUUUUCUAGGGAUAGAGACUUCCAAUUCAAGUUUCUCUUCAAGAUAUUUUAUCAUAGUUUCGACGAUAUGAUCGGUAAAGGCCUUGUUUCGGCUAUAAACGUGUGGAGAGUUUAACAUGGAUUGCAUCAAGGAAAUGCAUUCAAUCAAGGAGCAACUAUAAAAAUUUAAUUCCUUGAAAUCCACGGUAGUAAUUUCAUUACUACUCAAAGUUUUAACAUCUUCUACUCCACUUUCAAUGCUUUUAGCAUCAAGAUAGAUGGACUCCGAAUCAUUGGGGCACUUUUCAACCAAAGUGGAUUCAUAUCCAACCCCAUAAUCAUUAGGUUUGACACAAGAAAACAAAGAUUCAAUGGGUGUCACACCAAGCACUUUACGAUAUUCGUGAUUCUCAUCACGAGUUUUAGGUUUAGCAGCCAUUUUAUUGACUAAAGUAACCUGCUUAUCAGAAAUCUGGCCUACCAACUUUUCAAGACGAGCAAACUGAGAAUUUAGCGCAAGGAAUUCUUUGGCCAUAUCAUCAAGUUCUCUACUCAUAAAAUCCAGAAAAGAAUUUUGUUCCUUCAGCUCUCUACGAAAGUAACUAUUGUAUUCAAACUGUGUAGACAUGAGGCUUUUAACACUAGUUUCAAUCUCUUCUAACUUCGCAUAGUGAGCAUCAAAAUCCUUUGGUUUGGCCAUUCGGGUUUUAGCAGGCAGGCAAGCGGGCAAAGAGCAAGCGAGAAAAAGGGCGAACGAGAAGGGCGAACAAAAAAGGCAAACGAAAAAGGCAAAUUGGUGAAGUGGGGGAGAGGAAAACGAGAGGCAACUGGCAAACAAAGUAAAUGCAAGAGAUGAGUUUGCGACACCUACUUGGAUGAGUUAUUGACUUGAUCUUCCUCCCCGGCAACGACGCCAGAAAUUCUUCUACUCCGGUAACAAAAGUCCUUCCUUGGCGCUAGGAAUUAUUCUUGCUACUUCUCUUGUUCGCGUCGGUUUUUCCCUUGAAGAGGAAAGGGUGAUGCAACACAGGAGCAGUAAGUAUUUCCCUCAGUUUGAGAACCAAGGUAUCGAUCCAGAAGGAGGGUCUCGUCAAGUCCAGAGUACCUGCGCAAACACAAACAGGCUUGCACCCAACGCUUCAAAGGGGUUGUCAAUCCCUUCAAGAUUGUUUGCAAAGUGAGAUCUAAAGGCGUAAAGUGCAACAAAGUAAAAACUGUAAGGCUGAAAAUAUGGUGUGGAGUAUACCCUGGGGGCCAUAGUGUUCACUAGAGGCUUCUCUCAAAAUAGCAAAUAUCACGGUGGGUGAACAAAUUACUGUCGAGCAAUUGAUAGAACCGCGCAAAGUCAUGACGAUAUCUAAGGCAAUGAGCAUACAUAUAGGCAUCACGUCCGAUACAAGUAGACCGGUACUUUCUGCAUCUACUACUAUUACUCCACACAUCGACCGCUAUCCAGCAUGCAUCUAGUGUAUUGAGUUCAUGACGAAUAGAGUAACGCUUUAAGCAAGAUGACAUGAUGUAGAGGGAUAAUCUCAAACUAAUGAUGAAAACCCCAUCUUUUUACCCUUGAUGGCAACAACACGAUGCGUUCCUCGCUACCCCUUCUGUCACUGGGUGAGGUCACCGCACGGUCUAAACCCAAAACCAAGCACUUCUCCCAUUGCAAGAAUCAUAGAUCUAAUUAGCCAAACAAAACCCACAACUCGAAGAGAAUUACAAGGAUAUGAAAUCAUGCAUAAGAGAGAUCAUAAGACACUCAAAUAAGAUUCAUAGAUAAUGUGAUCAUAAAUCCACAAUUCAUCGGAUCUCGACAAACACACGGCAAAAGAAGAUUACAUCGGAUUGAUCUCCAUGAAGAUCAUGGAGAACUUUGUAUUGAAGAUCCAAGAGAGAGAAGAAGCCAUCUAGUUACUAACUAUGGACCCGUAGGUCUAUGGUGAACUACUCACGCAUCAUCGGAGAGGUCAUGGUGUUGAUGAAGAAGCCCUCCGUGUCCGAAUCCCCCCUCCGGCAGGGCACCCAAACGUGCCCCAAAUGGGAUCUUGCGGAGGCAGAACCUUGCGGUGACGGAAAAGUACUUUCGAUGAUCUCAUGAUUUUUUUUUUGGAUUUUUAGGGAAUAUAUAGGCGCAACCCCUAGGGCAGAGGGCGCCCAGGGUGCCCACAAGCUUGUGGGCCGUGGGGUGGGGGCUUGUGGGGCCCCUGAGGCUCCCCUGCCUUGGCUCUCAAGCUUCCCGAUAUUCUUCCCUUACAGAAAAAAUCUUUUUGGGGAUUUUGUUCCGUUUGGACUCUGUUUCAAAAUUCCUCUGAAAGGGGUAAAAAACAUGGAAAAAACAGGACCUGACACUUGGCACUAAAUUAAUAAGUUAGUCCCAAAAAAUAUAUAAAAGGCAUGCAAAACACCCGAAGUUUGACAAGAUAAUAGCAUGAAACCAUCAAAAAUUAUAGAUACGUUGGAGACGUGUCAGCAUGGUGGAAGAAGAGAGGGGAAGAAGCAAGGAGAGCGAGAGACGAGAAGAACAGAGAAAUGGCAACAGUAUCUGCUUCGGUUGUGCUUUUGCGAAGCGGGAGGCAAACCGUUUGGGCCUUUAGUCCCGGGUUGAGCCACCAACUGGGACUAAAGGGUGAUACGAACGGUUGCCACCACCACUUCGUCCCGGUUUGUUCUAGUAACUGGGACUAAAGGGGGAUACGAAUGGUCCACCUGGUCCCGUUUUGAUCCACCAACCGAGACUAAAGGGGGAUACGAACGGUCCCUGCCUAUUGGUCCCGGUUCGUGUCUGGAACAGGGACCAAAGGGUUGACACCAACCAGAACCAAUGGUCCAUGAUGCCCGCCUGGCACCCUGGCCUCACGAACCGGGACCAAUGACACCAUAGGUCCCAGUUCGUGGGUGAACUGGGACUAAUGGGAUUGCAGGCCCUAGACCAAAGCCCUCUUUUCUACUUGUGGCAACACCCCUAAGAUAUUGACUGUAUAUUCAGUAAUUCAAAAUGGAAUAGGAUGUUCAGCACCACCACAAUUGUUAGGAUGUGCUUGUAAACCUAGCCAUGUUUACUAUAACAGACAUGUUUUACUUUUACGUUUAGUAGAAAAGCUUUACGGGACAACCUAUGAUUUCAACACAUGACUAAAAAGGUUACUUAUUUUUCGAACGCAUAACUGAAUUAGUCAACUUUUUGGCAACGGAAAGUGGAUACUUUCUUGCCAAAUGCAAAGCAAAGUGACAGAAAAAAUCUCAACCAAAGCCUCUGAUGUGAACAAGCCAUUAUCAUUCAAUAUUGAUACAAUCUCCUGAUACAAGCAUUUGGACUUGUAAUGUGCAUAUCACUUGGCUGAAUAAGAAAAAACAAUACAUCUGCUACAUGCUACAACAUGCAUCCCCAAUUCCCCAUCAUGGAGUAGCAUCUUCUAAAACUUCUGAAUUCAUAAGUGUUUCAAUAGAUAAAUGUUUCUCAUUUCAAAUUAAGUAUCUUCCACGAAGUUAGUUUAUAGCCCAGACUAUAUAAGUAAAUUGAUUGCCUGCAAAGCUGCAAUUCUAGGCUAAGGUAAACUUUGGAACCCCAUCACGAACUCUUUUGAGAACUGGGAUGGAAGACCACAUCUGGUUUUGGGAGACCAACAAACUAAAACUUUGCUAAAAACGAUGUCUCCUGAUGAACUGAAUAAAAGAAGAGCUUACUUUGCUAAAAAUAAUGUGUGCUUAUGAACUGAAUAAAAGAGCAUCUUUGCAGUUUGGUGGAAGACAGAGAAACAGGGACGUGAACAAAGGGCAAGUUGAUUUCAUCGGCCUUGUUAGUGAUUUGUAUUUCAAGGGCUACAUACCUCUCAUGUGGCCACCGUUAGCGAUUUAUAGUUUGACAAGAAGAUUUAGGCUAUGGCCAUGGAUCCAUGGUGGAGCAGUUUUAUUUGCACAAAAAGAGGAACAACACGGAGGGAAUGAGGUGGUGAAGAAGGGAGUGCCCGAGGCGGGCGUGCCGGUCCUGGCCGUCGUGCUAAGCGCCUAUGGCGGGGUGGUGCUGAUCGUCGUGUUGGGGGCCUGAGGCGGCUGUGCUGGUCCUUGCCGCCGUGCUAGGGGCCUGAGGCGGGGCGGUCCUGGACUCCGUCAACCGCCAUGACGAGGCGCGGCUCAGGCGGGCCGACCGAAAGGAGAAGAAGGCGAGGAGGCGAUGGGAGAUGAGGUGGGAAGAGGGGAGGGACAAACAUGCGCUCGCGCCGGCCGCCGUGGUGUUCGCCCCCGCCGCCGACCGCUUGGUUGCCUGCUAGGUUGCCACCGCCAUGACCUCCCCGAGCUCCCUCGCCUCCCGCCGGAAGCCAGUGGGCGACAUCCUCCUGCGCCCGCACGCCGCCCCCCUCGACUCGGCCUCCUCAUCCUCCUGCGCCCGCACACCAUCCCUCCUCGCGCCCGCACACCAACCCCUCGGCCUCGCGUCAUCAACGACAAGGCCCUGCCCCGAGAUGCCCGCCCCAGCUCCAUCGUCUCCUUGCCCGUCAGCCCAGUGGUUGAGGACGGGAAUGGAUAAGCCAAUGGGCGUUACGUAAAAACGAAAGUUUUUUAACUUAACAAUGGACUCCGGGUUGAAUACAAAAAAUAGCAAGGGCUUCUUUUCAAAACGGCGAUGACGGGUUUUCGGACAGAAGCAGUAGCCGCUUUAGUAUUAGGUAAAGACUGCUUGUAUCAUUCCAUCUUUAAAGUUAAUACAAUACCCUUUUUUGACAAGGUGGUAUGAAUUUUUUAUUUUAUUUUAUUUUUGCGGGAACAAAGUUGUAUGUUGAAUCUGACUUCUAGAAGCUUGGGAUCACACGUUGAUCACUAUAGUUUCCUUUUCCUCCCGAUAAAGUAAAUAUAUAAAUAUCAAGAGCAUAUCUAUUACAUCAGUCUCUGCAUCUAGCGCUGGACCAAAAGCUCUUAGCUGUUGUUAGUUCGAGAGUAAAAUGAGUGCUCGAUAGCUCGAUUGGUUAAGCUCGUUGUUUGCUUUUUAAUGAAUAAGGUCAGUCAGUGGUUUCAGCUCUGUAACUUAACAAGCUUAAAGAAUAAUGAGUUUCACAAAUAACUUGUUAAACUAGUUAAUGUUGCAUAAUAACAGUAAAAUUAUCUGAAGUGAUAGUAUCUCGCUGCAUCUCAACCCACCUAUUCAAUUUUUUUUACAACUUCUUCCCUCUUUAUUCAGAAUCAAGAGUGACCAUAUCAUUUACAUGCACUGGGAUAAUCUCACGGGGAGCUGAGUCCAUCCAACACCUAGGGGGAGAAAGAUUAACUAACUUAGCCAGUUCAUGUGCUACUUGAUUACUCUCUCUAAAACAAUGAUAAAAAAUAACAUGAUUGAAUUUCGAAGACAUGAAGAAACAAUCAUCGAUGAUUAUCGAUGCAACUGAGGAAGAGUAUCCAUCUUUUAGAGCCUCCAAGUUGUCAGAGCUAACCACAAUCCGGCUACAAGCUACAGUUCUUGCUAGGUUCAGUCCAAAUCUAACAGCUAGAGCUUCAGCUGUGUGUGAAUCAUAACAGAUGUCAAUUCUUUCAUUUGCCGCCGCAAUGAAAUGUCCAUUUUGAUCCCGGAUAAUUGCCCCAACAGAUCCUUGGAGAAGUUCCUGGUCAACCCCCGCAUCAACAUUUAAUUUCACAUAUCCCUUCGGUGGCUUAUCCCAUCCACCAGUUCGAAUUUUGGCUGUUGGAGCACAUGCGAUAUUAAAUUUGGCCGAUAGUCCACGUAUAGCGAGAGCGAUACGAGAGGUUGUCUGAGUUUCAUCCCCAUGGUAGACUUUCCGGUGUUCGAACCAUAAGUACCAAGCUGCGGUUGCUACCAUCUCUCUCAGUUUUGGACACCCCAAUAUGUUAAUUUCUGAAGCAUCCAUAUGUAGCAGCUCAAGUACCACUUCCUCUCCCGAUCUGUAUUUUGUGCACUUCCGUUUAACUAUCUCAUACAGUCCCAAUUGUCUCCACACCUGUGAUGAUCGUUGACAUUCAAACAAGAAGUGGUGAAUACUGUCCGGCCCCAACCUGCAGUCUGGACAUUGGGCUAGGACUGCCCGACAUGGAAUAGUAGCAUGUAGAACCCGCCAUAUGAAGAUUCUAAUUUUCUAUCGGCAUUCCAAACUCCAUAUCAGCUUCCAUUUGUCAUCAGGUGAUGAAGACCCUGUAAUAACCUGCAUUAGAGCACCAAACUGGAAGUUCCAUUCAGGUUGGUAUGCAGAUCGUACUGAAAAAAUACCGGUCUUCGCAAGAUUCCAUGCAAUAAAAUCAUUCAUCUCAUAUAAGGUCAAAGGAAUCGCCAGGAUCCGAUGAGCAUCCACCGGCCAGAAUGUUUGGUUCACCAGCUGGAUGUCCCAAUCCUCAGUCAACGGAUCAAUUAGAUCAGAGACUCGAGAUAUCAAAUUGCUCCCUCUAAUUGUUAGCACUUUUUUGUUCGGCGAUUGAGGGAUCCAUGAAUCCUCCCAUAGAUUAACCUUUUGACCGUCACCAAUCCUCCAGAUAUAUCCCCGUCUCAAUGUUUUUACCCCUGCAAGGAUGAUCUUGGUUUAAGAGUCGCAGCCAGCAGGUAUCCAUUCGGGUAGUACUUAGCUUUGAGGAUGGUCGCACAUAACGAGUCUGGCGAAUCAAUAAGUUGCCAUGCCUGUUUUCCUAGGAGUGCGAGGUUGAAGUUGUGAAUAUCCCUAAACCCCAUACCUCCAAACUUCUUUGGUAUGCACAUCUUUCUCCACGAGAACCAAUGCAUCUUUCUAUUCGUUGCAUCAUCACCCCACCAAAACCAAGAUAUCGCGUCUCAAAUUCCUUUGCAAAUCUUUUUAGGAAUUUUAAAGACGGACAUCGCAUAGGUUGGCAUGGCUUGUGCUACUGAUUUCAAGAGCACCUCUCCCCCCCAGAAGAUAGGCAUCUCUCCAUCCAUCCCAUUAGUCUUUGAACCAGCCGAUCAAUCAGAUAUUGGAAGUCAUCACUUUUAUCAACCCCCAGAGUAGAUGGAAGACCCAAAUAUCUGACAUACAACGCCUCCGUCAUGAUCCCCAAAAUUGUGCAAAAUCCGGUUUUAACAUUAGUUUCCGUACUCGGGCUGAAGAAUAUACUCGAUUUUUGCACACUCACUAGUUGACCCGAUGCAGAACAAUAGAGAUCCAGGAUUGAUUUUAAAUAGGAAGCAUUAGCUACAUUUUCCUUCAUUAGGAUAAGUGAAUCAUCCGCAAACAAAAGAUUUGUUACUGCUUGUAGCGACCCGACUCAAGACGAGUCAAGCCUCUGGUGUUUCCGUACCAUCCCAAGAUCAUGCUGGUACACACUCAGUACAUUAAUGUAUAUAUUCAAGAGUUCAAUCACACAGCUUUAUUAAUCGAAAUCUCAUAACGAGUACUUUAUUACAAUAAUGGAUUACAAUAAAGUGGCUGAAGGCCAUCUCAUGAGAUAUCUAACGAAGACUAGCGGAAGCAUCAGGUAGACGAGUCCAUCCGACUCCAGGGCAUGUCGCUGAGCGUAGAUCUUAGCCUCACUCCUGGUCGGAAAAGUAUUCUGCAACAUGAUACGUUGCAGCCGUGUAGGUCAGCAUAUGAAAUAUGCCGGCAAGUCAUCAAGAGAGGGGUAAAAUAAUAAUCAACUAUCUCUACAUGCAUAUUUGGCAGGUGGGGCUAUAAGUUUUGCAUAAAGCCAAUUUUAUCCUACAACAAGAGGGGCUGGAAGCAAAAUAUUACUACAAUGUUUGUUGUUAACGAGAUGGUUCCGCCAACCAAUUCUCGUACCCGAGUUGUUGUUAACACCCACAUCAUUAUUUAGUUGUGUCGAGAGUUCAGGGGAAUUUCAAUGCCUUCGGCUCAAGUUGUCCAUGACCGUGGACACGGCUAAUCGAUUAGGUUGGGCACUCUGCAGAGUUUUGCACACGUUCCCCACAAGAUUUGAUCGCCUCCGUGUAUGUCCUCGCACUUCAGGGUGUUUGAAGACCGGAUGAUCAAAACAUGGUCUUUCAACGGGUCCCUCUGAAUCCCUGUCGGUGCCCAUCCAUUCCUACCGUUCUUCUACUUCUGCUAGCACCGCCUGUCCAGAGUCGCCGCAUUGUCCAACCAAGCCAGAGCCCAUAAUGACUUGUGGCUGUGCAGGUAAGCCUUGGGUCUUCAAGCCUCCGUCCGUCUCUUCGAGCCUGGGUGAAGCUUUUCGCAAGAUGUCAUGGCCGUCUCCAGCAUCCCGGGUCAUCCACUGGUUUCUCCAAGGAGCCGAUCAACCGUCCUUCACCCAGAGUUGCAUUGCAUCCGAGGUCUUGACAAUCUUGUCUUAACCGGUCUUGAUUAUUUAAUCAACCUUGCAUCACUCGUGUUAUGCACUCAACCGAAAUCCCGUCUACUCAAGCAUAGCAAUAUGAAAUUUGUCGUCCCGGGGCCAAGUAUCGGGGUUGUUGUGUGCCUACCACAUGAUACUACAACCUAUACUAAAAUUUCCAAGUACCUCCACAGCAUGCAAUUGGGCAAAGAAAGGUGAAACUACCAUGCAUCGAAAAACAUAGGAAAUAGUAUGAUCAAAAUGACUUGCCUUGAUGAUAGUUGUCUUGAUCGAGCGCUUCUAAGUAACAAGCUUCGCACUCCGGGUGAUCUACCGAUACAAACAAAUACACACAAUAAGCACUACAAUCAAACAACAAGUAAAAAAUAACAUCACAAGUAAAAGUUGCUAUGGCCUAAGUGAAAGAAUAUACUAUACGUCACUAUGGCAGAAACUUGUUUCUGUUAACAACCCAAGUAAAAAUAUUUAGUUUUUUUUGAAACUUCUACCACAGUAACAUAUAAUGACUAGGAAGCAGUAGCAAAAAUAAUCAACUCAAAAUCAUUUUUUAAACUCCUGGAAUAAGCAAAACAAGGUUUAAACUAAAUCUGACCUAAUUCUAAUUUGAAAAUUUCAAACAUAGACAAAUUAUAUGUUUUUAAAAACUACAGAAAAAUUGGGAUCUACUGGAAAAAUAAUCAACCUCAUUGGACCUGGGGAUCAAAAGCUAUGCUAAAAACAAAAUUGAAACUUUUCUGUUUUUGGAACUAAACAGAAAAAGAAAACAAAUACUAACAGACACGUGGCAAUCCCUGAUUUGCUGCGGGGGUGUGUGCUGCGGGUAUAAUGAGCAAACGGCCGAAACUUAAGAAAAUCUACAGCUAAAAGUAAGUGGUGCAGAAAACCGUUCGGGUUUUUACUUAAAAACCGAAGGGGUACCUAACUUCUAAUCUAGCGUGUUGGUUCUUGAUCUAACGGUGGAGGAGGGGUGGGGGUGCUCACCAUGGUGGAGAUGAACUCCGGCAGGGUCUGAGGAGAAGAGGUGGUGGCGGGGAAGGGGUUCCGGUGGUCGGCCGAGGUGGGGGAGACGCGGCGUGGCCGGGGGAGAGCAGUGGAGUGGCCGGAGCUCCGGCGUUCUUCUGGUGGCGUCGGGGAGACGCGGCGUGGCCGGGGGAGAGCAGUGGAGUGGCCGGAGCUUCGGCCGUGCUGGUGCUCCGGCGAGGUGCAGCAAGGGGCGGCUAGAGGCGGCGGGACAGCCUGGCGAGGUGGGGAACGGAGUGUGGGGACAGGGGAGUAUUUAUAGGCGGAGAGGGGGCCUCGGGAGGGAAGGAAAUCAAGGCUGCCAUGGCAAGUACUGGCUCGCUCGGAGAAAAGGAAUCCCACGGGAGAACAUGGAAGUAAGGAGGAAGAAGAGGAAAGGAAAGAGCGGGAAGAAAGAAAAAAAAGAAAGAAAGAAAAGUGGGAAAGAGAAAAAAAAAGAAAGAAGAGGAGGUGCGUGGGGGUUGAGGUGCGUGGGGGGUUUUGGCCAAAGAUCCUGGCGAUGGGAUUCUAGCCCGAGAAUAUCUCUUGCCCCCUUUUUUUAACAAAAACUAAAACGAAAAUAAAAGGAAACAAAUAAAAUAAUUAAUAUAGGGUAUUAUAUACCAAAAUGAUCAGAAAAAUAUCCUCUACUCGAUUAACAUUUUUCCAAGGCAAAAAUAAAAACUUAAAUUUUUUUUUCUUCAGAAAUUUCCCUAAAUGCUUUAUUUCUUUUUGGCAAUUAUUUUCACGAUAAAAGUUUGGAUUUCUUGGCUCCAAUUAUUUCAGAGAUGCCUCGCACUUUGGAGGGUCAUUUUCCUCCGCUCUCUCUCUUGCGUGCAAGAGAUUAUUUCCCGGCAUUUCUCGUGUGAAGAAAAAAUAGAAAUGCGAAAGCAAAAAGUCGAAAGAAUUCAAAUGCAAACUUUAUUUAAAUCAAUAUGCAUAGAUGCUUAGCUACAAUGUAAAACAUUCCCAAUUAGGAAAAUUGGGAUGUUACAAACCUACCCACCUUAAGAUGAAUCUCGCCCUCGAGAUUCGGGUUGGCUAGAAAAUAGGUGCGGGUGGUCUCGACGAAGAUCCUCUUCUCGUUCCCAGGUGGCUUCUUCCUCGGUGUGGUGGCUCCACAACACCUUGCAGAACUUGAUGAUCUUGCUGCGGGUAACUCUGUUGGCAGUCUCAAGAAUCCUAACGGGUUUCUCCUCAUACGUCAGAUCACUGUCAAGCUGUAUGGCCUCUAGGGGCACUGUAUCUCUCAACGGAACAUCAGCCAUCUCAGCGUGCCAUUUCUUCAACUGGGAGACAUGGAAUACAUCAUGAACUUCGGACAAUCCUUCCGGCAGUUCCAGUUUAUAUGCAACUUCGCCUCUACGUUCAUGAAUUUUGUAGGGGCCAAUGAAUCGGGGUGCUAACUUUCCUUUCACACUGAAUCUCUUGAUGCCUCGAAGUGGAGACACCCGAAGAUAUGCUCGGUCUCCCACUUCGUAUGUUACUUCCUUGCGUUUGCUGUCAGCAUAACUCUUCUGCCUGGAUUGAGCUAUCUUGAGUCGGUCACGAAUAAGCUUGACCUUCUCUUCAGAAUCUCGGAUAAGGUCGGGACCAAAAAGUUGUCGGUCUCCAACUCCAUCCCACAUCAACGGUGUUCUGCACCUCCUUCCGUAUAGAACUUUGAAAGGGGCCAUCUUCAGACUGGUCUAGUAGCUGUUGUUGUAUGAGAACUCGGCAUAAGGCAAAUUGUCAUCCCAACUAGACCCAUAGUCUAGUGCGCAAGAUCUCAACAUGUCCUCCGGAAUCUGAUUGACUCUCUCGGUUUGUCCAUCUGUCUGUGGGUGAAAAGCUGUACUGAACUCCAAUCUCGUUCCCAUGGUUUCAUGCAGUUGGUGCCAAAAAAUUUAUGUGAACUGAGUUCCUCUAUCUGACACAAUACUCUUCGGUACUCCGUGGAGACAUACGAUCCUGGUCAUAUAUAUCUUGGCCAGCUUGGCACUUGUGUAAGUAGUCUUCACAGGGAUGAAGUGAGCUACCUUGGUCAAACGAUCGACCACAACCCAAAUAGAAUCAUAGCCAGAACGGGUCCUGGGUAAUCCUGUGAUGAAGUCCAUACCAAGCUUUUCCCAUUUCCACUCGGGUAUCGGCAGGGGUUGGAGAAAAUCUACUGGCUUCUGAUGCUCGGCUUUUACUCGCUGACAAACAUCGCAUAUUGCUACGAAUUCGGCAAUGUCUUUCUUCAUUCCUAUCCACCAGAAAUUUUCUUUCAGAUCCAGAUACAUCUUGGUGUUGCCGGGGUGUAUCGAGUACGGGGAAUCAUGGGCCUCCUGAAGUAUCAACUUCCUGAGUUCGGGAUCAUUGGGCACAUAGAUGCGAUCCUCAAACCAUAAAGUUCCAUGUUCAUCCUCACGAAUACCUUUAGCCUUCCCGUCUUUCAUUUUCUGUUUAAUCUCAUCUAUCUCCUUGUCUGAUUUCUGUGCCUCGCGGAUCUUUUCUGUCAAAGUGACCUGAAUUUCUAGUGUGGCAACAAAUCCUCUUGGAACUAUUUCCAAUUUGAGCUCUCGGAGAUAAUCGGCAAACUCCUGGGGUAACCCUCCUGCCAUGAGUGUGUUCACAUAACUCUUGCGGCUCAACGCAUCGGCUACAACAUUUGCCUUGCCUGGGUGAUAAUGCAAUCUCAUGUCAUAGUCCUUGAUCAACUCUAGCCAUCGCCUCUGUCUGAGGUUCAACUCCUUCUGUGUGAAGAUAUAUUUCAGGCUCUUGUGAUCAGUGUAAACAUCACAACUAUUUCCGAUCAGGAAAUGUCUCCAGUUCUUAAGAGCGUGCACUACGGCUGCUAGUUCCAAGUCAUGUGUGGCGUAAUUCAACUCAUGGGGUCUGAGCUGUCUGGAUGCAUAGGCUACAACUUUACCUUCUUGAAUGAGCACUCCUACGAGUCCUUGACGAGAAGCAUCACAGUAAACCUGGAAAUCCUUCCGAAUGUUCGGCAAUAUCAGCACUGGGGCUGUAACCAGACGUUUCUUCAACUCUUGAAAACUGGUUUUACAUUCCUCAGUCCAAACAUACUUGGAUUCCUUCUUCAACAACUCUGUCACGGGCUUGGUGAUCUUUGAGGAAUUCUCAAUGAACCUCCGGUAAUAUCCGGCAAGUCCGAGGAAACUGCGGAUCUCCUUGGCUGAAGUGGGUGCUACCCAUUCGGUGACUGCUGCGACCUUGGCAGGGUCCACUGCUAUUCCUUCUCCUGAGAUGACAUGUCCGAGGAAUCCGACUUCCUUCAACCAAAACUCACAUUUGCUAAACUUUGCAUACAACUUAUGCUCUCGAAGUUUCUGUAGAACUAGACGCAAAUGUUCCUUGUGUUCCUCCUCGUUCUUGGAGAAUAUCAGUAUGUCAUCGAUGAACACCACGACAAACUUGUCCAAGUAUUCCAUAAAUACCUUGUUCAUCAGAUUCAUAAAGUAUGCCGGAGCAUUAGUUAGUCCAAAUGACAUGACCGUGUACUCAUACAAGCCGUACCGAGUGGUGAAGGUUGUCUUGGGUAUAUCCUCUUCACGAAUCUUCAACUGAUGAUACCCGGAUCGAAGAUCGAUCUUGGAGAAUAUUCGGGCUCCAACUAACUGAUCAAACAGAUCAUUGAUCAUCGGCAAGGGGUACUUGUUCUUGAUGGUCACCUCGUUCAAUGCACGAUAAUCGACAACCAUUCUCAAGGACUUAUCCUUCUUUUCAACCAAGAGCAGUGGGGCUCCCCAAGGUGAAGAACUUGGGCGAAUAUACCCUUUGUCCAACAACUCCUUAAUUUGCUUCUUGAUUUCUACCAAGUCAUUUGCGGGCAUCCGAUAGGGUCUCUUGGAUAUCGGGGCUGUUCCGGGUAAUAGCUCAAUCAAGAACUCAAUCUCUCUAUCAGGUGGCAUGCCCGGCAAUUCCUCCGGAAAUACAUCUGGGUACUCCUGUACAAUCGGUACUUCCUCCUGGACUACUCCCGUGAGAGAGUUUACUCGUUUACUCCGUGUCGGGCGCUGAGACACGUACUUAAUCCGCUUCUGCUCGGGGGUGGUGAGAAAAAUAGACUUAAGGGCACAAUCAAUAUUCCCUUCAUACUUGGCCAACCAAUCCAUGCCUAGGAUUACAUCCAAUCCCUGGGACUCUAAUACGAUGAGGUCGGUGGGAAAACUAUGGUUCCCGAUGUUGAGACUCAAGGCAUGGCAUCCUAUCCCGACUGUCAUCAUGCCUCCUGGGAACUGACCUUAAUUGGCUGGCUGAGGGUUCUAGUUGGCAAAAUAUACUUUUUCACAACUACCCUUGAUAUGAAUGAAUGCGUUGCACCAGAAUCAAAAAGUACCAAUACUGGACGUGAAUUUAGCAAAAACUUACCAACCACAGUAUCGGGGUGAUCAUAGACCUCUUCAACAUCAAUGUGAUUCACCUGAGCUCGAGGAAAAGGAUUGGGCUUCUUUGCUGCAGAGUUACCGUUGCCGUUCCCAUUUCCCUGCUUGUUCUGGGGACAUUGAGUGGCAUAGUGUCCCGUCUUCUGACACUUGAAGCAGGUGAUGUGAUUCAGAUCCUUCUGAGCUGGAGUUGAAUGCUGCUGAGUGCCAGUACCGCCAUUCUUGAAGUUGUUGUUGUUGCGGUGGUUCCCAUUUCCUCCAUGGUUGUGGCCUCCAUGGUUUUGCACUGGGUGCUUUUGCUAGACGUGUCCUCCAAACUUACCGGAUCCAGUCCCGGUAUUCCCUGAAUAGGGGGUGUAGCGAGGCUUCUGCUGAGUGCCGGAGUUGAACUUUCCAUUCCCAUACUUCCGCUUGCGGUUCUCCAUCUGCUGAUGUUUCCCCUCCAAGAUGAGGGCCUUAUCUACCAGCUCCUCGUAGUUGUUGAAGGUGGCUACAGUCAGCUGAAUGCUCAGCUCAUCAUUGAGUCCCUCCAAGAACUUUUCCUACUUGGCCGCAUCAUCGGCCACAUCUCCAGGUGCAUAACAGGCGAGCAUGCUGAAUUCAUCGGCAUACUGAGCCACAGAGCAAUUUCCCUGGCAUAAGUUGCGAAACUCACGCUUCUUCAGACUCAUUGCAUCAGCUGAGACAUGUGCGGUACGGAAGGCUUGCUUGAACUGCUCCCAAGUGACUUCAGUAAUGGGGUAUGUGGUGGUGUAGUUCUCCCACCAUGCAGAUGCAGGGCCUUCAAGUUGAUGCGCGGCAAAGUGCACCUUCUCAGCUUCAGUACAACCAGCAGUGAUAAGUUCCCGCUCCAUCUUGCGGAGCCAAUCAUCUGCCACAAUGGGCUCAAUGCUGCUGGAGAAAGUCGGAGGGUUCAACCUCAGGAAACGGGUGAGAUUGUUGGCCUGGGGUGGAUGAUGGUUGUUGUUAUUGUUCUGGUUCUGGAUGAUCAGCUGCAUCAGGGUGUUCUGUUGCUGAAUCAACUGGGUGAGUUCCAGCGGAAAGUUGGAAGUAGGGGCACGUCUCGGAGGCAUCUGAUGGUUGUAGAGGGGUGAGAUUAGCAUAGAACAAUGGUCUAAGAGUAAUUACACUACCCAUAUGAAAUGCAACAACAAGUAUCACACCACACAUUUUAUUCAAUACCAUCACAAAGGUUCACACGGGGAUACAAAAUUCGAUAAUCCUAAACAUCGGCCUAAACGUUUAACGAUAAAAUAAAUUUGGUGGUCUAGUCUAAGUGUCCUCCUCAGAAAAGCAUGGUGAUGGGUACUUUGGUGGAGCUUUCUUCAUAGUCCUCAGCAUUGCUGAUCAAGGGGGCUACGUCUCCUUCGGGAUGAAGGUUCUCGCCCAUGUACAGUUCCUCCUCCAGGUAUGCAACUCGAGUCUUCAGCUUCUCGAUCCUCUCCAGAAAGUCCUUCACCUCCAGUUCGUGCUCAUAGUGGGCUUCCCGGGCUGCUUCUUCGAGUUCGAGUUCGCGGAGCGAUAGUUGCUUGAUCUUCCUGGCGUCCUUGAUCACACGAUGCUCCAGAGUCCCGCUGUGCUUCUCCAAGGUCUGGGCAUAGGACAGGGGAGCGUCCUUGGUCUUGCUUGAAAUGAUUUCUCCAUCUUCUCUUCUCCGGGAUACCGUGAAUAGGUCUGGUGAAAUAGGGCAGCCUUUGUACACUUCCUUGAUACGUCCGAGUGCACAAUGGACCGCCAUGUCCCUUCCGAGAAUCCAGGUGGGUGCGAUGAACUUGAAGUCCACAGGCUCACUGCGCGGCUCGAAUGUCCUUCCGGGAACGUGCACCUCGAUCCUGUAGUGUGAAUCCUCCGGGUAAGACGAAGUCGGCUUCUCUGUGAUAGUCGGCAGAGCAAUCCUCAAGUCCUUGGUGAUCUGUACCAGCUCCUUUCCGAAAGGCAUAGUGGCGUCGGGCUGGCAAAACUCCGUGAACUUAACGGGGAUGAAGGUGGCCAUCAAAAACAUUGGAAAAUCGGAGAGAAGUCACAAAUGAUCAGAAGAGAAAAUAAAGGAUUUAUAGACAUAAGAAAAUAGUUUUCUUCCUAAGGCUUUUCCAUUCCUAGAGGUUACGUCCUAUGGUUAGCGUGUGCUCUGAAUACCAUUUCUGUAGCGACCAGACUCAAGACGAGUCAAGCCUCUGGUGUUUCCGUACCAUCCCAAGAUCAUGCUGGUACACACUCAGUACAUUAAUGUAUAUAUUCAAGAGUUCAAUCACACAGCUUUAUUAAUCGAAAUCUCAUAACGAGUACUUUAUUACAAUAAUGGAUUACAAUAAAGUGGCUGAAGGCCAUCUCAUGAGAUAUCUAACGAAGACUAGCGGAAGCAUCAGGUAGACGAGUCCAUCCGACUCCAGGGCAUGUCGCUGAGCGUAGAUCGUAGCCUCACUCCUGGUCGGAAAAGUAUUCUGCAACAUGAUACGUUGCAGCCGUGUAGGUCAGCAUAUGGAAUAUGCCGGCAAGUCAUCAAGAGAGGGGUAAAAAAUAAUCAACUAUCUCUACAUGCAUAUUUGGCAGGUGGGGCUAUAAGUUUUGCAUAAAGCCAAUUUUAUCCUACAACAAGAGGGGCUGGAAGCAAAAUAUUACUACAUUGUUUGUUGUUAACAAGAUGGUUCCGCCAACCAAUUCCCGUACCCGAGUUGUUGUUAACACCCACAUCAUUAUUAAGUUGUGUCGAGAGUUCAGGGGAAUUUCAAUGCCUUCGACUCAAGUUGUCCAUGACCGUGGACACGGCUAAUCGAUUAGGUUGGGCACUCUGCAGAGUUUUGCACACGUUCCCCACAAGAUUUGAUCGCCUCCGUGUAUGUCCUCGCACUUCAGGGUGUUUGAAGACCGUAUGAUCAAAACAUGGUCUUUCAACGGGUCCCUCUGAAUCCCUGUCAGUGCCCAUCCAUUCCUACCGUUCUUCUUCUUCUCCUAGCACCGCCUGUCCAGAGUCGCCGCAUUGUCCAACCAAGCCAGAGCCCAUAAUGACUUGUGGCUGUGCAGGUGAGCCUUGGGUCUUGAAGCCUCCGUCCGUCUCUUCGAGCCUGGGUGAAGCUUUCCGCAAGAUGUCAUGGCCGUCUCCAGCAUCCCGUGUCAUCCACUGGUUUCUCCAGGGAGCCGAUCAACCGUCCUUCACCCAGAGUUGCAUUGCAUCCGAGGUCUUGAAAAUCUUGUCUUAACCGGUCUUGAUUAUUUAAUCAACCUCGCAUCACUCGUGUUAUGCACUCAACCGAAAUCCCGUCUACUCAAGCAUAGCAAUAUGAAAUUUGUCGUCCCGGGGCCAAGUAUCGUGGUUUCUGUGUGCCUACCACAUGAUACUACAACCUAUACUAAAAUUUCCAAGUACCUACGCAACAUGCAAUUGGGCAAAGAAAGGUGAAACUACCAUGCAUCGAAAAACAUAGGAAAUAGUAUGAUCAAAAUGACUUGCCUUGAUGAUAGUUGUCUUGAUCGAGCGCUUCUAAGUAACAAGCUUCGCACUCCGGGUGAUCUACCGAUACAAACAAAUACACACCAUAAGCACUACAAUCAAACAACAAGUAAAAAAUAACAUCACAAGUAAAAGUUGCUAUGGCUUAAGUGAAAGAAUUUACUAUACGUCACUAUGGCAAAAACUUGUUUCUGUUAAAAACCCAAGUACAAAUAUUUAACUUUUUUUGAAACUUCUACCACAGUAAGAUAUAAUCACUAGGAAGCAUUAGCAAAAAGAAUCAACUCAAAAUCAUUUUUUAAACUCCUGGAAUAAGCAAAACAAGGUUUAAACUAAAUCUGACCUAAUUCAAAUUUUAAAAUUUCAAACAUAGACAAAUUAUAUGUUUUUAAAAACUACAGAAAAAUUGGGAUCUACUGGAAAAAGAAUCAGCCUCAUUGGACUUCGGGAACAAAAGCUAUGCUCAAAACAAUAUUGAAACGUUUCUGUUUUUGGAACUAAACAGAAAAAGAAAACAAAUACUAACAGACACGUGGCAAUCCCUGAUUUGCUGCGGGGGUGUGUGCUACGGGUAGAAUGAGCAAACGGCCGAAACUUAAGAAAAUCUACGGCUAAAAGUAAGUGGGGCAGAAAACCAUUCGGGUUUUUACUUAAAAACCGAAGGGGUACCUAACUUCUAAUCUAGCGUGUUGGUUCUUCAUCUAACGGUGGAGGAGGGGUGGGGUGCUCACCGUGGUGGAGAUGAACUCCGGCAGGGUCUGAGGAGAAGAGGUGGUGGCGGGGAAGGGGUUCCGGCAGUCGGCCAAGGUGGAGGAGACGUCCGAGCGGCGGACGGGAUCUCCGACGUUCUUCUGGUGGCGUCGGGGAGCCACGGCGUGGCCGGGGGCGAGCAGUGGAGUGGCCGGAGCUUCGGCCGUGCUGGUGCUCCGGCGAGGUGUGGAAAGGGGCGGCUAGAGACGGCGGGACGGCGUGGCGAGGUGGGGAACGGAGUGCGGGGACAGGGGGGUAUUUAUAGGCGGAGAGUGGGCCUCGGGAGGGAAGGAAAUCAAGGCUGCCAUGGCAAGUACUGGCUCGCCGGGAGAAAAGGAAUCCCACGGGAGAACAGGGAAGGAAGGAAGAAUAAGAGGAAAGGAAAGAGAGGGAAGAAAAAAAAGAAAGAAAGAAAAGUGGGAAAGAGAAAAAAAUAAUAAAGAAGAGGAGGUGCGUGGGGGUUGAGGUGCGUGGGGGGUUUUGGCUAGAGAUCCCGGCGAUGAGAUUCUAGCCCGAGAAUAUCUCUUGCCCCUUUUUUUAAAAGAAACUAAAACGAAAAUAAAAGGAAACAAAUAAAAUAAUUAAUAUAGGGUAUUAUAUACCAAAAUGAUCAGAAAAAUAUCCUCUACUCGAUUAACAUUUUUCCAAGGCAAAAAUAAAAACUUUUAAAAAAUGUUUUUCAGAAAUUCCCCUAAAUGCUUUAUUUCUUUUUGGCAAUUAUUUUCACGAUAAAACUUUGGAUUUCUUGGCUCCAAAUAUUUCAGAGAUGCCUCGCACUUUGGAGGGUCAUUUUCCUCUGCUCUCUCUCUCUUGCGUGCAAGAGAUUAUUUCCCGGCAUUUCUCGUGUGAAGAAAAAAUAGAAAUGCAAAAGCAAAAAGUCGAAAGAAUUAAAAUGCAAACAUUAUUUAAAUCAAUAUGCAUAUAUGCUUAGCUACAAUGUAAAACAUUCCCAAUUAGGAAAAUUGGGAUGUUACGCUGCUGGUGAAUACCGACAGACUUUGACUCCCACAAGUUCACCUUCCUCUUCUGCUCGCGACAAGAGAGCGGUGAGUCCUUCAGUACAUAGGAUAAAUAGGUACGGCGAUAAAGGGUCCCCCUGUCGAAGGCCUAUAGUUGGUUUGAAAGCUCCUAUCUCCGUUGAGUUAUACUUCACCCUGUAUUCAACCGAGGAAAUGCACACCAUAAUCAUCUUCACCCAGUUUUCAUGGAACCUGAGCUUUAAAAAGAUGGCCUCCAAGAAGACCCACUCAACUCGGUCAUAUGCUUUAUGCAUAUCCAGUUGACCGCGCACCACCCAUCUUUGCCUGUUUUCUUUUGCUUUAUAGUGUGCAAACAUUCAUAAGAGAUAUGAGCAUUGCUGUAAUCAAUCUCCCUGGGAUGAAAGCACUUUGGGUUGGGCUGAUAAUUUCCGGCAAGAAGGGUUUCAAUCUCGUGGCAAUCAUCUUCGAGAUAAUCUUAUAGACAACAUUACAUAAGCUAAUCGGUCGAAACUGUGAAACCUUUUCUUGGGAAUUCACCUUUGGGAUCAUAACUAUUGUUGUAUCACUCCAACCUUGAGGCAUGAUCUGCAGAUUAACAGCAUUUAGCACCUUAGUAACCAGUUCGUCUCCUAGCAUGGACCAGAACUGCUUGUAGAAGAUUGCAUGUAAUCCGUCUGGCCCCGGGGCCUUUAGAUCACCAAUAGAGAAGAGCGCCUUCUUGACUUCUUCUGCUGUAUAUGGAGCCAUGAGUACUUCAUUCAUAUUUGAGGUAACCUUGGAUGGCACCUAGUUCAAGACAUCAACAUUUGGCAUUGCAACUUGAGACGUGAAUAACUUAGUGAAAUAUCCUGUAAUGAUCGAACUUAUAUCAUGCAUAUCCUGUCUCCACACCCCCGUGUCAUCCAUCAAUCUCUUGAAAUAAUUAUUUUUCUUACGUGUUGAGGCUAAUUUAUGAAAGAAUGAAGUGUUUCGAUCGCCAUGCAUCAGCCAGUUUGCUCUUGCUCUCUGUAACCAUACUAUCUCCUCUUGGUCCAGCAGACUCUCUAUCAAGACUUGAAUUUCCUUAAUUCUUUGUCUGGUUUCACUUGUGAGUUGUCCCCUUCUUGCCUUUUCAAGUUCUUUCUCCAUUUUUUGGAUACGACGCUCGCUACCUCUUGAGCUUGCGUUGGUUUUUUCCUUUGAAGAGGAAAGGGUGAUGCAGCACAGUAGCAGUAAGUAUUUCCCUUAGUUUUGAGAACCAAGGUAUCAAUCCAGUAGGAGUAUUAGGAUGAAGCACCGAUGUACCUGCGCAAAAACAGAAAACUUGCACACAACGCUACAAAGGGGUUGUCAAUCCCUUCACGAUUGAUUGCAAGGUGAGAUCUGAAGGCGGAAAGUGCAACAAAGUAAAAGUGUAGGGCUGAAAAUAAGAUGUUUCUCUCAAGAUAUAGUGUUCACUAGAUGCUUCUCUCAAGAUAGCAAAUAUUACGGUGGGUGAACGAAUUACUGUCGAGCAACUGAUAGAACGACGCAAAGUCAUGACAAUAUCUAUGGCAAUGAUCAUAAAUAUAGGCAUCACGUCCGAGACAAGUACACCGAUACUUUCUGCAUCUACUACUAUUACUCCACACAUCGACCGCUAUCCAACAUGCAUCUAGUGUAUUGAGUUCAUGACGAACAGAGUAACGCCUUAAGAAAAAUGACAUGAUGUAGAGGGAUAAAUUCAUGCAAUAGAUAUAAAACCCAUCUUUUUACCCUUGAUGGCAAAAACACGAUGCAUGCCUCCCUACCCCUUCUGUCACUGGGUGAGGUCACCGUACGGUAUGAACCCAAAACCAAGCACUUCUCCCAUUGCAAGAAUCAUAGAUCAAGUAGGCCAAACAAAACCCACAACUCGAAGUGAAUUACAAGGAUAUGAAAUCAUGCAUAUAAGAGAUCAGAAGAAACUCAAAUAAGAUUCAUAGAUAAUAUGAUCAUAAAUCCACAAUUCAUCGGAUCUCGACAAACAUACCGCAAAAGAAGAUUACACCGGAUAGAUCUCCAUGAAGAUCAUGGAGAACUUUGUAUUGAAGAUCCAAGAGAGAGAAGAAGCCAUCUAGCUACUAGCUAUGGACCCGAAGGUGUAUGGUGAACUACUCACGCAUCAUCGGAGAGGCAAUGGCGUUGAUGAAGAAGCCCUCCGUAUCCGAAUCCCCCCUCUAGUAGGGCACCAGAACGUGCCCCAGAUGGGAUCUUGCGGAGACAGAAGCUUGAGGAGGCGGAAAAGUAUUUUCGUGGAUCUCUCUCGUGGUUUUGGAAUUUUCGGGGAUAUAUAGGCAGAAGAAGUUGGCAGACAAGCCACAGGGGGCCCACAAGCCUGCUAGGCGCGGCCCCCUGGCCACGCCUAGGGGGCUUGUGGCCUCCCCUGGUGGCCUUUGCCUUGGUUCUCACGCUCCAUGCGUAUCUUCUGUUCCGGAAAAAAAUCUUUUCGGAGGUUUUAUUCCGUUUGGACUCCGUUUAAUAUUCCCCUCUCAAAAGGGUCAAAAACACGGAAAAAACAGGAACUAGCACUUGGCACUGAGUUAAUAAGUUAGUCCCAAAAAAGAUAUAAAAGGCAUACAAAACAUCCAAAGUUUGACAAGAUAAUAGCAUGGAACCAUAAAAAAUUAUAGAUACGUUGGAAGCGUAUCAAGCAUCCCCAAGAUUAACUCCUGCUCGUCCUUAAGUAGGGAAGUGAUAAAGACUGAGUUUUUGAUGUGGAAUGCUUCCUAGCUUAUUUUUCCUUUGUAACUUCUUUCAUGGGACAUGAAUGUUCAGAUCCGUAAGAUUCAAAACAAUAGUUUGUAUUGACAUGAAAACAGUAAUACUUCAAGAAAACUAGCAAAGUAAUUAUGAAGUUUCGAAAUAACAAGGCAAAGAGAAUUAUCCCUACAAAUCAUAUGGUAUGGCUAUGCUCCAUCGUCCCCACACAAUGAAUUUAAAUCAUGCACAACCCCAGUAUUGGCCAAGUUAUUGUUUUCGCACUCUUAAUUUUUCAAACCAUUAUCAACUCUCACGCAAUACAUGAGCGUGAGCCAUGGAUAUAGCACUAUAGGUGGAACAGAGUAUGGUGGAGGUUGUGAGAAAAAAAGGAGGAUAUGGUCACAUCGACUCGGCGUAUCAAAGGGCUAUGGAAAUGCCCAUUAAUAGAUAUCAAUCUGAAAGAGUAGGGAUUACCAUGCAAUGGAUGCACUUAGAGCUAUAAGUAUGUGAAAGCUCAAAAGGAGAACUAGUGGGUGUGCAUCCAACUUCCUUGCUCACGAAGACCUAGGGCAAUUUUGAGGAAGCCCAUCAUUGGAAUAUACAAGCCAAUUUAUAUAACGAGGAUUCCCACUAGCAUAUGGUGGUGACAAAACAAGAAGCUCUCAAUCAUGAAGAACAUGGUGCUAUUAUGAAGCACAAGUGUGGAAAAGAUAGUAGCAUUGUCCCUUCUCUCUUUUUCUCUCUUUUUGGGAUCUUUGGCCUCUUUCCAUACCUCUCCUUUUUUUUGUUGACAUCUUUGGCCUCUUUUUUUCCUCACAUGGGACAAUGCUCUAAUAAUGAUGAUCAUCACACUUAGGACGAUGAGGACUCUAUAGGAAAUGCCUCCGGCAGUGUACCGGGAUGUGCAACGAUCUAGCUUGGCGUUUGACGUUGAAACAUCUCGCUAGCUAUCUUACGAUCAUGCAACGACAAUAUGAAAGUGACGGCACCUGUCGUGAGACGGAACGGUGGGAGUUGCAUGGCAAUAUAUCUCGGAGUGGCUAUGAAAAUGCCAUAGUAGGUAGGUAUGGUGGCUUUUUGAAGAAGGCAUAUGGUGGGUUUGUGCACCGGCGAAAGUUGCACGGUACUAGAGAGACUAGCAAUGGUGAAAGGUGAAAGUGCAUCUAUACCAUGGACUCACAUUAGUCAUGAAGAACUCACAUACUUAUUGCGAAAGUUUUCAUUAGUAAUCGAAACAAAGUGCUAAACACAUACUCCUAGGGGAAGGGUUGGUAGGUGUUAACCAUCGCGCGAUCCCGAUCGCAACACAAAGGAUGACAAUCAAUAAAUCAAUUAUGCUCCGACUUCGUAACAUAGCGGUUCACCAUACGUGCAUGUUACGGAAAUCACUAACUUCAACACAAGUAUUUCUAGAUUCACAGCACCCUACUAACAUAACUCUUAAUAUUACCAAAUCCAUGUCUCAAAACUAUUCGAGAGGAAUCAAACUUCUGUUUCUAAUCAAUGCACAUGAAGAUAGAAGUUUUAUUGUAUCCUCUUUGGGUGCCUAUCACAUUUGGGACUACUUUCAUAGCACAAGCCAACUACCAAGUUACUCAGAGAGAUCACUCUCAAAAAGAUAUAAGUGAAGAUCGAGAGUUCUUAUUUCUCCAAAAUAUGACACCGCCGUGCUCUAAAAGAUCUAAGUGAAGCACUUAGAGCAAAGUUAUCUAGAUCAAAAGAUAUAAGUGAAGCACAUGUGAGCGAAAUUGCCUAACUCCAAAGAUAUAAGCGAAACUCAAAGAGUAUUCUAGCAAAUUCAUGAUGAGUGCAUGUCUCUCUCAAAAGGUGUGCAGCAAGUAUGAUUGUGACACAACAAAAAGAAAAGACUCCUACGAUACAAGAUGCUCCAAGCAAAACACAUAUCAUGUGGUGAAUAAAAAUAUAGCUCCAAGUAAUGUUACCGAUGGAUUGGAGACGAAAGAGGGGAUGCCUUCCUGGGGCAUCCCCAAGCUUAGGUUUUUUUGUGUCCUUGAAUUUGGCUUGGGAUGCCUUGGGCAUCCCCAAGCAUGAGCUCUUUCCACUCUUUAUCCCUUUUUCCAUGAGAACAUCACCCAAAACUUGAAAACUUCACAACACAAAACUUAAAUAGAAACUCGUGAUAUCAUCAGUACAAGAAACAAACUACCACCUCUUGAGCUACUAUAGCAAACUUGAUUUCUAUUUAUAUUGGUGUUACAUUACUGUAUUCUCACUUUACCAUGGCUAAUACCCCCCCCCCCUCGAUACUAUCCAUAGUUUCCUCAAAAUAAAGCAACCAACACAACAAAAACAGAAUCUGUCAAAAACAGACGAGUCUGUAGCAAUCUGUAUACUUCGUAUACAUCUGGUAUCUCAAAAAUUCUUAACAAUUACGACAGUUUAGGCAACUUGGCAUAUCAACCAGCAGCAAAAAGAAUCAACUCAAAAUCUGUUUCUGGAUAAAAGUGCAAAAUAAUUUUGUGAGCGAAAAGUUUUUKUCUUUUUCCAGCAGGAUCAAACAACCAUCACCAAACUCGUCAUAAAGGUUUUACUUGGCUCCAACACAAAAGACACAAUCAUAACAGAAUUAUGAUGGUGUGGACGCAACAAAACAGAAAGCAAAAAUGAAAGAUAAAUUCAUUGGGUUUCCUCCCAACAAGCGCUAUUGUUUAACGCCUUAGCUAGGCAUAAGGUGAUAGAAUCAUGUAUCGUCGUCUUUGGUACUCAAACCAUAAGUAGCCCUCAUCAUGGAUUCAUAAGGCAAUCUUAUUUCCUUUCUAGGAAAAUGUUCCAUGCCCUUCUUUAAAGGAAAUUGAAACCUAAUAUUCCCUUCCUUCAUAUCGAUGACAGCACCAAUAGUCCUUAGGAAAGGUCUACCAAGAAUGAUAGGACAUGUAGGAUUGCAAUCAAUAUCAAGCACAAUGAAAUCCACGGGUACAUAGUUCCUAUUUGCACUAAUAAGAACAACAUUGAUCCUUCCCAUGGGUUUCUUAACAGUAGAAUCCGCAAGAUGCAAAUUAAGAGAGCACUCAUCAGUCUCAUUGAAGCCUAGAACAUCACAUAAAGACUUUGGAAUCGCGGAAACACUAGCACCCAAAUCACAAAAAGCAUUGCAUUCAUAGUUUUUGAUCUUGAUUUUGAUAGUAGGUUCAUACCCAAAUCACAAACAACUAUCAUAAUUGAAUUCCUUGAAAUCCAAAGUAGUAGUUCCAUUACUACUCAAAGUUUUGAUAUCCUCUACUCCACUUUCAAUGCUUUUAGCAUCAAGAUAGAUAGACUCCAAAUCAUUGGGGCGUGUUUCAACCAAGGUGGAUUCAUAUUCAGCCCCAUCAUCAUUAGGUUUGACACUAGAAAACAAGUAUUCAAUGGGAGUCACACAUAGCACUUUAAGAUCUUCGUGAUUCACAUCACGAGAACACGCCUUUCUAAGCCAUUCAAGACUAGCACAAAUUUGGGCGGUUCUUUCUUUACUCUCAUUCAUGGAAACACGCAUAGAUUUCAAAGUUUCAUCCAUACUUAUCUUGGGAGGAGCACAUCUAACUUUCAAAGCAUCAAUAUCAAGAGACAUUCUAUCAACGCUCCUAGCCAAAUCAUCAAUUUUGAGUAGUUUUUCUUCUAUGGACGCAUUGAAAAUCUUUUGCGAGUUGAUAAACUCUUUAAUAUUACUCUCUAGAUUAGAGGGUAAUUUAUUGUAAUUUCUAUGAGCAUUGUUGUAGGAGUUGCCAAAGUUAUUAGAGGGAUUACUAGGAAAAGGCCUAGGAAUAUAGUUUCCUCUAGAAGCAUUGUUGUUGCCAAAAUUAUUCCUACCAACAAAAUUAACGUCCAAGCUCUCAUUGCUACCCUCAAUCAAGGAAGACAAGGGCAUAUCAUUUGGAUCUAAAGGAGCACCUUUACUAGCAAACAAUUUCAUUAACUCAUCCAUCUUAGCACUCAGCGAGUUAAUUUCUUCUAUAGCGUGUACCUUUUUACUAGUAGGUAACCUUUUAGUGUGCCACUGAGAAUAGUUUGUCAUGAUAUUAGCUAGGAGUUUUGUGGCUUCUCCUAAUAUGAUUUCCAUGAAGGUUCCACCGGAGGCGGAGUCCAAGAUAUUUCUAGAAGCAAAAUUCAAACCAGCGUACAAGAUUUGUAUAAUCAUACAAAGACUCAAGCCAUGAGCGGGACAAUUUCUAAUCAUCAGUUUCAUUGUCGGGACCCCGAUCCUAAGUCAUAGGAAUCCAGCCUGUAACACAUCGCAUCUCUUUGCGGUCUCAUGCACGGUUAAUUCCACGGCUGCAGCCUUACCCUUGCCGGGACCGUUUGCGUCUUUUGACUCACGUAUGCAAUAGUGUCGCUAGCAUCCCAAUGACAAAGAACCCGGAUCGACAAGUCUAGUCACAAACCAAAGUGGCAGUACCACACAAGGACAGUCAUACAUGACCCAACAAAGCAGGUGUCGGUCACCAGCGAGUGUAGACGAGUCGUAGCAAGCUACAAGGACUCCAUUACAUCGCGUGACAUUUCCCCAAAGGGGACAGACACAUCAGCUAAGAAGGACACAUGCCGGUCAACCAAUGUGUUCGGAGCAGUAGCGAACUACCAAGGCUCGUUGGAUCACAAAGGGGCAUUUCCUUGUAAGGAGUGCUACUAAAGUUAACGACUAGGUAAUCGAACCCCAUACAUAUCAAGUACGACACACGUACGCAUAGCAUACCGAUAUGUAUAGAUACAUCGAUGGCAUCACAACAUAACCAUAAACAUACAAGCUUUAUUUAAGAGGCUCGGAAGAGCCACACACAUAAUAUUACACAUUAAGGGUCUCACGACCCAUAAUAGCAGUCAUUCAGUUACAAGCCAGCGGAAGAGUUUAAAACUGUCUGAGUAUAGACAGGGCAACUAGAAGGCACAUGGCCUGACUAUACUACAGAUCCAACGUAGGGCCAGAUCAUAGCUGGGACACCAGCUACUCGUCGUCGUCGAUGUCUACGAAGAACCCUCCAUUAGGGUCAUUAGCAACCUCUGCAACAUUUAUUAAGCAAACAUGAGUACGAAGGUACUCAGCAAGACUUUAAGAUAACUAUCUACUCAUGCAAAGUAUCAAGAAGGUAUUGUGGGGUUUCAUGCGGAAAGCCAGCAUUUGACUCGUGGCUAAACAACUUGCAUUUUUAAAUAAUUUUGACAACUUGAUUUCUCGCACACGAGUCCACUAACACCACAACAAUACACCAUCGUGGAAUCAUUCCGUCUCCAUACGGAAUUGCCGUCCACGACACUCACGCUUAUCUUGACAAUUUUAUGGGUAGCCAUUGAAGUUAUCUAUGAACAACAUAUGUCUCCAAGUAGUCCAUAUCCGCGGACGCGGCUAUCCGAAUAGAUCAUAACCCUGCAGGGGUGUACUUCGUCACACACGCUCUCGCCGCUUAUCGCCACGUGCACGUCAUGCACCUCGGCAACCUUCAAGCGGAAGCCCAGCGAGGGAGUCGGCCACGACCGUUAACCACACUAGUACCUAGUCUAGGUUUAUCGCCUAUCCGAGAGUAACCCGUAAGGAAGUGUCGGGACCGGGUUUUGAGUAUUUCUUUGCCACUUUGUUGUUUUUGUUGGAAAUUCUUAGAUGCAAAUGCAAAGAAUACAUGAGCACAAUGCUAUCUUGCUUAAGGGUUAGGGAUGUGACAACUCUCCCCCACUCAAAAGAAUCUCGUCCCGAGAUUUAGAAGUCGUCGGGAAUAACGCGGGAUAUUCAAGUCGGAGACGAUCCUCUCUUUCCCAAGUUGCCUCCUUUUCAGAAUGAUUUGACCAUUGAACUUUAAGAAACUUGAGGUUUCGACGUCGAGUGGUACGCUCAGCUUGAUCAAGAAUACGCACGGGGUAUUCUCGGUAAGAAAGGUUAUCUUGUAGAUCAAGCGUUUCGUGGUCGACUUCACGGAUAGGAUCCGAGAAGUAACGCCUGAGUUGCGAGACGUGGAAAACAUCAUGAACCUUGGAAAGAUGCGGAGGAAGUUCCAACUGGUAGGCAACUUCUCCUCGUUUGGCAAGAAUGCGAAAAGGACCAAUGUAACGAGGAGCCAACUUGCCCUUGAUACCAAAACGAUGGGUACCCUUCAAAGGUGUAACCUGAAGGUAAGCCUUCUCGUCAACUUCAAAGGUCACAGCCUUAUGAUGACGAUCAUAUUGGCUCUUUUGACGAGACUGGGUUGUUUUCAACUUUUCACGAAUAAUGCGAACCUGCUCUUCUGCAUCCUGGAUCAUGUCCGGGCCAAAGAGUGGCCUCUCUCCGGUUUCUGACCAAUUAAGAGGGGUUCGACAUCUUCGUCCAUAGAGAACUUCAAAAGGGGCUUUUCCCAAGCUUGAGCUUGAUUGAUAACUAUUGUUAUAAGCGAAUUCGGCGAAUGGAAGGCACUUCUCCCAAUUCAUACCGAACGAAAUAACACAAGCUCGGAGCAUAUCUUCUAGGAUUUGAUUCACUCUUUCUACUUGACCACUUGAUUGAGGAUGGAAAGGAGUGCUAAAAGAUAAGUGAGUCCCCAUGGCAUUCUGAAAACUUUCCCAGAAGCGAGAAGUAAAGAUACUUCCACGGUCCGAGUUAAUUUCCAGGGGAACACCAUGAAGAGACACUAUUCGAGAGAUAUAUAGCUCUGCUAGCUGGCCAGCUGUUAUACUCUCACGAACAGGAAGAAAAUGAGCCACUUUGGAAAGACGGUCAAUGACCACAAAGAUAUCAUUAUUUCCUUUCUUGGUCUUGGGAAAUCCGGUAAUGAAAUCCAUGCUAACUUUAUCCCAUUUCCAUUCAGGAAUAGCUAAAGGUUGAAGGGUGCCAGCAGGCCUUUGAUGUUCUGCCUUAACUCGGCGACAAACGUCGCAGUUAGCAACGAACUCAGCAAUUUCUCUCUUCAUCCUAGUCCACCAGAACCUCUGGCGUAGGUCCUGAUACAUCUUAGUACUACCGGGAUGAAUGGUGAGAGGAGAAUCAUGAGCCUCCUUAAGGAUAAACUGCCUUACAUGUGGGUUCUUAGGAACCACUAAACGAUUCUGGAAGAACACAACACCUUGAUCAUUCAUCGAAAAUUCUUUAGCAUUUCCGCUAAAAAUAUUCUCCUUGAUCCGUGAUAUACCCUUGUCACGCUUUUGGCCAGCUAUAAUUUGAUCCUUAAGAGCAGGCUUCGCCACCAGGGUAGAAAGGAAUCCUUGAGGAACAAUAUGAAGAUUCAACUUCCGAAAGUCCUCAUGGAGAUGUGGUUGACCUUGUUGUAGCAUCAAAUUGUUACAAUAAGAUUUACGACUUAGUGCAUCGGCCAUAACAUUGGCCUUCCCCGGGGUGUAAGUUAUCCCUAAGUCGUAAUCCGAGAUCAACUCAACCCACCGUCUUUGCCUGAGAUUCAAAUCCGGCUGGGUGAAGAUAUAUUUCAGACUUUGGUGAUCAGUGAAUAUUUCACAACGAUUACCCAAAAGGUAAUGUCGCCAGGUUUUUAGUGCAUGGACCACAGCUGCAAGCUCAAGGUCAUGUGUGGGAUAAUUAUCCUCAUGUGGACGCAACUGUCUAGAUGCGUAUGCGAUCACAUGACGAUCUUGCAUGAGAAUGCAACCUAAUCCUUGUCGCGAGGCGUCGCAAUAGAUAACAAAGUCCUUAGAAAAAUCUGGUGGUAGCAACACAGGUGCGGAAGUCAGGCGUCUUUUCAGUUCCUGAAAAUUAUGCUCACACUGUGGUGUCCACUCGAACUUUUUAUCCUUCUUGAGGAGUUCAGUUAGAGGCUUUGCAACCUUGGAGAAAUUCUCGACAAAGCGGCGACAAUAGCUCGCUAGACCAAGAAAACUCCUAACUUGCUUAAACGAUUCAGGUUGAGUCCAAUCAAGGACAGCUUGAACUCUCUCGGGAUUGACAACAAUACCCUUACCAGAGAUUACGUGGCCUAGAUAGGUCACUUCUGGUAACCAGAAUUCACAUUUUGAAAAUUUGGCAUAAAGGCGAUGCUCUCGAAGUUUCAUCAAUACCAGCCUUAGAUGCUCGGCAUGUUCUUGUUCAUUCUUUGAGUAGAUGAGAAUAUCAUCGAGGUAUACUACGACGAAUUUAUCCAAAUACUCCAUAAAUAUUGAAUUCAGCAGUCGAGAGAAGGUGGCUGGGGCAUUGGUUAAACCGAAGAACAUAACGGUGUACUCAUAUUGGCCAUAACGAGUAACAAAGGCCGUUUUUGGAAUGUCCCCGUUCUUAAUCUUGAUUUGAUGGUAUCCCAACCUCAAAUCCAUUUUGGAGAAGACUGAGGAUCCAACGAGCUGAUCGUACAGAUCGUUGAUCCUGGGGAGCGGAUACUUGUUCUUUAUGGUGACCAGAUUAACUGGUCGGUAAUCUACAACCAUCCGAUCCGUUCCAUCUUUCUUCUUGACGAAGAGGACGGGACAAGCCCAAGGAUAAGAGCUAGGAAGAAUGAAACCUUUGCUCAAGGCCUCAUCUAGUUGCUUCUUAAGUUCGGCUAGCUCUAGGGGUGCCAUCUUAUAAGGUCUUCUGGCUAUUGGGACAGUUCCCGGAACAAGAUCUAUCACGAACUCUACAUAUCUGUCAGGUGGAAUUCCUGGCAGUUCCUCUGGAAAAACAUCCGGGAAGUCACGGACUACCGGAAUGUCUUCAAGUUCCGGAAGAGGGUUGGCAUUUAAGGAAUAGAGUUGGCAUUUGGCAACUCGAGUAGAGACAUUUACUAUCUCACCCGAGGGAUGGGUAAGCUGGACAUUUCUAGAGUGAGUAUCAAUCUUGGCAUAGUAAGCUGACAUCCAGUCCAUGCCCAAGAUGAUAUUAAUAUCCGAAGAUUUCAAUAAUAUCAAUGAGGCUAGAAAAACUAGCCUGUCUACUAGAAUUUCAUUAUCAUAGGUUAUCCUAGAGGUUUGCCAUUUACUACCAGGGGUUUGGACAACCAAUGGGAUUGGCAUAUCACAAAAUGACAUGUUAUGCAACUGUGCAAAACUUUCUGAAAUGAAGGAAUGAGAAGACCCAGUGUCAAAGAGAACGGACGCUGGGUGAUGAUUAACAAGAAGCGUACCCAGCAUGACGUCGGGAUCCUCUGCGGCUUCUUCUGCUGACACAUAGUUCACACGGCCACGUGCAGGAGUUGGCUUCACAUAGUACACUUUUCCCGACUUGGCCUGCCCGACGGACUUUCCGGGUUGCUUGGCACCCACAUUCUGAGGACACUCACGGGAAUAAUGCCCUGGUUCUCCAUACUUGUAGCAUAUCACCUGGUUGGCACGUGGUGCAGCAUUGCUAGCUGGACCACCAUAAGCUUUUGCUGGAGGGUUGGCCUGAUUUGUUUGAGGCGCCACGUAGGAUGGCCUCGGAGUGUAUCUUGGCGGCAGAGAACUGUUUGGAACCCACAGCCUGCGUUUUGGAAACGCGGAACCUGAAGAUGAGCUAAAGUCACGGGAGUGCUUCCUUGUGGCUUCGAAGUCAGAAUGACCAGUCUUCGCACUGAUCGCUUUGUUGACCAGGGCUUGAAAACUUGCACACUCAUGGAGGCGCAGGUCUCGACGGAGCUCAGGGCUCAGACCCUUACGGAAUCUUGCUUGCUUCUUGGCGUCAGUAGACACCUCCUCUGUUGCAUAGCGGGCGAGGUUACCGAACUCGCGGCUAUAGGCAUCCACAGAUAACUUGCCCUGAGUGAAGGCACAGAACUCCUCUCUCUUUCUGUCCAUCAGGCCCUCUGGAAUAUGGUGCAGACAAAAAGCUGCACUGAAGUCUGCCCAUGUGGCCACUGGUUCAGCGGGACGCAUAGCUUCAAAAUUUUCCCACCACAGAUUGGCGGGUCCUUCUAGGAAAUACGUCGCGAAGGUCACCUUGUCGUCCUCAGACACAUUCGCACAGCGAAUCUUGUGUGAGAUGCUGCACAGCCAGUCAUCAGCGUCGAGGGGAUCGACGGAAUGAUGAAACUUUGGAGGAUUCAGCUUCACAAAGUCAUUGAGGGACACUGCAGCAUUCCUAGGCUGUCGAGCCGUAUUCUACUCAAUACGCUCUAGCAGUCGGUUGGUCUCCCUUUUGUUUCUUUCUGCCUCAAGCAUCACUUCUACCAGAGAAGGUGGGUGAGGCAGGUCUUUCUGCGACGCUUGACUACCCUCACCUUGCUCAUGAGCAGGGGCACGGUUCAACCAGGUGAACACCAUCCUGACAAACAAACUCAUAGCUUAGACCAAAAUCAUAUCAAUACUAGCUAUGGAUUAAGUAUGUACUGAACACAGGGAAUGCGGAAAUGAAUAUCCGAACAACAUGGUAACAAGCAACUGCUAUAUAUACACCAUGGUUCAUACACACCCUUACAUAGUUCAGUAUACCCUUAACCGAAGAGCAAACUACUGAAAUUGUGAAACUACUCAUCAGAGGCUACAAGCUUCCUAUACAUUAUUUAUCUAGGCCUCCGGAAUUCAUUUCACAUUACUACCAUACUUCACAAGUCACACAGGACUGUGAACGUACGGCUACUACCAUACUAUCCUUCCGCUCACAGCUCAGGCAUCCGCAUAGAACAUCUCAUAGAGAUUACCUCCAUGACCUGGAAGCUCAACCUACGGAUCAGGAAACACUCUAGCCUGAGAUCCCUGGGAUCCAUAAGGACACGGAUGUGGCCUUGGUCCCCUGACUGGUGGUAAGAGGGGUCCCCGAAGAGGUGUGACUCCUCCUAUAGCUGGCCAGUCAACGUGGGCCGGAAGAUGGGUCCUAACAGGGUUCAGCAUCUCCAUCUCUCCAUACCCUGUCUGGACUAUCGGUGCUAGCUGCGUCAAAGCUGUCCACAGACGGGCACGGGUAGCAUAAAGCUCCAUGCGGAGAGCACGGGCAUCCCUGUCUCUGUUCUCUAGCAUCUCAACAGUGGACUGCAGAAGUGGAUCCUCCAUAGAAGAAUCAAAAUAGACUCCACUGAGGUAUCCCUCUUCACCAGGGUGAGAGGCCGAAACAUAGCAGAACUCUGAAUUCUGCAGCAGUGCAUGUCUCGCUCUCAUAAUAGUCAGCAUUGAAUAGGUAGCAUCUUGUACUGCCAUGUCAACAGUGACUCCCAACCCAUAGGACCAAUGGAUUGGCUCCUCAGCUCCAGGGUAGUCUGGGAAUACCCUAACAGUGCAGAUGUACUGGCUCUGGUUGAAGUCUCGGUACUGUUCCUCCACUGUGUACUCGGGGUACCAGCGGUAACCGCACACCGAGAUCACCGUGACCAGCAUGGCCGUAUGACCCGGCACAUCAAUGCACCUGGUCAGAAGAAACCACCUGACGAGAAGGACGGCCGGACAUCUGUAAAUAGAGAGUAAUGCAAAAGCAUUAGAGCUCUGAAUGCAAAAUUGGGCAGCAUAACGGCUGUAAAUGCUCAAAACAAAUUUGAGACAACCCAAAAUGGAAUAGCGUAACCACUCAACUAUCAAGUUCAACUCUCUGAUCAUCAAACUUACUUCCUGCUUCCUAGGAAUAAAAGAAACCCAAUAUCUCUCGACCCGUAGUCCUAUAAUCUACCGAUCAGAAAUACGAGCCUAGGAGAAGAUGAGAAAUCUAGUCCUUAAUUCCCGCAGAAAAGACGAGGAUGACGAGAAUGGAAUAUCUUGAGAAGAAAACAAGAGUGUUACGUUCCCUUCCACAAACAAUUCCCUUAUAUAUAACUAAGAAAUUCUAGACUCAACUUCGACCAGUUUGGCUUAGUAAUCCUACAGUCAGUCAGGCUCUGAUACCAACGCUGUCGGGACCCCGAUCCUAAGCCAUAGGAUUCCAGCCUGUAACACAUCGCAUCUCUUUGUGGUCUCACGCACGGUUAACUCCACAGCUGCAGCCUUACCUUAGCCGGGACCGUUUGCGUCUUUUGAGUCACGUAUGCGAUAGGUGUCGCUAGCAAUCCAAUGUCAGAGAACCCGGAUCGACAUGUCUAGUCAUAAACCAAAGUGGCAGUUCCGCACAAGGACAGGCAUACAUGACCCAACAAAGCAGGUGUCGGUCAUCAGCGAACGUAGACGAGUCGUAGCAAGCUACAAGGACUCCAUUACGUCGCGUGACAUUUCCCCAAGUACAUAUCAAGUACGACACACGUACGCAUGGCAUACCGAUAUGUAUAGAUACAUCGAUGGCAUCACAACAUAACCAUAAACAUACAAGCUUUAUUUAAGAGGCUCGGAAGAGCCACACACAUAAUAUUACACAUUAAGGGUCUCACAACCCAUAAUAGCAGUCAUUCAGUUACAAGCCAGCGGAAGAGUUUAAAACUGUCUGAGUAUAGACAGGGCAACUAGAAGGCACACGGCCUGACUAUACUACAGAUCCAACGUAGGGCCAGAUCGUAGCUGGGACACCAGCUACUCGUCGUCGCCGAUGUCUACGAAGAACCCUCCAUUAGGGUCAUUAGCAACCUCUGCAACAUUUAUUAAGCAAACAUGAGUACGAAGGUACUCAGCAAGACUUUAGGAUAAAUAUCUACUCAUGCAAAGUAUCAAGAAGGUAUUGUGGGGUUUCAUGCGGAAAGCCAGCAUUUGACUCGUGGCUAAACAACUUGCAUUUUUAAAUAAUUUUGACAACUUGAUUUCUCGCACACGAGUCCACUAACACCACAACAAUACACCAUCGUGGAAUCAUUCUGUCUCCAUACGGAAUUGCCGUCCACGACACUCAUGCUUAUCUUGACAAUUUUAUGAAUAACCAUUGAAGUUAUCUAUGAACAACAUAUGUCUCCAAGUAGUCCAUAUCCGCGGACGCGGCUAUUCGAAUAGAUCAUAACCCUGCAGGGGUGUACUUCUUCACACACGCUCUCGCCGCUUAUCGCCAUGUGCACGUCAUGCACCUCGGCAACCUUCAAGCGGAAGCCCAGCGAGGGAGUCGGCCACGACCGUUAACCACACUAGUACCUAGUCCAGGUUUAUCGCCUAUCUGAGAGUAACCUGUACGGAAGUGUCGGGACCCUGAUCCUAAGCCAUAGGAUUCCAGCCUGUAACACAUCGCAUCUCUUUGUGGUCUCACGCACGGUUAACUCCACGGCUGCAGCCUUACCUUAGCCGGGACCGUUUGCGUCUUUUGACUCACGUAUGCGAUAGGUGUCGCUAGCAAUCCAAUGUCAGAGAACCCGGAUCGACAUGUCUAGUCAUAAACCAAAGUGGCAGUUCCGCACAAGGACAGGCAUACAUGACCCAACAAAGCAGGUGUCAGUCAUCAGCGAACGUAGACGAGUCGUAGCAAGCUACAAGGACUCCAUUACGUCGCGUGACAUUUCCCCAAAGAGGACAGACACAGCAGCUAAGAAGGACACAUGCCGGUCAACCAAUGUGUUCGGAGCAGUAGCGGACUACCAAGGCUCGUUGGAUCACAAAGGGGUAUUUCCUUGUAAGGAGUGCUACUAAAGUUCACGACUAAGUAAUAGAACCCCAUACAUAUCAAGUACGACACACGUACGCAUGGCAUACCGAUAUGUAUAGAUACAUCGAUGGCAUCACAACAUAACCAUAAACAUACAACCUUUAUUUAAGAGGCUCGGAAGAGCCACACACAUAAUAUUACACAUUAAGGUCUCACGACCCAUAAUAGCAGUCAUACAAUUACAAGCCAGCGGAAGAGUUAUAAACUGUCUGGGUACAGACAGGGCAACUAGAAGGCACAUGGCCUGACUAUACUACAGAGCCGACGUAGGGCCAGAUCGUAGCUGGGACACCAGCUACUCGUCGUCGUCGAUGUCUACGAAGAACCCUCCAUUAGGGUCAUUAGCAACCUCUGCAACAUUUAUUAAGAAAACAUGAGUACGAAGGUACUCAGCAAGACUUUAGGAGAACUAACUACUCAUGCAAGGUAUCAAAAGGUAUUGUGGGGUUUCAUGCGGGAAGCCAACAUUUGACUCGUGGCUAGACAACUUGCACUUUGAAAUUAGUUUUGACAACUUGAUUGCUCGCACACGAGUCCACUAACACCACAACAAUACACUAUCAUGGAAUCAUUCCGUCUUCAUACGGAAAUGCCGUCCACGACACUCACGCUUAUCUUGACAAAUUUUAUGAGUAGCCAUUGAAGUUAUCUAUGAACAACAUAUGUCUCCAAGUAGUCCAUAUCCGCGGACGCGGCUAUUCGAAUAGAUCAUAACCCUACAGGGGUGUACUUCGUCACACACGCUUUCGCCACUUAUCGCCAUGUGCACGUCAUGCACCUCGACAACCUUCAAGCGGAAGCCCAGCGAGGGAGUCGGCCACAACCGUUAACCACACCAGUACCUAGUCCACGUUUAUCGCCUAUCUGAGAGUAACCCGUACGGAAGUCCGGCCGAGGUUUCCGCCACGGCCUCAAACGAUGUGCGCAGGGUUCCCAAGCCCACCAUCCGGGUGCCACUUGGUACACCGUGCCACUGCCUACCGCAUCACGGUCCACCUCUCAGGUCAGCACCAUGCACGGCCUCCAGCAUUACUAUAAACACCAGAAACUACUUGCAACUCCUGGACCGAGUACUACGAGAUUAAUAGGCCGAGCAGGGCCAUAUUUCAGGGCCCAGCAUGUGGUAGUAUCUAGUCUUGGAUUACAUACACGGAACUCAGUUCCUAAGGACGGUUCCAAUGAAACAACCCUCCAUGUACUCCUACACAGCCUUUCACCGGUACCUUUACCAAUCAAGUUCAACACACAACCUUUGCUCACCGAACACAUUCCACAUUUCUGUUCAUCUCCCAGAUGACAGACCAUACACAACUCUAGGCAUAGCAUGCAUAGCAGGAUAAGGCACAUCAUAGCUCAAGCAACUACCAGGUAUGCUAGGUUGCAAGGUUUGGCUAUUUACUGUGACAAGGUUAAGUCAUGCAAAGGAAGUGGGUCCAACUAUCGUGGCAAAAGCAGUUGAAGCAUUUGAACCUAAUGCAAUAAAUAGGUGCAGGAGCAAGAACAUGGGAUUUAUCGGGAUGAUUAAAAGGGUUGCUUGCCUUGUUGCUCAGAGGAGGAACGAUAUCCGUCAGACGGAUAUUCGGUGGAAUCCGGGGGUGCGGAGCCUACCGAAACAAAUGGCAACAUUCAAUAACAAUCAUAUGGACUCAAAAUGAUGCAUGAGCAUGGCAUGAGAAUGCAAGGUGAUAAGUUAUUAUUUUCAACAUGUAUUAGGUUUAGAGUUGAUUUGAAUCACAUUAGAAUAGCAAUUCAAACGGGGUAUUCUCGGAUACCGGUUUAAUUGAUUCGACCUGAUGCUCAGAUCAACUUGGUGUUAACAUGCAUGAUUGUCAUGUUAUGAUACUAAUUUGUAAUUAGGGCAGUGUGUGAUCAUUGCAUAAAUAAUGGAAUUUGAAUAUUUUUGCAAAUUCCAUUUAUAAAGUGAUUAUAAGAAUUUAAUUAUUCCUUAUUUCACAAUUUAGGGUUCUGUAACUUUUUCAAACAUAGUUGAAAAUAUCAUAAUUACAAUCCUUGAAUUUUUCUGAUACUUUUUCAUAUAUAAAUUAUUUUCAUUGGAGUUACAGAUUAAUUUCUAUGAUUUUUACAAGUUUUAGCAAUUUACUGGAAUUAUUUCUAUACUGGAAAUUCUAUUUAUUGCAUCAGGCUCACGUCAGCAGGUCAGCCGACCUGUUCAGGUCAAACCUGACGAGGGGGGGCCCCACUGGUCAGCCUCUCUGGGACUAAUCCCGCGCUGACCAGCCCCUAAUUGGGGUUUGACUUGGCCUUGGGCCCACUUGUCAGCGAGUGAUUAGGUCACUAAUCGGCUCGGUUAGCUUGCCACGUCGACAUCCACCGGCGGCGAGGUCGUCCUCGCCGGCGGGGAGCCUCCAGCGACCACCAGCAUGGCGGAGGGGCUCGGAAACGGCGCACAGGGUGCCAAAUGCUGCGCGGAGAGCACCAAAGGAACGACACGUCUCCCGCAGCUUCAUUUCUGCACCUAGCCGGGGCUGAUCUGGCGGAGAUGACGCCGGCGAUGAGCUUGGCGGCGGCCAAGGCUCGGGCGUCAUCGGGGUCUUUGAAUCAGAGGGAUCUACGCUCGGUUCUUAGCUGCUACGGCAUCUACGCGUCGUCCUGGAGCUGCUGGUGCCCUCGGAAGGACGAGCUGAUCAUCGGAGGGCUACCGGCGACGAGCGGCAGCGGCGGUCCUCGUCGGGCUCCGGUGAAACUAGAGCUAGAGGAGGGGAUCGACGGGGAAAACUUAGGGGAAACGACCGCAUGCUCACGGGGAGUGCAGAGCAAAGCUUAGACGGCUCGGGGAAGGCCUGGGGGCGACGAAUCGACGGGAGAGGUCCGGCGGCCGGAGGUGGAAGACGACGGCGUUGCGGGCAUUGCAAGGCUCGAGGAAGCUUCGGCUUCUGCAGAGAUGACCAGGGCGACGAGGCGGAGCUAAAGGCGUGCUCUGGGAGGGAAUCCUAUGGCCAGGGGCACGGGUAGCUCGAUCUCGAGCUCGGCUCUAAUGGGGGCAGCAAGGAGGAGGAGGAGAUCCGGGAGGAGGAGGAGAACCGAGGCGGGGAAUGGAUAGGGGAGCCUCUGGGGAGCUUAUCCCCGUCGUUGCCAGCGCGAGCCGGCGGCCAGGCAGGCACGCAGGUGCAUGGCCGCGCCGGAGGGGGCGGCGGCCACCUCCUGCUGCCUACUGGCGCGAGGGAGGGGACAAGCGGGGAGAUGGGCCGGGCCAGGCUUGGGAGACAGGUAAGUUUUUUUCCAUUUUCUCUGUUUUUGUUUUUCCGUUUUGCUAAUUAUUGUUUUGCCAAUUAAUUCAGCUCCAAAACAAAAAGUAAAAACUGUUUUAGACCUCCUGAAGUAUUUGUUAUAAUAUCCCCAACCAUUUCCAAGGUUUUCAACAUUUUUGGAAAUGUAUAGUUUCUGAUUUCAAAUUUAAAACUUGAAACCAGUAGCCUUUUUCAUUUAUUUAAAAAGCUUAAAGUGUCAAGAAAAUAGUUUUCUCCAAUGCUCAUUUACUUUCAUGAUUUAUCAAAAAGUUUGAACAUUUCUUGAGGCCAUUUUGGGUUCAUUGAUUUUGAACUAGUUUGAGAUUUCCUUUAAUUGAAAUGGUGGCUAGGGUUUUGAGUAUUUCCUUUGCCACUUUGUUGUUUUUGUUGAAACUUCUUAGAUGCAAAUGCAAAGAAGACAUGAGCACAAUGCUAUCUUGCUUAAGGGUUAGGGAUGUGACAGGAAGUCCGGCCGAGGUUUCCGCCAUGGCCUCAAACGAUGUGCGCAUUGUUCCCAAGCCCACCAUCCGGGUGCCACUUGGUAUACCAUGCCACUGCCUACCGCAUCAUAGCCCACCUCUCAGGUCAGCACCAUGCACGGCCUCCAGCAUGACUAUAAACACCAGAAACUACUUGCAACUCCUCGACCGAGUACUAAGCGAUUAAUAGGCCGAGCGGGGUCAUAUUUCAGGGCCCAGCAUGUGGUAGUAUCUAGUCUUGGAUUACAUACACGGAACUCAGUUCCUAAGGACGGUUCCAAUGAAACAACCCGCCAUGUACUCCUACACAGCCUUUCACCGGUACCUUUACCAAAUUAGGUUCAACACACAAUCUUUGCUUACGGAACACAUUCUCACAAUUUUGUUCAUCUCCCAGAUGACAGACCAUACAAAACUCUAAGCAUAGCAUGCAUAGCAGGAUAGGACACAUCAUGGCUGAAGCAACUACCAGGUAUGCUAGGUUGCAAGGUUCGGCUAUUUACUAUGACAAGGAUAGGUCAUGCAAAGGAAGUGGGUUCAACUAACGUGGCAAAAGCAGUUGAAGCAUUUGAUCCUAAUGCAAUAAGUAAGUGCAGGAGCAAGAACAUGGGAUUUAUCCGGAUGAUCAAAAUGGUUGCUUGCCUUGUUGCUCAGAGGAGGGACAAUAUCCGUCAGACGGAUAUUCGGUGGAAUCCGGGGGUGCGGAGCCUACCGAAAUGAAUGACAACAAUCAAUAACAAUCAUAUGCAAACAAGAUGAUGCAUGAGCAUGGAAUGAGAAUGCAAGGUGAUAAACUAAUAUAUCCAACAUGUAUUAGGUCUGAAGUUGAUUUGAAUCAAAUUCAAAUAUCACUUCAAACGAGGUAUUCUCAGAUACCGUUUUAAUUGAUUCGACCUGAUGCUCAGAUCAACUUGAUGUUAACAUGCAUGGGAUGACAUGUUAAGUUGUUGGUUUGUAUUUAGAACAGUGUUUGACCAUGUCAUUCAUAAUGAAAAUUUAAAUAUUUUCCAAAUUCCAUUUAUAAAGUAUUUAUAAGAAUUGACUUACUCAUUAAUCUACAUGUUUGGGUUUUGUAACUUUUUCAAACAUGAUUGAAAAUAGCAUAUUCAGAUUCCUUGAAUUUUUCUGAUACUUUUUCAUAUAUAAAUUAUUUUCAUUGGAGUUACAGAUUAAUUUCUAUGAAUUUUUGAAGUUUUAAACAUUUCUGGAAUUAUUCUUAUACUGGAAAAUUACUUUUACUGCAUCAGCAUGACAUCAGCACGUCCAACUGGCCGUUGAAAGUCAAACCUGACCGGUGGGACCCACUGGUCAGUGUCUCUGGUCAAUUUUAGAUUAGGAUUAAUCUUAUUUAGUUAAUUAAACUCACUGGACCCACAUGUCAGUGUCUUAUUAGUUUAUCUGAUUUAUUUUUAUUAUCUCUAAACUAUCCAUAGGCUGGCCCCACCCGUCAGUGGCUCAGGCCAGGUGAGAUCCACCGGCAGCGAGGUCGUCCUCGCCGGCAGGGAGCCUCCGGCGAGCACCAGAACGUCGGGGGGGGCUCGGAAACGGCGCACAGAGGGCCAAACGCUGCGCGGAGAGCACCAGAAGAACGACACUUCUCCCGCGGUUCCAUUUCUGCACUUAGCCGGGGCUGAUCUGGCCGUUGAUGACGCGGGCGACGAGCUUGGCGGCGGCCAAGGUUCGGGCGUCAUCGAGGUCAUCGAUACAGAGGGAGUUGUGCACGGGACUUAGCUCCUACGGCAUCUAAGCGACGGCCUGAAGCUGCUGGUGCCCUCAAAAGGACGAGCUGAUCACAGGAGGGUUACCGGCGACGAGCUGCAGCGGCGGAUCUUGUCGGGCUCCGGUGGAACUAGGCCUAGAGGAGGGGAUCGACGGGGAGAUCUUAGGGGAAAGACGCGCAAGCUCACGAGGAGUGCAGUGGUGGCGCUAGUUUGCUCGGGGAUGGCCUGGAGAGGGAGAACGCCGGCGACGAUCUUCGGUGACCCGAGGAAGAAGACGACUGCUUCUCGUCGAUUCACUGCAUCUGGGCGUCGGGCUCGUGGCUAGGGAGCGUCAGGGAGUUGCGGCGGAGCUAAUGCGCGGCUCAGAAGGAAGGAGGGGAGGCUAGAACGACGCCGAGCUCGAGCUUUGCUCGGGCUCCAAUGGUGGCAGAAGGAAACGGGGCAGAGGGGGAGAAUGGGCACGGGGAUGGAUAGGGACGGGCUCGGGGAGCUUAUCCCCGUGCUUGCCAGCGCGAAGCGGCGGCCAGGCAGCCCGGGAGCUGCGUGGAGGCGCGCGGCGAUGCGGCGGCCACCUCCUGCUCCUACUGACGAGGAGGAAGACGACAGGGGCAGCUGGGCUGGGCCGGUGAGCGACAGGUAAGGGUUUUCCAUUUUUUUCUGAUUUGUUUCUGUUUUGACUAUUUCAAUAACUUGCUAUUUAUUUCAUCUCCUAAAUAAAUUGUAAAAACUAUGUUAAGCACCCUAGCAUAUUUGUUGGAAUAUUUCCAACCAUUCCUAAAGUUUUCAACAUUUUUGAAAGUUUAAAGUUUCUGAUUUCAAAUUUAAAACUUGAAAAGAGUAGCUUUUUGCAUUUAUUUAAAAUGCUUAAAGUGUCAAGAAAAUGGUUUUCUUCAUUGCUCAUUUACUUUCAUGAUUUAUCAAAAAGUUUGAACUUUUCUCGAGGCCAUUUUGGGUUCAUUGAUUUUGACUAGUUUGAAUUUUCCCUCACUUUAAGAAGUGGCUAGGGUUUUAGCAUUUUCCUUCAUCAUUUGCUUUGUUCUUGUUGAGAAAUUCCUAGAUGCAAUGCAAAGAAAACAUGAGCACAAGCUAACUUGCUUACGGGGUCAGGGAUGUGACAUUCAUUCUCUCCUAAGAUUGUGCAACAUGUUCAUGAUCAAGUUGCUCAAAAUUCAUGAUAUCAUUACGAAGAGAGAUAAUCUUAGCUGGCGAAAAAUACUUGGAUAUAUAAGCAUAUUUUCACUUGUUCCAAGAAUCAAUACUAUUGUUGGGCAAAGAUGAAAACCAAGUUUUUGCUCGUUCUCGCAAUGAGAACGGAAAUAGCUUCAAUUUAAUCACAUCAUUAUCCACAUCUUUCUUCUUUUGCAUAUCGCAUAACUCAAUGAAGGUAUUAAGAUGGGAUGCGGCAUCUUCACUAGGAAGGCCGGAGAAUUCCUCUUUCAUAACAAGAUUCAGCAAAGCAGCAUUGAUUUCAUAUGAUUCCGCACUAGUGGCUGGAGCAAUCGGAGUACUAAUAAAAUAAUUGUUAUUAGUAUUCGAGAAGUCACAAAGUUUGGUGUUUUCAGUCAUGGUGACUUCACCAAGCAGACAAGCACACAAGCGAACAGAAAGAAAGCGAAAGAAAAGGGCGAACGAAAAAGGCAAAUAUUUUUGUAAAUUUUUGUUUUUCAGAAGUGGGGGAGAGGAAAACAAGAGGCAAAAAAGUAAAUGCAAGAGAUGAGUUUGCGACACUUACUUGGAUAAGCUUCACUUGAUGCUCCCCGACAACGGCGCCAGUAAUUGGCACGUUGACGGGAGACUAUUCUUGACUUGAUCCUCCUCCCCGGCAACGGCGCAAAAAAUUAUUCUUGCUACCUCUUGAGCUUGUGUUGGUUUUUUCCCUUGAAGAGGAAAGGGUGAUGUAGCACAGUAGCAGUAAGUAUUUCCCUCAGUUUUGAGAACCAAGGUAUCAAUCCAGUAGGAGUAUCAAGAUGAAGCACCGAUGUACCUGCACAAAAACAGCAAACGUGCACCCAACGCUACAAAGGAGUUGUCAAUCCCUUCACGAUUGAUUGCAAGGUGAGAUGUGGAGGCGGAAAGUGCAACAAAGAUCAUACAUAUAGGCAUCACGUCCGAGACAAGUAGACCGAUACUUUCUGCAUCUACUACUAUUACUCCACACAUCAACCGCUAUCCAGCAUGCAUAUAGUGUAUUGAGUUCAUGACGAACAGAGUAACGCCUUAAGCAAGAUGACAUGAUGUAGAGGGAUAAAUUCAUGCAAUAGAUAUAAACCCCAUCUUUUUACCCUUGAUGGCAACAACACAAUGCGUUCCUCGCUACCCCUUCUGUCACUGGGCGAGGUCACCGCACGGUAUGGACCCAAAACCAAGCACUUUUCCCAUUGCAAGAAUCAUAUAGAUCAAGUUGGCCAAACAAAACCCACAACUCGAAGAGAAUUACAAGGAUAUGAAAUCAUGCAUAUAAGAGAUCAGAAGAAACUCAAAUAAGAUUCAUAGAUAAUCUGAUCAUAAAUCCACAAUUCAUCGGAUCUCGACAAACACACCGCAAAAGAAGAUUACAUCGGAUAGAUCUCCAUGAAGAUCAUGGAAAACUUUGUAUUGAAGAUCCAAGAGAGAGAAGAAGCCAUCUAGCUACUAGCUAUGGACCCGAAGGUCUAUGGUGAACUACUCACACAUCAUCGGAGAGGCAAUGGUGUUGAUGAAGAAGCCCUCCAUAUCUGAAUCCCCCAUCCGGCAGGGCACCAGAACGUGCCCCAGAUGGGAUCUUGUGGAGACAGAAUCUUGCGGCGGCGAAAAAGUAUUUUCGUGGAUCUCUCUCAUGGUUUUGGAUUUUUCGGGGAUUUAUAGGUGGAAGAAGUAGGGCAGACGAGCCAGAGGGGGCCCACAAGCCUGCUAGGCGUGGGGCCAGCCUGGCCGCGCCUAGGGGGCUUGUGGCCUCCCCUGGUGGCCUCUGCCUUGGUUCUCACGCUCCCUCCGUAUCUUCUGUUCCGGAAAAAAUCUUUUUGCAGGUUUUGGUCCGUUUGGACUCCAUUUAAUAUUCUCCUCUGAAAAGGGUCAAAAACACGGAAAAAACAGGUUCUGGCACUUGGCACUUAGUUAAUAAGUUAGUCCAAAAACAGAUAUAAAAGUCAUACAAAACAUCCAAAGUUUGACAAGAUAAUAGCAUGGAACCAUCAAAAAUUAUAGAUACGUUGUAUCCCAACAAAGAUAUCCACUUUGUUUGUUGUAUUGCCCACAAGUGCUCCUGCUUCCCGUUGUGGGAUAUCUUCCCUCUUGCAGACCACUGCAACUCCCGAGUCCGCUGCAUAUCGCUUUCCUAGGACAUUGGUGUCCAUUGCCACGAUCAACUGUGAUCUGGUUACAUCCAGGGCCAAAAUUUCAGCAUUCUCUGUCAUAAUGGAUUCCUCACCCGCGAGCUUAGUUUCUUGUGUGUUCAUAUUGUUUCCCAGGUCAUUUGCAGCUUGCUUGUUAUGUGCACUAUUAUAUCCCCAAUUUGCGAACUCAUACAAACCGUGUCCUCGUCCUCUUCCAAACGCUCCAGCCCCAUUAUCCUCCUCAUCGCCAUCCCCUCUACCAUUGGAGGGACCAAAGGGACGGCCAUCUCUCCCUCAACCACCAUUACUUCGGCCUCCAUGACCACCUCCUCUACUCCUUCUCGGGGCAAGAAUGAAAUUUCCCCAUUCAAAUUUGCUAGUGUCGUUCUCACCCGUGCCGCACUCCUCAUACCAAUGCCCCAUCAGGCCACAAGCAUGGCAGAAAGUGGGAAGUUUCUCAAACUUCACCAAAUACUUCUCAGUUUCUCCCCCCUUUGUGAUACAAACCACCCGGGUGAGUUUUUUAUUCACAUCUAGUUUAACUCUAACUCGGAUGAAUUCACCUACAAAGCCAUUAGGGAGGGUAACUUGGACCUCCUGAACCUCACCAACCCGUUGAGCUAGGAUUCCCAAUGCCUUUUCACUUUUUAGCACACCAUCAGGUAAUUUAUGAAUUUGACACCAUUUCUCAAGCUUAUCUAGCUUGACUUUCUCUGGGUUGGUAAACCCAUCAUACUCAGCCAAGAUCACAGCAUGACCUUUGAAGUCCCACGGGCCCUGGUGUAUAGCCUUAUUCCAAUCUCCAAGACAGUUAAACUGGACAGAGAAUAAGUUUGCAUCAAUCCUUCUCCAAAUCACCUUGAGGGCUAGAUUCCAUGCGGCCCUCAUAUCUGCAGUUAGGGCACUAUGGCUGUUGAUACAUCUCCAACGUAUCUAUAAUUUUUGUUGGUUUCAUGCUAUUAUCUUGUCAAACUUUGGAUGUUUUGCAUGCCUUUUAUAUAUUUUUUGGGACUAACUUAUUAACUCAGUGCCAAGUGCCAGUUCCUGUUUUUUCCAUGUUUUUUACCCCUUUCAGAGGAAUUUUGAAACAGAGUCCAAACGGAACAAAAUCCCCAAAAAGAUUUUUUCUGUAAGGGAAGAAUAUCGGGAAGCUUGAGAGCCAAGGCAGGGGAGCCUCAGGGGCCCCACAAGCCCCCACCACGCGGCCVGGGGGAGGCCACGACCCACACGCUUGUGGGCCCCCUGGGUGCCCUCUGCCCUAAGCGUUGCCCCUAUAUAUUCCCUAAAAAUCCCAAAAAAGUCAGGAGAUCAUCGAAAGUACUUUUCCGCCGCUGCAAGCUUCUGUCUCCGCAAGAUCCCAUCUGGGGCACGUUCUGGUGCCCUGAUGGAGGGGGGAUUCGGACACGGAGGGCUUCUUCAUCAACACCAUGACCUCCCCGAUGAUGCGUGAGUAGUUCACCAUAGACCUACGGGUCCAUAGCUAGUAACUAGAUGGCUUCUUCUCUCUCUUGGAUCUUCAAUACAAAGUUCUCCAUGAUCUUCAUGGAGAUCUAUCGGAUGUAAUCUUCUUUUGCAGUGUGUUUGUUGAGAUCCGAUGAAUUGUGGAUUUAUGAUCAUAUUAUCUAUGAAUCUUAUUUGAGUUUCUUCUGAUCUCUCUUAUGCAUGAUUACAUAUCCUUGUAAUUCUCUUCGAGUUGUGGGUUAUGUUUGGCCAACUAGAUCUAUGAUUCUUGCAAUGGGAGAAGUGCUUGGUUUUGGGUUCAUACCGUGCUGUGACCUCACCCAGUAACAGAAGGGGUAGCGAGGCACACAUCGUGUUGUUGCCAUCAAGGGUAAAAAGAUGGGGUUUUUAUCAUUGGUUUGAGAUUAUCCCUCUACAUCAUGUCAUCUUGCUUAAAGCGUUAGUGUGUUCGUCAUGAACUCAAUACACCAGAUGCAUGCUGGAUAGCGGUCGAUGUGUGGAGUAAUACUAGUAGAUGCAGAAAGUAUCGGUCUACUUGUCUCGGACGUGAUGCCUAUAUGUACGAUCAUUGCCUUAGAUAUCGUCAUGAGUUUGCGCGGUUCUAUCAAUUGCUCGAUAGUAAUUUGUUCACCCACCGUGAUAUUUUCUAUUUUGAGAGAAGCCUCUACUGAACACUAUGGCCCCGAGGUCUACUCCACACCAUAUUUUCAGCCUUACUUUGCAAACAAUCUUGAAGGGAUUGACAACCCCUUUGAAGCGUUGGGUGCAAGCUUGUUUGUGUUUGCGCACGUACUCUGGACUUGAUGAGACCCUCCUUUUGGAUCGAUACCUUGGUUCUCAAACUGAGGGAAAUACUUAAUGCUCCUGUGCUGCAUCACCCUUUCCUCUUCAAGGGAAAAACCGACGCGAACAAGAGAAGUAGCAAGAAGAAUUCCUAGCGCCAAGGAAGGACUUUUGUUACCGUAGCACAUACCAACUCGCUUCAGAGAGGUGCUCGCACAUGGCAAGACCAUGCUCGAUGCCGUGUACACGAACGAGAGCAGGGAGGUGCCACAUUUUCUUAGACAGUUGAAGGGACGGUGGCUUGAUGCCGCGGUGGAUUAUGAGAAGUUAUUGGGGCUUGAUCUGGAGUACACGACCGAUCAACGAGGUGUUGUCGUCAUCCAACUAUGUUUGAAAUGAUGGGGAACGUCGCAUAGGAAACAAAAAAUUUCCUACGCGCACGAAGACCUAUCAUGAUGGUGUCCAUCUACGAGAGGAGAUUUGGAUCUACGUACCCUUGUAGAUCGCAAAACAGGAAGUGUUAAGAAACGCGGUUGAUGUAGUGGAAUGUCCUCACGUCCCUCGAUCCGCCCCACGAACCGUCCCACGAACCGUCCCGCGAUCCGUCCCACGAUCCGCUCCGAUCUAGUGCCGAACGGACGGCACCUCCGCGUUUAGCACACGUACAGAUCGACGAUGAUCUCGGCCUUCUUGAUCAAGCCAGCAAGAUGGAGAAGUAGAUGAGUUCUUCGGCAGUGUGAAGGUUCUCCGGUGGUGAUGAUGGAUCUACUCCUGCAGGGCUCCGCCCGAGCUCCGUAGAAAUACGAUCUAGAGGAAAAACCGUGGUGUUUGUGGUCGGGGUGCCGUGGCAAAAGUUGUCUCAAAUUAGCCCUACAACUCCACUAUAUAUAGUAGGAGGAGAGGGGAGGCUUUCCUUGGGGUUCAAGACCCCAAGGGUCCGCCGUCCAAGGAGGUGCAGGAGUCCACCUCCAAUCCUAGUCCAACUAGGAUUGGAAGGUGGAGUCCUUCCCUUCCUUCCCACAUUUUUUCCUUUUUCUGUUUGAUUUUCUAUCUCCUACGCAUAGGGCCCCUUUGGGCUGUCCCACCAGCCCACCAAGGGCUGGUGCGGCACCCCUAAGGCCUAUAGGCUUCCCCGGGUGGGCUGGCCCCUCCCGGUGAACAUCCGAAACCCAUUCGUCACUCCCGGUACAUUCCCGGUAAUGCCCGAGAACUUUUCGGUAACCAAAUGAGGUCAUCCUAUAUAUCGGUUUUCGUCUCCGGACCAUUCCGGAAACCCUCGUGACGUCCGUGAUCUCAUCCGGGACAUCGAACAACAUUCGGUAACCACUCAUAUAACUCAACUAUACUAAAACAUCGCCGAACCUUAAGUGUGCAGACCCUGCGGGUUCGAGAACUAUGCAGACAUGCCCCGAGGUACCCCUCGGUCAAUAUCCAAUAGCGGGACCUGGAUUCCCAUAUUGGAUCCUACAUAUUCUCCUAAUAACUUAUCGGUUGAACCUCAGUGUCAAGGAUUCAGGCAAUCCCGUAUGUCAUUCCCUUUGUCCUUCGUAUGUUACUUGCUCGAGAUUCGAUCGUCGGUAUCCGCAUACCUAUUUCAAUCUUGUUACUGGCAAGUCUCUUUUCUCGUUCCGUAAUACAAGAUCCCGUGACUUACACUAAGUCACAUUGCUUGCAAGGCUUGUGUGUGAUGUUGUAUUACCGAGUGGGCCCCGAGAUACCUCUCCGUCACACGGAGUGACAAAUCCCACUCUUGAUCCAUACUAACCCAACGGACACCUUCGGAGAUACCUAUAGAGCACCUUUAUAGUCACCCAGUUACGUUGUGACGUUUGAUACACGAAUGCAUUCCUCUGGUGCCAGUGAGUUAUAUGAUCUCAUGGUCAUAGGAACAAAUACUUGACACACAGAAAACUAUAGCAAUAAAACGACACGAUCAAUAUGCUACGUUCAUAGUUUGGGUGUUGUCCAUCACAUGAUUCUCCUAAUGAUGUGAUCCCGUUAUCAAGGGACAACAAUUGCCUAUGGUCAGGAAACCUUGACCAUCAUUGAUCAACGAACUAGUCAACUAAAGGCUCACUAGGGACAGUGCGUUGUCUAUGUAUCCACACAUGUAUUUGAGUUUCCAAUCAAUACAAUUCUAGCAUCGAUAAUAAACGAUUAUUAUGAGCAAGGAAAUAUAAUAAUAACUAAUUUAUUAUUGCCCCUAGGGCAUAUUUCCAACAGUCUCCCACUUGCACUAGAGUCAAUAAUCUAGUUCACAUAACCGUGUGAUUUCAACGAAUCCAACACCCAUAUAGUUCUCGGGUUUGAUCUCGUCUUGCUCGCGAGAUAGGUUUUAGUCAACUGUUCUGAAACUUUUAGAUCCGUGUGUUCUUUACAAAUCUUUAUGUCAUCUUAUAGAUGCUGCUACUACGUGCUAUUCGGAAAUACUCCAAAUAUCUACUCUACUAUACAAAUCCGUUUUACUACUCAUAGUUAUUCGGAUUAGUGUUAAAGCUUGCAUCAACGUAACCCUUUACGACGAACUCCUUAACCUCCUCCAUAAUCGAGAAAAAUUCCUUAGUUCAUUAGUUACUAAGGAUAACUUUGACCGUUGUUUAGUGAUUCAAUCCUGGAUCACUCUGUGUACUUCUUAACAGGCUUGUGGCAAGGCACACAGUCAGGUGCGGUACACAGCAUGGAAUACUGUAGAGUCUAUGGCUAAGGCAUAGGGGACAACCUUCGUCCUUUCUCUUUCUUCUGCCGUGGUCGGGUUUUUGAGUCUUACUCAUAUUCACACCUUACAAUACAACCAAGAACUCCUUCUUUGCCGAUCUAUUUUGAACUCCUUCAAAAACUUGUCAAGGCAUGCAUUUCAUUUGAAAGUUCUAUUAAGUGUUUUGAUCUAUCUCUAUAGAUCUUGAUGCUCAAUGUUCAAAUAGCUCUAUCCAGGUCUUCCUUUGAAAAGCUCCUUUCAAAAAACCUUUAUGCUUUACAGAAAUUCUACAUUAUUCCGGAUCAACAAUAUGUCAACCACAUAUACUUUAUCAGAAAAGUAUAGUGCUCCCACUCACUUCUUUGGAAAUACAAGUUUCUCAUAAACCUCCUACAAACCCAAAAGCUUUGAUCAUCUCAUCAAAGCAUAUAUUCCAACUCCGAGAUGCUUGCACCAGUCCAUAAAAGGAUCACUGGAGCUUGCAUACUUGUUAGUAUCCUUAGGAUCGACAAAACCUUCUGAUUGUAUCACAUACAAUCUUUCCUCAAGGAAACCGUCGAGGAAACAAUGUUUUGUCUUCCUAUGUGCAACAUUUCACAAGUAAUGCAACAACUAUUAACAUAAUUCCAACAUACUUUUAGCAUCUCUACGAGUGAGAAAGUCACAUCAUAGUGAACUCUUUGAUCUUGUUGAAAACACCUUUGCGACAAGUCGAGCUUUUCUUAAUAGUGACUUAUCACCAUCAUCAUCUCUCUUCCUUUUAAAGAUCCAUCUUUACUUAAUAGUCUUACUACCAUCAAGUAGUUCUUCCAAAGUCUACACUUUGUUUUAUACAUGGACCCUCUCUCGGAUUUCAUGGCCUCCAGCCUUUUCUCGGAAUCCAGGCCCACCAUUGCUUCUCCAGAACUCGUAGGUUCAUUGUUGCUCAACAACAUGACCUCCAAGACAGGGUUACUGUACCACUCUGUAGUAGUACGCGACCUUUGUCGACCUACGAGGUUUGUAGUAACUUGACCUGAAGCUGUAAUGAUCACUAUCAUCAGCUUCCACUUCAAUUGGUGUAGGCGCCACAGGAACAACUUCCUGCGCCCUGCUACACACUGGUUGAAGUGACGGUUCAAUAACCUCAUCAAGUUCCACCACUCACCCACUCAAUUCUUUCGAGAGAAACCUUUCCUCGAGAAAGGAUCCGUUUCUAGUAACAAACACUUUGCUUCCGGAUCUGAGAUAGGAGAUGUAUCCAACUGUUUUGGAUAUCCUAUGAAGAUGCAUUUAUCCGCUUUGGGUUCGAGCUUAUCAGACUAUAACCUUUUCACAUAAGCAUCGCAGCCCCAAAGUUUCAAGAAACGACAACUUAGGUUUCUCUAAACCAUAGUCUAUACUAUGUCAUCUCAACGGAAAUAUGCGGUGCCCUAUUUAAAGUGAAUGUGGUUGUCUCUAAUGCAUGACCCAUAAACGAUAGUGGUAAUUUGAUAAGAGACAUCAUAGUAUGCACAUAUCAAAAUAGGGCGUAGGUAUGACGUUCGGACACAGCAUCACACUAUGGUGUUCAAGGUGGCAUGAAUCGCGAAACAAUUUCCACAUUGCCUUUAACUGUGUACCAAAACUCGCAACUCAGAUAUUCAUAUCUAUGAUCAUAUCGUAGACAGUUUAUCCUCUUGUCACGACGAUCUUCACUCUGAAAUACCUUUGAACUUUUCAAUAUUUUAGACUUGUGAUUCAUCAAGUAAAUACUCUUGUAUCUACUCAAAUCGUCAGUGAAGUAAGAACAUAACGAUAUCCACUGUGUGCCUCAGCACUUUAUUGGACUGCACACAUCAAAAAUGUAUUGCUCCCAACAAUUUACUCUCUCGUUUAAUGUGGCAUGAUUUGCAUGUCUCAAGUGAUUCAAAAUCAGGUGAAUCCAAACGUUCCAUCUGCAUGGAGUUUCUUCAUGCGUUUUAUACCAACAGGUGUGUUUUGCAUGUCUCAAACGUUUCAAAAAUGGGUGAGUACAAUGAUCCAUCAGCAUGGAGCUUCUUCAUGCAUUUUACACCAACAUGACUCAAGUGGCAGUGCCACAACUAAGUGGUACUAUCAUUAUUACUUUGUAUCCUUCGGCACCAAUAUUAUGAACAUGUGUAACACUACGAUCGAGAUUCAAUAAACCAUUGAGGGUAAUUAUUCAAGAAAAUAGAAUAACUAUUAUUCCCUUUAAAUGAAUAAUCGUAUUGCAAUAAACACGAUCCAAUCAUGUUCAUGCUCAACGCAAACACCAAACAACAAUUAUUUAGGUUUUACCACCAAUCCCGAUGAUAGAGGGAGCGUGCGAUGUUUGAUCACAUCAACCUUAGAAAGACUUCCAACACAUAUCGUCACCUUGCCUUUAGCUAGUCUCCGUUUAUACCAUAGCUUUCAUUUCGAGUUACUAAUCACUUAGCAACCGAACCGGUAUCCAAUACCCUCGUGCUACUAGGAGUACCAGUAAAGCACACAUCAAUAUCAUGUAUAUCAAAUAUACUAGUGUCGACUUUCCCAGCCUUGUUAUCUACCAAGUAUCUAGGGUAGUUCUGCCUCAAUGACUAUUCCCCUCAUAACAGAAGCACUUAGUCUUGGGUUUGGGUUCAAUUUUGGGUUUCUUCAUUAGAGCAGCAACUGGUUUGCCGUUUCAUGAAGUAUCCCUUCUAGCCCUUGCCCUUCUCGAAACUAGUGGUUUUACUAACCAUCAACAAUUGAUGCUCCUUCUUGAUUUCUACUUUCGCAGUGUCAAACAUUGCGAAUCACCCAAGGAUCAUCAUAUAUAUCCUUGAUUUGUUUAUAGUUCAUCACGAAGCUCUAGCAGCUUAGUGGCAGUGACUUUGGAGAACCAUCGAUAUCUCAUUUGGAAGAUUAACUCCCACUUGAUUCAAGCGAUUGUUGUACUCAAACAAUCUGAGAACAUGCUCAACAAUUUGAGCUUUUCUCCUUUACUUUGUAGGCAAAGAAUCUUGUCGGAGGUCUUAUACCUCUCAACAAGGGCACGAGCAUGAAAUCUCAAUUUCGUCUCUUUGAACAUCUCUUAUGUUCUGCGACGUUUUCAAAACGUCUUUGGCGCCUUGCUUCUAGGCCAUUAAGUAUUGCACACUGAACUAUCAUGUAGUCAUCAAAGACGUGUAUGUCAGAUGUUCGCAACAUCCACAGACGACGCCGGAGGUGCAGCACACCGAGUUGUGCAUUAAGGACACUGGUCGCCAACCCGUGCAUCGCACAGGCUAGUUAUAUAAUAGUAUCUUAUAUUCUAGAGUACAUUACACACAUAUAGAAUGAUCCUAAAAAAUAAUAUUGACAAUAUUGUGAAGGCCCGUGUCUUGAGAAUCGAUUUGUUGUGUUAAUGAAAUUCAUUAAUGCAAUCAUUUUAAAGAUAAAUAGACCAUCACAAACACAAUAACCCAGCUUAGUUUUUUUACUAAAACUAAAAACCCUAUAGGCUUAUCACUUGCCAGAUGACAUCCAUAAAGAAUUUCUACAUUCGUUUUGCAGAGGCACCAAGAAUCACCAAUCAGGAUCCUACACAAAUUGUAGGGUAACCAUUACAGAUAUACUAAAUUUUAGCACGAUUUUAGAACCAUCAAAUCAUUGAAAACCCCUCCUUUAUCAAGCAGCUCCAUCCUAUGUAUCACUCCUACAAUAGAAUAGGUCCAACUAUGUUGCACCUCUAUCUUCUGUCCAAACUUAUAUAUGGUUGAAGAUCUAUGAUCUAUCCAAACCUAUAUAGGUUGUUCAGUGAUGGUCUAAGUCUCCAUGAAACUAAAUGAAGUUAUUAACAACAAAAACAAAUGAAGUUCUCAAUCAUUCCUACGUCUCAGAUUUUGUAUAUUAGACUCCAUAUAUUAUGUGUUAUUCCUUCCUAGCUAUACUUAUACACAAACACACACUUACCCAUAGAGCACUGGAAGUUAGAAAAAUACAUUCAAACAAAUUUACGUACAACACAACCUAACAAAAUACAUGUAGAAUUGACUUUUCUAUCAUGGAAAAAUUAGGCUUCAACACAAAAAUAUGUUUCUAUUUUUAUCAUGUCAUCUUAAGAAAGAAUUAAAUAGCGAUUAAGAGAAAGCCAUAAUGCGGUCAUAGUACAACAUGCACAUAAAUAUGACCUGAAUAACGGGCGCUAAAAUAUCAUGUGACCUUCACGUGACAACCAUUAUGUUAAUAUUCAAACGAACAUUAUUUAGAAUCAAUAGCCACCUAUCAUCUUAGCCUCGUAAUAUUAGUUGCAUUCAAUGACUCCUGGCUUACAACAAACUAAACACUCCAAUUGAAAUGAGAUGUAGGUUCCCAUGAUAAUAAAGAUAGCAAUUAUUCUAACAUAAGAUAAGGACCAUAACUUGAGCAAUUAUGAUUUUAAAAAAAUGACAUCCCAAGCCAAGUAUAUACAUUGUGCUUAUACAAUCUAGAACUGUUGUGAUGUGUGUUUCAAUUGUUUAGCUGUGAUACUGUUGUCUUGCUUGUAGCUCUUAUUAGAUCGCGUGCGUGCGUGCGUGUGUGCGUGUGUGUGUGUGACUAUAAUUGUUGUGAGACACUGUGAUACAUGUGCACAUUAUUAGAAUAAGUUGGAAAAGGAGUGUAAAUUAAAUUAUGGAUGAUUUAAGCACAGAACAUGAGACCCCGAUCAAUGUGACGUACCGAAAAAGUAAAAUAUUAUACUAAUACAGAAAAAUGAAUUACUUGUUCUCCAUGGAUGGUUAUCCUGGCUGAUCUUUCCAUCCAUCUGAUGCCUCCACAAUAUCCGUUGAGCCUGCACAUUCCUUGGUAACAAUGUUUCAAUUAGAUGAUAAAUCUUUACAUUAUUGGGCUAAGUCAUAAUGAAAAUGGCAGGUGGGUUGACCGUUAGUAACCAACUAUGUCAUAUGUCAAUAUUUUAACCAUCAACUAACCAAAAACAAAUUCUCUAGUUCUUAUGAACAGAAAAGAAAUUAAGAGAUAGGCAUAUACGUAUGAAAGAAUCAACCAUAAAUACCUUUGUAAGCACAUAAUUUGUAGAGCAGAAUUAUUACAUUUACGCUGAACCCAAACCACCAGCACCACCCUUCAACAUUCUAGUAUAGACAUACAACGAAGGAAGCUUAUUAAAUUCAAUUAAUAACAUGUAUCAUAUAUAUAAAGGAUCGUAUUACAUAAUCACAGUGUCUUAUGAGUUAAUUAUAAGAAACCCGUAAUUCUUGAAGCAUAAUAGAAGAACAAUAUAUUUGAGGCUUUCAACUGUAGUUAUCUUCCCCUUUUUCCAUGUGCAGAUGACACGAAAAAUUCAGCAAUUGCUACCUGAAAAAGAAGAAUACAAAAUUAGAAUGGACUAAUGUUAUUUAUGUAAUAAGGAAGGGUUAUGCACUAAAUUAACUAUUGAUUCUUCCUGUCAAACUUAAAGUAUCCGAAACUCAUGUAUGAACGUGUGACGUAGUUGGCGGAGUUUAAUAUUGGAGUUAACAAAACGCCGUGCACAAAACAAAACAAAAAUAGAUCAAGUGCAUGUACGGUCAUGAUAUUUUUUUACGAUUGAGCACUAAAUUAACUAUCGAUUUUUGAAUUGAAUUAAAAUACCCAAAACUCAUGAGAUGAACGUUUGACGUAGUUGUAUGAACUUAAUAUUACAAUGAACUGCCUUUUUUUCUAGCUGAACAAAAGAUCUUGCACAAUUUUGUUAUAUAUCAAGUAGACGUAUGGUCAUGAAAACAUUAGCGUGCAAUUUCAUUUAUAUUAGGCCAACCUAUUCCUCUACCAUGUGGAAUAUAAGAAAAGAUUUAACAUUGCAUUGUAAGUUCUAUUACCUAGCUUCGUCAUGUAAUCUCACUGCAUAAUUCCCUUAUUAUUUCGAAAAAAUAAUCAAGUGUUAGUGAAAAUUAUAAUAUGUUGCUUGCGACCACACACAUCAAUGCAUAAACCAGCCUUCAGUACAUAUUAGUUCCCUCCUCCUUUUAUGAUGGCGAAAUCAAGCAGCCCCCCAAAGCAACAAAAUUAUGUACCAUAAAAACCAUAUGGUAAAUAUCAAUAUAUUGAAAUAUAUUUUAACAGAACCAAGUUGUUUAUCUAGUUAUUCAUGUGGUAGACCAUAUGCAGGUAGUUCUUUUGUCUGGUAUUGUACACAUCUGUCAUAUAUAUGCAGUUAGCAAUUUUUCCGUGACAAUGAGGGCAAUACAAAGGAAAAAAGUGCAAGAAAGUGCUUACUCAGGAUUUGUUCAGCUGCUUGCAGUUCACCGCGUACACAUCCGAGGCCGAGGUCAGAGUCUCGUCCCUUGUGGCACCUCUGGCCGUCGCCGGCAUGCAACCAGGUAUCUCAGUCAUCCCACAUGGCACUGGUGCCCCACACAAAAGCAUCGGCCGGCCCAACUGACAAAGCAAACUAGCACUGGUUAUCGUAUGUUCGUAUGUUUAUCUCUAAUUAAAAAGCAAGUUACCAUUCGAAUGGAAUCGAUUCAGAAUCAGCUCGUAUAUUUAUGUGCCCCGGAGGAUUAAGCCUAAUGAGAACAUGCACCUGAGCCGGCGCCAUGCAGCCACGUGGGAAGUUCUUUGUCUGAGGCCAUCCAAUAUGAUGCACGCAUCGUGCACCCACGCUCGCUCGCGGUACGAAAGUCCCGCAGUGAGGUCGGCCCGGCUGGACGUCCGCCUCAAAGGCCGCUCCGUAGACUUGGAGAAAGGGAUGAAAAAUAGCGGAUCUAGGGUUUCUCGAGGAUGCUUAGAUGCAUAAGUCAAACGAAUCUUAAUUUUUAAUUAACCUGGUAAUUCUAGAUUUAGACCCUACAUUACACGGGUGAUCUCCACCGUAAUAAUUUGGUCCCAUCAAAGAUCUAUGACUCUUAAUUUCUAAUUAACAUGGUAAUUACUUGGGAGUCUCUAAUUAGUAGAAGUAUAGAAGUAUAGAUAUAGAUAAGCCUUCUUCGCAGCAAUGAGGACAAUCCUCAGUUUUACAGACUCUGUCCGCAAAGUUGCUACUAUCAACUUUCAACUAAAUUUUUUCUAGGAACAUAUAAAAACAGUAGAGCUAUAGCGCAAGGUACAUCAUAAUUCGCAAAGACAUUUGGACUAUGUUCAUAAUAAUUAGUUUAAUUAAUCAUAUUACUUAAGAACUCCCACUCAAAAAGUACAUCUCUCUAGUCAUUUGAGGGGUACAUGAUCCAAAUCCACUAUCUCAAGUCCGAUCAUCACAUGAGUCGAGAAUAGUUUCAGUGCUAAGCAUCUCUAUGCUAAUCAUAUCAACCAUACGAUUCAUGCUCGACGUUUCGGUCUCUUGUGUUCCGAGGCCAUGUCUGCACAUGCUAGGCUCGUCAAGUUUAACCCGAGUGUUCCGCGUGUGCAACUGUUUUGCACCCGUUGUAUGUGAACGUUAAGUCUAUCACACCUGAUCAUCACGUGGUGUCUCGAAACGACGAACUGUAGCAACGGUGCACAAUCGGGGAGAACACAAUUUCGUCUUGAAGUUUUAGUGAGAGAUCACCUCAUAAUGUUACCAUCGUUCUAAGCAAAAUAAGGUGCAUAAAAGGAUUAACAUCACAUGCAAUUCGUAAGUGACAUGAUAUGGCUAUUGAUACGUUCAUUUUGCAUCAUGUUUUCAUGUUGAUAUUUAUCGCUUCUUGGGCUGUUAUUUCACUUCACGCUACAAUUCUUAUGCCUUUUCUCUCUUAUUUUGCAAGGUUUACAUGAAGAGGGAGAAUGUCGGCAACGGGAAUUCUGGCCUGAAAGUGGAGCAAGGUUGAGAUACCUAUUCUGCGCAACUCCAAACGCCGUGAAAAUCAACGAGGAUUUUUUCCGGAUUUAUAAAAAAUACUGGGCCGAAGAAGUGUCAGAGGGGCGCCAAGGGUUGGCCACAAGCCUGCACGGCGCGGCCACCCCCCAGGCCGCGCCAUGAGGGCUUGUGGGCAGCCUGCUGGCCCACUGGCCCCCCUCUUCUGCUAUAUGAAGGGUUUCGUCCAGGAAAAAAAUCAAAGAGGAGCUUUUUCGUGGAUUCGCCGCCGCCACGAGGUGGAACUUGAGAAGAACCAAUCUAGAGCUCCGGCAGGACGAUCCUGCCGGGGAAACUUCCCUCCUAGAGGGGGAAAUCGUCGCCAUCGUCAUCACCAACACUCCUCUCAUCGGAGGGGACUCGUCGCCAUCAAUAUCUUCAUCAGCACCAUCUCAUCUCCAAACCCUAGUUCAUCACUUGUAACCAAUCUCCGUCUCGCGACUUCGAUUGGUAUUUGUAAGGUUGCUAGUAGUAUUGAUUACUCUUUGUAGUUGAUGCUAGUUGGAUUAUUUGGUGGAAGAGUUUAUGUUCAGAUCCUUGAUGCUACUCAUUACCUCUCUGGUCAUGAAUAUGAUUUUGCUUUGUGAGUAGUUACUUUUGUUCCUGAGGACAUGGGAUAAGUCAUGCUAAUAGUAGUCAUGUGAAUUUGUUAUUCGUUCGGUAAUUUGAUAUGUUGUAUGUUGUUUUUCCGCUAGUGGUGUUAUGUGAAUGUCGACUACAUAACACUUCACCAUUAUUUGGGCCUAGAGGAAGGCAUUGGGAAGUAGUAAGUAGAUGAUGGGUUGCUAGAGUGACAGAAGCUUAAACCCUAGUUUAUGUGUUGCUUCGUAAGGGGCUGAUUUGGAUCCACUAGUUUAAUGCUAUGGCUAGACUUUGUCUUAAUUCUUCUUUCGUAGUUGUGGAUGCUUGCGAGAGGGGUUAAUCAUAAGUGGGAUGCUUGUCCAAGUAAGGGCAGUACCCAAGCGCUGGUCCACCCAGAUAUCAAACUAUCAAAGUAACGAACGCGAAUCAUAUGAACAUUAUGAAACUAGCAUGACAGAAAUUCCCGUGUGUCCUCAGGAGCAUUUUUCCUCCUAUAAGACUUUGUCCAGGCUUGUCCCUUUGUACAAAAGGGAUUGGGCCACUUUGCUGCACCGUUGUUACUUUUGUUACUUGUUGGUUGCUACGAAUCAUCUCACCACACAAUCACUUGUUACUGAUAAUUUCAGUGCUUGCAGAUAUUUCCUUGCUGAAAACCACUUGUCAGAUCCUUCUGCUCCUCGUUGGGUUCGCCACUCUUACUUAUCAAAAGGAAUACGAUUGAUCUCCUAUACUUGUGGGUCAUCAAGAAUCUUUUCUGGCGCCGUUGCCGGGGAGUGAAGCGCCUUUGGUAAGUGGAACUUGGUAAGGAAACAUUCAUAUAGUGUGCUGAAAUUUAUUGUCACUUGUCACUAUGGAUACUAAUCCUUUGAGGGGCUUGUUCGGGGUAUCUUCACCUCGAACGGAAGCACAAAGUUGCUCCUCAACCUGCUGCACCUACUGAAAAUAUUUGCUUUGAAUUUCCUUCGGGUAUGCUCGAGAAACUGCUGGCUAAUCCUUUUACAGGAGAUGGAACAUCACAUCUAGACUUGCAUAUAAUCUAUGUAGAUGAAGUUUGUGGUCUAUUUAAGCUUGCAGGUUUGCCCGAGGAUGAGGUCAAGAACCAAGAACAGGGUCUUUCCUUUAUCUUUGAAGGAUAAGGCGUUGACAUGGUAUAGGCUAUGUGAUGAUACUAGAUCAUGGGACUACAAUCUUUUGAAAUUGGAAUUUCAUCAAAAGUUUUAUCCUAUGCAUUUAGUACAUCGUGAUCGGAAUUAUAUUUAUAAUUUUUGGCCUCACAACAGAGAAAGCAUCGCUCAAGCUUGGGGGAGGCUUAAAUCAAUGUUAUAUUCAUGCCCCAAUCAUGAGCUCUCGAGAGAAAUUAUCAUUCAAAACUUCUAUGCUGAACUUUCUCAUGAUGAUCGCACCAUGCUUGACACUUCUUGUACCGGUUCUUUUAUGAAGAGGGAUAUUGACCUCAAAUGGAAUUUAUUGGAGAGAAUUAAACGCAACUCUGAAGAUUGGGAGCUUGAAGAAGGCGAGGAGUCAGGUAUGAAUUUCACGUUUGAUUGCGUUAAAUCCUUUGUUGAGACAAAUACUUUUUGUGACUUUAGCGCUAAGUAUGGAUUUGACUCUGAGAUAGUAGCUUCAUUGUGUGAAUCAUUUGCUCCUCAUAUUCAUCUCCCCAAAGAGAAGUGGUUUAAAUAUCAUCCUCCUUUAGAAGUCAAUGUAGUUAAACCCACUCCAGUUGAAGAGAAAGUCAAUGCCUAUAAUGAUCCUCUAGUUCCCAGUGCUUACAUUGAGAAACCACCUUUCCCUGUUAGGAUAAAGGAUCAUUCUAAAGCUUCAAAUGUGAUACGUAGAGGCUACAUUAGAACACCUACACCCCCUGAGAAAAUUAGAGUUGAACCUAGCAUUGCUAAUAUCAAAGAUCUUCUGUUCGGCGAUGUUGAGGGACAUAAUAUUCACUUAUGUGAAGAUGCUACUAGAAUUGCUAAACCUCACGUUAGAUACAAACAUAGGCAUGUUGUUGGCAUGCCUGUUGUUUCUGUUAAGAUAGGAGAUCAUUGUUAUCAUGAAUUAUGUGACGUGGGUGCUAGUGUUAGUGCAAUACCUCAAUCCUUAUACGAUGAAAUCAAAGAUGAGAAUGCACCUGUUGAGAUAAAGCCUAUUGAUGUUGAAAAGACCUCGAUGACGCCUAGAGGGGGGGUGAAUAGGCUAUUUAAAAACUUCUUCAGAUUUGGCCUCACCCUAAUGCGGAAAUAAACUAAGAGGGUACUUGUCAAGCACAAAUCCUAAAUGCACAAGGCACUGCAACGUGUAUCAACAACACGAUCUACCAAGAUGGACACAAUGCAGUUACUAACAAGCACAAGUAAGUUACACAAGCUUACUUGAGCUAUAUCACACGACAAGUAGGUAAAUAACACAAGAUACUAGAUCACACUAUAUCACACGAUAUAUCAAGGGUUGCAAGUAUGUACUUGUGGAUAUAGAGGGUAUGCUUGAAUGAUCAAUCUUGUACAAGAAAUGGCCAACACAAUAUAAUGAGCACAAGCAAUAUGCAAUGUAUGUAUGCUCAAAUAACACAAGUAAACCACAAGUAAGGAGUUAGGGUUAAGGAUAACCAAGGUCACUGAGACGAAGAUGUAUCCCGAUGUUCACUUCCUUGGAGGGAAGCUAGUCACCGUUAGAGAGGUGGAUGUUACCACAAAGGCACACCAACGCCACGAAGGCUCACCCUAUUCUCCCUUUGAGAUAACACCACGAAGGCGUUUCUCAACCACUAGUGGUAAGCCUUUGAGGUGGCUUCCAAACCCUCACAAACUUUUCCGGGGGAAAUCACACGAAUUGAUUCCUCUCCGAAGAACUCCUACCGCCUAGGAGUCUCCAACCUCCAAGAGUAACAAGAUCACGGGGAAUGCUCAAAACUUGCUCAAAUCACAAAUAGCUUGGGUUGAGAGAAGGACAGGGAGAAGAUCUAUCUUUUGAUUGGAACAACUCUCAAAGGGGCUCACAAAUGCUCUUGGGAUCUAAGAUUUGGAGUGAGCAAAUGUGUGUGAGGUGGAAAUGUGUUCUUAUGAGGAUAAGGCUGUGCCGGGCAACCCUCUCACGAAGUGGGAGGGGGGUAUUUAUAGUGUAGAGAGAAAAAAGAGCCGUUGGGGACACUUUUAAGUCACACAGGGUCCGGACGUCCGACAGUUGUCGGAAGUCCGGACGUCCGUGAGGGGUCGGACGUCCGAGACCUGUAGGCAUGACUGGAGCUCUUCUGAAUUCAUCAGCGUCCGGGCGUCCAACAGGGGUCAGUCGUCCGAGGCAUGUAGAUGUGCCUGAACAUAUUUGAAUUCAUCAACAUACGGACGUCUGGAGUGGCCCGGAAGUCCGUGAUAUACAACCCAAUUUCCACUGGUGGUGGCUUCCGGAUUUCUGACAGCUGUCGGACAUCCGGCGCUCGGACGUCCGGAGGGAGCCGGAUUUCCGAGAUAUAGAACUCAACUUCUACUGGUGGUAGGUUCCGGAUUUCCGACGGGUGUCGGGCGUCCGGCGCUCGGACGUCCUGAGGUAGCCGGAUUUCCGAGAUAUAGAGCUCAACAUCUACUGGAGCAGGCAUCCGGAUUUCCGGGAUUUGGCCGGACAUCCGGGCCUCGGACGUCCGGAGAGAGCCGGAAGUCCGAGUUAUAUGGCUCUGUUUUCUCUGGUAUAGGAUUCCGGAUUUCCGAACUAGUCGGUCGUCCCGUCCUCGGACGUCCGGAGGAAGCCGGAUGUCCGAUGCACUGGUUCUGUUUACAGAUAACAGCAAAGCAGUGGAGAUGUGGUCUGAGCAGAAAGUGAAGUUGUAGUUUGAGCAAGUUCAUCGCAAAACCUGUGAUCCCCUCUUAAUAGUGCGAGAUCCCUAAGGACUCAAGAAUCAUAAAAGAGUACUGAUGAUCCAUACUUGAGUGUAUACUUUUAUUCGCUGGUCAUCACUCCGCACCACUAACGUCAAAGGAACUCAUAUCUUUGAGUUAGCCCUUUCACCUGAGCUUGAUGUUGUUGUUCCUUCUUGGCUCAAGUUGAAAGCAGGACAUGAUGAAGUCUUCAAGUAGCUUUCUCAUACACAAUGUGGAAAGCCUAGCUUAUGUACUUAUCUUCAUUUGUCCACCAUGUGAACAUCCACAGGAAUCAAGCAUGUAGUGCUCAAGAAUGCUUAUCUUGAUCUUGUCCUCUCCACCAUGGGAACAUCCACAAGACUCAAGCAUGUAGUGCUCAGGAAUUCUUAUCUUGAUCUUGUCCUUGUUAGCACAUGAGAUUGUCCUUAUCAACACAUGAUCAUUGACAAUAGUUUCAAUGAUAUAUUCGUGCUGAUCCACUUGAACUUGCACACCACAAUCUUGAUGACGAUCACCACUUGACGUCAUCCUUCAUGGGUUGUAUGAGAUCUUCCUUUUGACGCAAGCCCAAUGAAAACACACCUAACCCCCACAUAGGAGUCUCACAAAUACCAUGGGUUANNNNNNNNNNNNNNNNNNNNNNNNNNNNNNNNNNNNNNNNNNNNNNNNNNNNNNNNNNNNNNNNNNNNNNNNNNNNNNNNNNNNNNNNNNNNNNNNNNNNGUAUUAGAAUCAACUAGUGUUUAAUAUGUUCCAUUGGAAUCAUAGUUGGUUCCCUUCAAAUAGUUGUAGUGAAACAAUUUUGAUUAGUUGAAGGGGAACACAAUCUGAUUGGAAUAGUGUUCCAUAAUCUGAAAAAUCGUAUUAGAAUCAACUAGUGUUUAAUAUGUUCCAUUGGAAUCAUAGUUGGUUCGCUUCAAAUAGUUGUAGUGAAACAAUUUUGAUUAGUUGAAGGGAACACAAUCUGAUUGGAAUAGUGUUCCAUAAUCUGAAAAAUCUGAUUGGUUCAAUAUGUUCCAUUGAAAACAUAGUUGUAGUGAUACAAUUUAUGCGGUGUUCUUUGAUCCAAGGUUAUGAAAAUUGAAUAUAGCUAGUGAUCUCUCUAGGUUCCAUUGGAUAGCAAUAUGACAUGUCAUGGUCAUGAAAAUUGCAUAUAGCUAGAGAUCUCUCUAGGUUCCAUUGGAUAGCUAUAGUGAUCUCUCUAGGUUCCAUUGCAUAUGUUCUAUUUGAAUCCUAAAGAUAAGUUUCUCUUUAGUUGUAGUGAAACAUUUUCCUUAUUGCAGCAGUAUGUAACAUUUGUUCCAUUUUAAUUUGUUUCUGUUGCAGGAGUGACAAACAUUGUCCAGAACUCAUGGAGUUCCUUCGCAGCGGCAUCACUUUUGCUUCCGUUGACAUAAGGAACGACAAGCUGAAGAUGAGGCACAACUUCGGUAUUGAGAUACCAACUGGUUGCCUCGUUGAUCUCCAAACGAUAUUCAGGCUUCGACAUGACAGGACUUCGAUGGCUCAUAUGGCAGUUGCCUUGAUCGACGAGUCAUAUGGUGUUAUGAAGACCAGUUUCCCAAAGUAUCAGCACAAACUUUGGGAGAAGGGCUCACUUGAUGAUAUCAACAUUGAGUAUGCAGCAAAAGAUGCAUACGUUUCAUACGAGUUGUACCGCAAGAUUCGAGUCGUCAACUAUGGCCAGCGUCACCUCGAGGAACGUGGACAUUCUGAUUUAGAUGAUUCAGACGAGUAGUGUUCUGAAUGUCGAACACUUGUAUAUAUAUCUAUGGUAGCUAUUAUUAUGUACUGUUUGGACUAGUAUCAUGUACUUCUUGGACCAAUUUAUAUAUGUCUAGUUUCUGUUUGUGCCAUUAUAGUUUCCAAAUUUGAAUGGUUUAGCCCUUUCUAACUUCAUUUGCUACUUUUGAAUGGUUUAGCCCUUUCUAACUUUAUGGUAUCAUGCAUUUCGACCACAUAUAUAUACAAAAAGUCUUCAGUUCAAAUAAGUUCAAAAAAUGAAAUCCCUUUUGUAACAGAUCUGUUUUUGAUUAAAACAAUCAUUUAAAAAUGAAAGACCAUUAGUCCCACGUGGCGUGCAGCGGUACCACGUGGUGUGCAGCGGAACCACGUGGCGUGCCGCGGAACCACUUUUGUUGUGGGGGUCGCUUCUCCUUCUUCUCCUUGUGCUAGAUAUUGGUUAUGCACUAGGGGAAGUAGAAGUAGCGACCAUCAUCGACGGUUGAAAAAUCAGGUGAGCUAGUGUCCAUCAUAUAUGAGAGAAGAAGAAUGACGUCUCUUAUUGUGGGGGUCACUUCUACUUCGAGAGAUAUUGUCCAUUUUGUGAUGUGCCUUUUGAAUGGUGCAUUCUGAACACACAAAAAGUAUGGAGUUCAAAUAAGUUCAAAAAAAUGAAAUUCCUUUGUAAGAGAUGAGUUCUCGUUCGAAACCCUGCUACUUCGAGAGAUAAUAGUUUGGAUAGUCAAAAUUAUUAAUUAUGAAAAUAAAAAUUAGUUUUGCAUUAUUUAUUCAAUUUGAAACACUUUUCAUUAUCAUAGUUUUGUCAAAUUCUCAAAUAUGCAAAAAGAAUUUUUAAUAAACAUAGUUUUUAAUUGAAAAUAACAAAAUAGAUAAUAGUUUGGAUAGUMAAAAUUAUUAAUUAUGAAAAUAGAAAAUAGUUUUGCAUUAUUUAUUCAAUUUCAAACACUUUUCAUUAUCAUAGUUUUGUCAAAUUCUCAAAUAUGCAAAAAGAAUUUUUAAUAAACAUAGUUUUUAAUUGAAAAUAACAAAAUAGAUAAUAGUUUGGAUAGUCAAAAUUAUUAAUUAUGAAAAUAGAAGAUAGUUUUGAAUUAUUUAUUCAAUUUGAAACACUUUUCAUUAUCAUAGUUUUGUCAAAUUCUCAAAUAUGCAAAAAGAAUUUUUAAUAAACAUAGUUUUUAAUUGAAAAUAACAAAAUAAGUUAAUAGUUUGGAUAGUCAAAAUAAUUAAUUUUGAAAAUAGAAAAAAAUUGAAACUAUAUGAGAAAUCAUGGACAAAAUUCAACCUGAAUUCGCCCUANNNNNNNNNNNNNNNNNNNNNNNNNNNNNNNNNNNNNNNNNNNNNNNNNNNNNNNNNNNNNNNNNNNNNNNNNNNNNNNNNNNNNNNNNNNNNNNNNNNNCAAUCUCCAAGACAGUUAAACUGGACAGAGAAUAAGUUUGCAUCAAUCCUUCUCCAAAUCACCUUGAGGGCUAGAUUCCAUGCGGCCCUCAUAUCUGCAGUUAGGGCACUAUGGCUGUUGAUACAUCUCCAACGUAUCUAUAAUUUUUGUUGGUUUCAUGCUAUUAUCUUGUCAAACUUUGGAUGUUUUGCAUGCCUUUUAUAUAUUUUUUGGGACUAACUUAUUAACUCAGUGCCAAGUGCCAGUUCCUGUUUUUUCCAUGUUUUUGACCCCUUUCAGAUGAGAUUUUGAAACGCAGUCCAAACGGAAUAAAAUCCCUGAAAAGAUUUUUUCCAUAACGGAAGAAGAUCAGGAGACUUGAGAGCCAAGGAAGGGGGCCCCACAAGCCCUCACCCCGCGGCUAGGGUGGAGGCCGCGACCCACAGGCUUGUGGGCCCCCUGGACCUCCUUUUCCCUAGGGUUUGCACCUAUAUAUCCCCAAAAAUUCCACAAAAAAUGAGGAGAUCAUCGAAAGUACUUUUCCGCCGCCGCAAGCUUCUGUCUCCGGAAGAUCCCAUCUGGGGCACGUUCUGGUGCCCUGCCGGAGGGGGAUUCGGACACGGAGGGCUUCUUCAUCAACACCAUGACCUCUCCGAUGAUGCGUGAGUAGUUCACCAUAGACCUACGGGUCCAUAACUAGUAACUAGAUGGCUUCUUCUCUCUCUUGGAUCUUCAAUACAAAGUUCUCCAUGAUCUUCAUGGAGAUCUAUCCGAUGUAAUCUUCUUUUGCGGUGUGUUUGUCGAGAUCCGAUGAAUUGUGGAUUUAUGAUCAGAUUAUCUAUGAAUCUUAUUUGAGUUUCUUCUGAUCUCUCUUAUGCAUGAUUUCAUAUCCUUGUAAUUCUCUUCGAGUUGUGGGUUUUGUCUGGCCAACUAGAUCUAUGAUUCUUGCAAUGCGAGAAGUGCUUGGUUUUGGGUUCAUACCGUGCGGUGACCUCACCCAGUGACAGAAGGGGUAGCGAGGCAUGUAUCGUGUUGUUGCCAUCAAGGGUAAAAAGAUGGGGUUUUCAUCAUUGGUUUGAGAUUAUCCCUCUACAUCAUGUCAUCUUGCCUAAGGCGUUACUCUGUUCGUCAUGAACUCAAUACACUAGAUGCAUGCUGGAUAGCGGUCGAUGUGUGGAGUAAUAGUAGUAGAUGUAGAAAGUAUCGGUUUACUUGUCUCGGACGUGAUGGCUAUAUGUAUGAUCAUUGCCUUGCAUAUCGUUAAGACUUUGCGCGGUUAUAUCAAUUGCUCGACAGUAAUUUUUUCACCCACCGGAAUACUUGCUAUUUUGGGAGAAGCCUCUAGUGAACACUAUGGCCCCUAGGGUCUACUCCACACCAUAUUUUCAGCCUUACACUUUUUACUUUGUUGCACUUUUCGCCUUCAUAUCUUACUUUGCAAACAAUCUUGAAGGGAUUGACAACCCCUUUAUAGCGUUGGGUGCAAGCUCUUUUGUGUUUGCGCAGGUACUCUUGACUUGAAGAGAUUCUCCUACUAGAUUGAUACCUUGAUUCUCAAACUGAGGGAAAUACUUACUGCUCCUAUGCUACAUCACCCUUUCAUCUUCAAGGGAAAAGCCAACGCAAGCUAGUCUCCGUCAACGUGUCAAUUUCUGGCGCUGUUGUUUGAGAAGUAGCAGAAGGAUUUCUGGGGCCGUUGCCGGGGAGGAUCAAGUCAAGAACUCAUCCAAGUAGGUGUCACAAAUUCAUCUCUUGCAUUUACUUUGUUUGCCAGUUGCCUCUCGUUUUCCUCUCCCCCACUUCACAAUUUUCCUUUUUCGUUUGCCUUUUUAGUUCGCCCUUUUCUUUCACUUGCCUUUCCUUUGCUUGUGUGCUAUGUGCCUUCAAUAUGCUUGCAUCUUCACUUGGUGAAAAUCUAGUGAUAUGGAUCCUCAUCCACUUAUGUUGAUCCAAUUAUGUUGAUCCAAUUGCUAGUGAAUUAAGUGCACUUGACUAUCUUUAUGGAGUUUUGCUUGAGAUGCGUGAAUCUGAAAAUCAUGAUGAGGAAAUUUAUGAAGUGAUUCACGAGGGCUCCUUGAAUGAAAAGCAUGAUUGCAAUGAUUUCAUUAUAAAUUCUAUUAAUGACAAUCAUGCUAAAAAUAUGCAAAACCCUAAGCUUGGGGAUGCUUGUUUUGCUAUGUCCACUACUUGUUGCAAUGAUAUUUGCAAUAUGAUCGAAAGUUGGUUUGGAGAAGUCAUGACUUUAGUUGAUGAUAAUCCCACUAUUUUUGAAGAGCGUCAACUUUGCAUGCAUGUGGAUCAUGAAAAGAAUAUCCUUUGUGAUAGCUAUAUUGUUGAAUCUGAAUAUGAUCCCACAUGUAAUUGCUAUGAGAGAGGAAAAUAUUGUGGUAGAAACUUUCAUGUUACCAAAUUACCUCUCGUUAUGUUGAGAUUGCUAUUGUCUCUUUCUUCUUCCUUGCAUUUGGUAACUAUAUUGGUUGUCUUGACAAUCUGUUUUCCUAUAAAAUGCAUAUGCAUAGGAAGUAUGUUAUACUUAGAUGUGAUUUUCACAUGCUUUAUGAUGCUCUCGUUGUGCUUCAAUUCUUGUAUUUUGUGUGAGCAUCAUUGAUUUAUCAAUGUCUAGCUAAGGGCGUUAAACAAUAGCGCUUGUUGGGAGGCAAUCCAAUGAAUUUAUGUUUUUCUUUCUGUUUUGUUGCAUCCACACCAUCACAAUUCUGUUGUGAUUGUGUUUUUUGUGUUUCUUUUUGUGUUUGAGCCAAGCAAAACCUUUAUGACUAGUCUUGGUAAUGGUUGUUUGAUCCUGCUGGAAAGGGACAGAAACUUUUCGCUCACGAUAUGAUUUUUAAUUUUUAUUCAGAAAAAGCUUUUGAGUUGAUUCUUUUUGCUGAUGGUUGAUACGCCUUUUCCCCAGGCCUUCGUAAUGUUUCAGAUAUUUUGAGGUACCAGAAGUAUACGAAGUGUACAGAUUGCUACAGACUGGUCUGUUUUUGACAGAUUCUGUUUUUGUUGAGUUGGUUGCUUGUUUUGAUGAACUAUGGUUAGUAUCGGGGGUAAUAGCCAUGGAAAAGUGAGAAUACAGUAGCCCAACACCAAUGUAGAUAGAAUUCNNNNNNNNNNNNNNNNNNNNNNNNNNNNNNNNNNNNNNNNNNNNNNNNNNNNNNNNNNNNNNNNNNNNNNNNNNNNNNNNNNNNNNNNNNNNNNNNNNNNUUUUUGCACAACUAUGGAUCCACAUAUCAGGAACCUCGAAGAGGAAGAACUUCUCGAAGAUAUAAUCAAAGACGGCCCCGACGUUGAACCAGCUGAAUCUCCGCUGUCAUAUCUAAACCCCGACGUUGGAAUGGAGGUCGAGCGACACGAAGAUGAAGCCGAUGGGGCAGGAGAUAGGUCCAAUGACGGAGAAGGUGAUAGCUCCACUGAUGGAGAAGCCGGUGAAUAAAAAAUAAAGUCCGGCGAGGUAUACAUAUGAAGUUCGACAAUCACUUGUAAUAUGUGAAAAAUAUUGGAGAUAGCUCUAUAUUGUAUACAUAUACAUUCAUUUGAUGAAUGUUUCUCCCUUUUAGGCCUCCACAUCGAGCAAAACUACGAAACGAGGCCCGACUAGAAAGUUGGAUGCACAGACGCAUUACACCUUUGAGGUGAUAUUGCCUACGGGUGAACCCAAGCUUCCUAACAAUGCUGCUGACACAUUCAACAAGCAAUGCAGAGUUCUCGUUAGGGAUCACGUCCCGAUCAGCGUUCGGGAGUGGAACAAGCGCAAAGGGGCAGCCGAUAGUGACUAUGUCGCCGAAAGGUACAAAGAUAAUCUUUGGAAUGAGCUCAUGUCACAUUUCAACCUGCCAGAAUGUGAGAAUGAGAUGCCUUCGACCCAUUAUCGAGACCCUUGGAACAGUUCCAAAGCCUGCAGGACAUGCUCCAAGGGUAAUUUCAAUCAUUCUUGCGCUCUAUCGGUCUCUUUCGAUGAUUUUCUGAUAUAUCAAUUAAUGAAAAACUUAGCAAAUCGUUAUCCUUGUCGGACAGGGUUUGGAAGCGGUUCAAGUGCGUGACUCCCGGUAACUUUCCUGAGAAGCUGACCUUUAGAGCGGCUCAGGUAAGUAGUAGUAUGAUAUACUUCUAUUUUCAAUACAUUUAUGAUGCUGGAUUAUUAUUUUGAUUAUAUAUAUUCUAUUCUCGUAAAGUGCGACCAGCAGCCACGGGGAACGCAUCUAUGCGGAUACUAUGUUUGCGAGACCAUUCGCACGUUUACCUCUGACCACAAGGAUCACAGAUUCGACGUAAGCAAUGAACAUUCACACCUCUAUUUUUACCCGUCAUUCUUUGUUAUCAUGAUUGAUAUUCAUAUUCAUCUCCUCUUUUUAUAUAGUACACGGCCAUGAGGACGAAUGUCCUACCAGAGCAACGCGCGAUUGCUGUUGCAGAGGAGCUUGCGACCUUUCUGAGGACAGAAGCUAUAAAUGACAAAGGACGAUUUAGUGUAGCUAGGGGCCAUUACUGAUGUUCGUCCAUGUAAUCGAAUAGACGGGCUCUAGUCCCGAUAAUUCAGAUCUCCAUAUAAUUGUAUAUAUAUGUUCGCUUGUAAGAUAAGUUAAUCUUAUAUAGGGGGGGGGGGGGGGGGGNNNNNNNNNNNNNNNNNNNNNNNNNNNNNNNNNNNNNNNNNNNNNNNNNNNNNNNNNNNNNNNNNNNNNNNNNNNNNNNNNNNNNNNNNNNNNNNNNNNNCCUUUCCAACCUAUGCGAUUUGUGAUGUAUCUACUUCCACUAGCUCACACUGCCCACAUUAACAAACAGUGGAGAUACUGCUCGGACCUUCGAAUUCACUAUUGAAUUCUUUCCAUCUAAGUCAAAGCUAGGUGAUGGUAGCAUGAGGGACAUAGAGAGAGAUAUAAUUAUGAAAUGUGAGGUUGAAUUCGGAGAGAUUCAUCCACAAGAACUACAGAGCAUGUUAGAGAAGGUCAUGAAGAAUGUGGUGGAAAAAAUUGGGAAGAUCAUUUUUGGGGUUGAGAGCAAGUGGUAGCAUUGUGACGGUUUGAUAAUUGGGAAGGCGAGUAUGUGAGAAUUGAGGAUGGCGAAGAGAUGGUUGAUGAAAUUGACCGACAAGAUGGCUAGACAAGCAAACCGACAACCUUUCAUGCAGUGAACGUUGAUCUCAAAUAAGAUUCUAAGGUUGGAUAUGUGACCUUAGAGUUGGUUUUACAGAUGGUAGACGAUGAUUGGACCUGAGAGAGGCAUAUACUGCCCAUGUGUACGGGUGAAGUGACAAUAUUAGCUGAGAGGGGUGAUGGAGAUGCACAAGAGGACUGUGAUGGUGUUGCAAGGGUUGUUUCUACUAAUUGAAAUUUAGUACAAUUAAAUGACUCUACUGAUUUGGUCAUUGCGCCAAUGGAUGUCAUUAAGAUGGCCAAAAAAAUUGGCAUUCCAGUGGAUGAUCAAGAUAAGGAGGAGAAUGGUAAUUCUAGUAUGCCUACUGAUGCUAACAGAGAUUUAUCUGAAGAUGUGGAUGGACAACUGAUGGAAUAUUCUACAAAUGAUGUAAAUGAUGCACAUGAUGACGAGUUGGUAAAUGUCUAUGAUAAGGAAACCCAUGUUAUUGCAGUAGGCAUGUUUUUCCAAAACAUGGAUGAGUUUUGUAUGUGUUCCAAGACUUAUGCAGUCAACCUUGAAUUUUAUGCCAAGACUAAGUGGACUGACACAAAGAAGUUUUAUGCAAGAUGCAAAGGUUUUGAUGGAAGUGUCAAGCCUUGCAAGUGGUACAUAUUUGCAAGACGCCAACCUGAUGCAAGUACCAUCAAGGUCAAUCAAAUCCCACAUCAACAUACUUGUAUUACAAGUUCACAAAGAGUAUCAACCAUGACAUCACAACUUUGGAUUAGAGAAAAGAUCACUCCAAUUUUAGUCAAUAAACCAAACACUACUUCAAAGAAACUUAAAGUAGACUUGGAAAAGCAGUACACCAUUAAGGUGAAGUAUAACACAAUGUGGUAGGCAAAACAAAUGGCAAUGAAACAAUUGUAUGGUGAUUGGACAAAUACUUUAAGGAUGCUUUGUAACUUCAAAGCAAAGGUGGAGAAGAGGUCACCUGGAAGUGUUGUGGAGAUAGAUACUAAGGUAACAGAGGACGGAAAGUCCUUUUCUAUAAGUUUUUUUAUGGCUUUACAACCUUGCAUCGAUGGCUUCAAGGCAGGGUGCCGUCUAUAUUUGAGCAUAGACUCAUCGUUUUUGACUCGCAAGUGGAAUGAUCAAUUGGCAGCUUUCAAUGCUUUAGAUGGUCAAAACUAGAUGUUCCAUGUUGCUAUUGGCUUGUUUCAGUCAGAGUAAGAGGUCUCAUGGACAUGGUUCAUGCUGCAGUUGAAAAGAUGCAUAGGGCCAAUAUCACCUUUGCAAGUCCACAUAGAUGCAUGUAAAGGGCUAGAAGAUGCAGUCAAGAAUGGUUUCCUCCAUUGUGACUAGAGGAGUGCUUCGGCCAUAUGUGUAUGAAUUUGAUGAAAAAAUAGAGGGGAAGAAUUUGGUCGCAUGUGGCCAACAACAAUAUCUUACACUAAACAAAUACAUUCAUAUCAUCUUGGUAAGAUAAUUACAACAUGCCAUGAAUUUGGUCCAUGUGUGAACACCUACCAUUCUCUAUUAUGGUAUAGGCCAGGAUUUAAAUUUUCCAUCAAGUAUGAUCAUAUCAACAACAAUUUGGUAAAAAGUUCUAGCAACAAGGUGAAGGAGGUAGAAAACUUGCAUGUGCAUGACAUGGUGCACCAAAUCAGGAUCAUGAUCAAGCGCUUUUGGUAAUUGACUAGAAGGAUCCGUGCUUGUUUGCAAGGGGAUAAGCUUCCUGUAGUGGUACAACAGGUGGUCAACAGGAGCAAAAAUCUUACACAUUUAUUUGUUCAAAAAUCUUCUGUCUCGGCUACUGAAGUUAGAGAUACCAAGACUAGAUGAAGGCAUGUUGUUAACACUGAUAUGCGUGAUUGCACUUGUUUGAAGUGGAAACACACUGGAAAACCAUGCAAUCAUGCCAUACUUUUCUUGGCCUCACAAUCGAAGAUAACCAUGCACCCAUAUUUGCACGAAUAUUACUCAAUGGUAAGGUUCAACGAUGCAUAUGAAACUCUAAUUCCACCACUUAAAGAUCAACAUCAGUGGAUUGAAGUGGAAAUUGAAUUUUCCCUCUGCCCUCCCCUAACAAAAAGAAAGGCCAGCAGGCCAAAAGGUAGUAGAUUCAAGACAUGGUUUGAGAAAGGUGGGAGUAGUAAAAAGGGGUAAGGAAAUAAGAUGCAAAGCCAAAAAUGUCCCAACAAGGUAACAAAAAUAGAUACAAGUUGUGCCAGGAAGUUGGACAACGAGUUGGAUCUCGCAUAUGUUGUUACACUCCUGAAAAUCGUAAGUAUGUGGGCUCGUGUUUGUGAUGUUUACUAUUUGGAUACAUUAUUUAAUUACUAACCAAUUGACCUACUUUAUUUUUUAGGAGGAAGCAUGGAGGUCGGUACCUUGUUGUUGAAGAUUGAUGGCCAAAGAAAAAGGCAAGAGUCAAUGGAUGUAGAAAAAAGAGAAGUUUUGGUGAAACAACGCAUAUUAGACCAUACUUGGAUGUUGUGGUGCAAGACGAGCCAAAUUUGGAUGUUUUGAAGCAAAAUGAACCAGACAUGGAUGUGGUGCUGCCAAAUGAGCAAGAUUUAUAUGUUAUGGUGCCAACUAAAGACACGAGUACCCCUGAAGAUAUUCCAACUUAUUUUGUGCAAACUAAGCCUAUAUUGGAACUUGUGUUGCCAAAUGAUGAUAUUGUAGCUAUUGUGUUGCAAAAUGAAGCCCAGCCAAUCCAGUGAAGAAAACCAAGAGCUUGAGUGAACUGGGUGUCGUAGAAUUGAAAACCAACAUUGGUAAAAAGAAGAAAAAGGGGAGUGGUAAGAAGAAGCUGAAGUGAUUUUUUUUCAAAUUUGUGUAUCGAUGUUGUGUUGUAAAAUAUAAACAUUGCAUGAAUUUGUGUAAUAUGGUAUUUUUACUUUGAUAUGUCUUUGUGUAAUACUAUUCAAAUUUGAGCCGAAAUUCAAAUUUGAAGUUGUUUGGUAUGUGGUAUUAGUGUUACAAUGAUUUUUGAACUAUUAUGCAUGGAGUUUAGGUGAUUAAUCAAAGCACUUUUAUUAUGUGAAACUCUCGACAUGAAAAAUGUGCUCCAAACGAGCUCUGAAUUCUAAGCAAGAUUUUUUUACCUUCUCUAAAUGAGAUAAAAAUUGAAACUUGACAUCUAGUAUGUGUAUAUAGGAGUUUUUCAUGAAAAUAUCCAUAUAGUCCAAGUUUCUAUUUUUACUAAUGGCAUGCUUCGCACUAAACCCAAGCUCUCUUCUCUUGCAAACCCUAUAGCCUCGUUCUUAUUAGCAAUGUUAUUUGAAGGUUUCUUCAUGAAAUUUUCGGUAGUACAAGUUUACUACUUUUCCUAGCAANNNNNNNNNNNNNNNNNNNNNNNNNNNNNNNNNNNNNNNNNNNNNNNUUUUAUUUUAUUUUUUCAAGCUAGUUAAGCUCAACCCUAACCCUUGAAAACCUCUCAAAAUCCCUCAUAAAACUCAGCCUAGGCGUUCGGGUAUUUUGGUUAUUUCGGUUCGGAUAGUUCAGGUUAUGGAUAAUUCGGAUACUCAAAAAUAGGAACCAAAAUUUUUUAUUACAAAAAAGUACCCGAACCCUAAUUACCCAAAAUUUACGUUCGGGUAAUUCGGGUACCUAAAAUACCCAAAAUAUUCGGAGCACUUAUCAAAUUUUGGUAUGAAUAAAUUAGGUAGUGUGGGUUUUUUGGAUGGUCUGGCUAUUUUAGUUAGUAUAUGGGUAACAUGUCAGUGUAAUAAUAGCACGAAUAAUUUGACUAGUAUGAAUAAUUCGGGUAAUAUGGUUAUUUCAGGGUUUUUUCAGACUGCAACCCGAAUCCUAACCCGAAAACUGAAUAGCGAAAAAAAGAGAACCAAACCCUAACCGAUACCCGAAUUACCCGACAAUUCGGGUAAUUCGGUUCGGUUCGGUUCGGUUUCGGAUAACGGGUUAGGGUACCCAAAUGCCCAGGCUGGCAUAAAACCACUUAGAAGAGGAAGAUAACGACACAUACUACUUUUGCGGAUUAGGUGAUACUCCUGACCCAUAGAUCAAACUGCCACGUUGUUCAGAAACAAACCACAUGUGGUAUAACUAUCCUGUAGAUAAGAUAUGCCAUUAGUGUGCAUGUUUUCGCCUAAGCAAUAUGAUAAGGCCAUAUCGAACUGCCAUAUGCAAUCAUGUAUACACUGAGCGAAUAAUGCAGCUAAAUUCUUUGCCCGAAUAAUGCAGAGUUGGUGUUGGCCGUAUAAUUUUAUGUCGAAUACGCUGUACCAAACUGGUAAUCCGAUCAAUGUGAGAACGCUCCACGAAUCCAUGUUAAGCACAUGCGGAAUACUAGAUGUUUAUGUCCAUGCUAAUCUUUGUGGGGUAACCUUUUCCGACGAUAAUGAUUCCCAUAGAGAUGUUAGGCACGAAUUUUGGAGGUUUUAAGCCAGGGUACGUACAGUGGCUCCAAAACCUCUUGUGGCUAUAUAUAUGUGCAAUGCUGGUAUGGUUCUCUUGCAAGCCACGGCCAACACGAAAAAGGUGAGGCGGGAAGCACCAAUUAACAUAGUGGCUAGAUUUUCACUCAAAAAAAGAAACAAAUAGUGGCUAGAUAUUAGCAAUGGCUUCUGCUUCUUGCCUUAGCUUACUGGUGCUCGUGGCAAUGGCCUCCGCGGCGUGGGCGCAGCUGUCGCCGACGUUCUACCUCGCGUCGUGCCCGAGCGCGCUGUUCAUCAUCCAGACCGCGGUCCAGGCCGCCGUAAACAGCGAGCCCCGCAUGGGGGCGUCCCUAGUCCGGCUGCACUUCCACGACUGCUUUGUGGAUGCAAGUCUCACAUAACCUUAGUCAGUUGUACUAUUAUAUAUAUGCAAGGACGUUAAUCAGCACAGACAAAUGAUUAGCAUUUCUGUAGCUUUUUCCAGGGAUGUGACGGGUCCGUUCUGUUGGCGGACACGGGGAGCUUCGUCGGCGAGCAGGGGGCUGCUCCCAACGCCGGUUCCAUUCGAGGCAUGAACGUCAUCGACAGCAUCAAGGCGCAGGUGGAGGCCGUGUGCGCGCAGACCGUCUCCUGCGCCGACAUCCUCGCCGUCGCCGCCCGCGACUCCGUCGUUGCGGUAAGCUCGAGCUCGAGUGCUCGACAGUUUACUCUGCUCCGGUGCAUGCAUGUGAUUCUGUACAUCGUCGAUGUGGCACAUGCUGAUAUGUAUGUAUACGUACGGUUUGAAACUAAAAUUCUGUGCAUGCCCUGCAGCUGGGAGGGCCGUCAUGGCCUGUUCUUCUCGGGAGGAGGGACUCCACCACCGCAAGCAAGACCAAUGCAGAGAAUGACCUUCCACCUCCUACCUUCGACCUCCAGAACCUCACGACCUCCUUCGCAAACAAGCAGCUCACCCUCACAGACAUGGUUGCGCUCUCAGGUACACACCAUCGACAUGAUUUCUCUCAACUCAAACUUUACUACUGUACAACGGCUCGACAUAUAGAGAGACGUCAAUUCUGACAGUACGGCGACGCAGGCGCCCACACGAUCGGACAAUCGCAGUGCCGGUUCUUCAGGAACAGGAUCUAUAACGAGGCCAACAUCAACACGGCCUUCGCAACGGCGCUCAAGGCCAACUGCCCCCAGUCCGGCGGCGACAGCAGCCUAGCGCCGCUGGACACGACGACGGCCAACGCGUUUGACAACGCCUACUACAGCAACCUGAUUUCCCAGAAGGGGCUCCUACACUCGGAUCAGGCGCUAUUCAACGGCGGCGGCGCCGACAACACAGUCCUGAGCUUCGCUUCCAGCGCGGCGACGUUCAGCAGCGCCUUCGCGACGGCCAUGGUGAAGAUGGGGAACAUCGCGCCGAAGACGGGGACGCAGGGGCAGAUCAGGCUCGUCUGCUCCAAGGUUAACUCGUAAUCUACGCACCGACACUCUGCAGCAGCGCAUGAACUAAAUAAGGCAGCGGUGGCCAGUAAUAGCACCUAGGAGUCCGUAGCGUGUGUAUGUGAGGUGGUUGAUAAUUGUAUGCGUGUAUGCGUGCAUGCGUGGACAUGUAUGUGUAAUCAACUCUCGAGCAAAAGCACAAGAGGAUUGCUUCCAUUUACCUCAACUAGCACAAAUAUCGUUGCAACGGACGACAUUGUUAUUACCUAUCUCAUGUGUUCACUUAUUUCAGUUUGUCCUGCCCUACUCUCCCCUUAUCUCCCUCGGAGAGGUCCUCUGGCACUCCGGAGAAUCAGCUUCUUCGCAUACAUCAAUGCACACGGCGUCAGACACGACCAGCGCCGAACCUUAUUGUUGACCGUACCUUGGAGUGAAGACGGCGCCGUCGCCGUCGCGCACACGUUUAUGAGAUGAGGGAUGACACCACUUGACCGGCCAACUUAACCCUCUCAACGAGGAUAGCUAGCAUAUCAGCCACGAUGUUAAACAAAAUAGGGGAUGCCCCUUGGGGGAGCCCCUUCUUGGUCUGAAAGUAGUUGCCCCAUCAUCAUUAACCUUGAUGGCCACACUACCUCCAGACACAAAACUAUCUACCGAUCGACACUAUUUAUAUGAAAACCCUUGAUGCGUAAUGUUUGCAACAGGAAGGGCCAUUUAACUUUAUCAUAGUCAUUUCCGAAGUAUUUUAAAAACGAUCCAUUCAACUUUUUUACGGUGAAGCUCGUGUGUAGUUUCAUGCAGUAUCAGAACUUCAUCUAGUAUAUUGUGACCUUGCAUGAACGCUGUCUGAGUGGGUUUGACAACAUGGUCGGCCAUCCCAUUCAGCCGAUUAGUCGCGACCUUCAUAAAGAUUUUAAAACUCACAUUUAGUAGGAAAAUCGGUCUAUAUUGUUAAAUCCGACUAGCUUCCUUAGUCUUAGGUAGUAGGAUAAUUAAUUUCCCCAAAGUUUAAACGAGAGAUGUCAAGUUCCUCGGCAUGCAGUUCAUUAAACAGCUAAAACAGGUCCGCCUUGAUCAUAUCCCAAAAAAUUGGUAAAACUCCGCUGGAAAACCAUCCGGUCCCGGAGCUUUGUUAUAUUCCAUAUGAAACACCGCGGUUCGAAUUUCCUCCUCAGAGAACUUCUCUUUCUUGUAGAUGCCAGCAGUGUGCAUAGCCCAUCCACGAAGGAAACGACGCAGAGCGCGAAUGCGAUUAUUCCAUCGUUGAAUUGAUGUAUUACCACGAGGUUUAUGUGCCCACACUUUUUAACCAGUUCACGAAAUCCCUCUCUAGUGAGCCAUCCCAGUUCAAAUUUAAACUGAUGGCGGUUGACACUUGGAGCUGCCUGGCCGAAAUCGGUUAACAAAGGAGCGUGAUCCGAUAAGGCCUCAAUUCUUUCUAGUACACGAACCUAUGCUAGGGGAUAUUUAUAUUCCCAGUCGGUGGUAACUAGAACCCGGUCAAGCUUUUUAAAAGUUGGAACUGCUCUGUUAUUGGCCGACGUGUACUGCCGACCAGACAUAGUGAGUUCCCGCAAGUCUAGGCUAUAAUAACAACAUUAAAAAGAAUGAUUUUGUCUUCGCGAGAGGCACGGCCGUGUCUCUCAGAAAUGAAAAAAAACACAUUUUCUGUUUUUUGCGAGAGGCACGAUUUUGCUUCCACGAUAGACACGGCCGUGCCACUCGGAAAGGAAAAAACUCAUGUUUUUUUUUCUGAGAGACACGGUUUUGCUUUCGCGAGAGUUACAAUUUUACCUUCAUGAGAGGCAUGCCCGUGGCUCUUGGAAAGGGCAAAACGCGUUCUUUUUCGCACGGGUCGUGCCUCUCGAAAAGGAAAAAGAACACGAAAAACGCGUUUUUGUCCCUUUUUUUUGAAAAAAAAUGUUAAAACAUAUCAACAUGAGAUCUAGUUUUAAAGAUCUUGACGCGAGAAAAACCCAAUGAUGAAAAUGAUUCUAGAUGUGGACGCAAGGUUUAAAAGAUAAAAGAUUUGAAAAAUAGAAAUAUACGGGAAAAAAACUCACAGACUACGAUAAAUGGCACGCAAUUAGUCACUUGUCGCAACCUGGGGAAGGCGGGAGUGAUGAUUUCAGAAAGAAGCCGAAUGCCGUGAGGCUAGAGGAUGAUUUAGCCCAAGUUGUUCGUUGCGGGCCUGCUUUCGAGAGAGUGCUGCGGGACUGCAGUAUAGUAACUGCCUGAUCUGCUGAAUAAAAAAAUUCUGAAAACAAAAAUAAAAUCUGUUGAACCGAGUCGUGUCACUUUCAUCGAACGCGACCUGUGCGCAAGAUGACGGCGCUGCAGCCAAAGCGAGGAUGAAUUGCCUUUUUUUGCAAGGGUAAAAGAGUUUUAUUCGAUAUGAAUAGGGUUAGAAUCAAAAGGCAGAAGUUCAUCCGCGUAUGAUGGACCUCUGCCAGAGACUGAAUUGCCUUGCACAGAAGCAAACUCUCUACGAUUGGUUAGGCCGAACGGUUCGUCUAUGCAUCUAUGCGUAGCUCCAAGUUGUAUCGUCAUCUGCAAUAGCAUCCAUGGAGUUCGCUCCAUAUAAUUGUUUUUUUUUUGAAAAGGAGGAACGUUCCAUAUAAUUGUUGAUGAGCUGAUAUAUGGAUCGUGCGUGUGGCCGUAUGUUUGUGUGUACAUUGGGUACAUGAUAGGCCAUUUACGGUGCGAAAUGGAUUUUGUUUUGGGAUUACUCCCAAGUCAGUUGUGGGAGAUAGCACAUCAUGAAUUUAAAGGUGAGGGUAUCCCCUCCUGUUAGGGAUCUUCUUUUGGGGUUAUGAUUCCAAACCUCUUAUAAAACAUGUAUUGCUCUUCGGUUAAGCUGGUGGUAGGACGAAACGCUUGUGUAGAGGGACUAUGACGAUUGAGCAUAACACUCGUUUGCUGACCCCGGGUUUGGAUCACAUACAGUUUUCUUUCCAUUGCUUGACAAAAAAGCAGAUUAAUUCCAUUUACAAAUAAAUAAAUCUAAGAGCAUUUCUAAGCACUCGAUGCAGAGGCCGGGGCCUAGCCUCCUUUUCUAAAAAAAGAGCAUUUCUAACUGAACCACUAUAUCAACUUACUUGAAGGCGGGCGCAAGCCUAUUCCAGGACUGACCCCCUAUAUCAACUUACUUUACUCCAUUAAGUUUGACCUAGCCGAUCCCCUAUACGGCUUAAUGGAGUAAAAAAAAUAUUCCAUCCCUAAAAUUUGGAGUAUAUUUAUUACAUCCCUACCCAAUCGAGUAAAUCUGGCCCCUUUUUUCCCCGCCUCCUCCCCUCCCCACACUGCCAUUAGCAUGCCCCCUGUCCUUCCCUACCUCUCUGGUGGUUGUACAUGGUAGCCGCCUAUCCGCAGCGCGGAUUCGCACCGGCACGCACGCGGGUCAUCCUACGCAGGGCUCUUCAUCGAGCCACCUCGUCGGUCGCUCGAUUCGCUCGCCGCCACGCCCCUACGCCGGUUCAAGGACUUCCCAGUCCUCCCUCAGGCCCAGCCCCCGCCGAGGUCCUAUCUCGGCGUCCGAUAGCGGCGGUGGGGGACGUUGGUCGUCGAGAUGACGGAUCGGGAGACCCUCACCCGCCGGAGGCUCGGUAGCUUCCAGACGACCGAACUCGCGGUCAUGGAUUAUGACCGCCGGUAGGUCCGCUACCACGGCGCGGCGGCUCGACUCAAGUUCCCCUUCGACACACGUUUGAUCGACCUUGUCUCGCCGGAGCCGGGGGCUGGAGAGCUCGGCUAUGGCGUCGGACGACCGCGAGGCGAGGGAGCACCUCGACACCGAGGCCGCCAACGAGGCCUACAUGCAAGAGCUCCGCCGACAGCACCCAGAGCUCGUGGAGGCGGAGCGGAUGAUCUUUGCCGACGCGAAAGGCGGCGAGGUUAUCAUUCUCUCCUCCGACCACAAGGUUGAAGGCGGCGAGGGCGGCGACGCGGAAGGUGGCGAGGACGAGGAGAUCGACGUCCAUGAGUGAAGGAGUGUCUUGCCCGACGACGGCACUGGCUCAUGCCCGGAUUGCGGCACACCGUCCCUGACGAGGAAGGAUUGACGCGACGUCACCUUCGACCAAAACUAGUUUAGUUUAAAUAUACGUUUUAUGUUCGAUUGUGCGAAAUUAUAUAUGUUUAUGUUUGAAUGCAUGCAAUUUUCGGUUUAAAUUGCUUUGAAUUUCAUCAAAUUAAAGUUUACUACGUUAAGUUUAGGGGAUCGGCUACAACAGCCAAAAAUUAGUGAAGUAUAUAUAUUCCAUUAAGGGUUUUACUUUGUUAACUUUUAGGGUAUCGGCUAGAGAUGGCCUAACAAUCUUAUAUUCCCUCAAAGCAGGUUCCCAACCAGACCUCUACGUAUAAAGUAAAAACCAUUAUAUAUGAUGAUGAAAAAUAUAUUAAUUAAUUAUCGAGAUUCUGUACGCCAUUAUUGAUUCGCAGAUAUGUGUUUCUCUCUCCCACGGGCAGCGAACGGAUACAUGAUAAGGCCAAAGCAGACAAAGAGAAAAUUGUUCGAGUACAUGAUAUAUACCCUACUGCCGGAAAAAAUAUGCAGGGCUGGUGUUGGCCGUAGCGAUCCAAGCACUCAAGCUGGAGGUUGCCACACUUGGAUGCAAGUGUCUGACCCUUCUAAAUAAUCGGCGGGUUUGUCCGCAUCCGUAUCCCCUAUCCAACAUCUAGCUGGCCACACGAAGGCAAUGGACAGAUCGUGGAUGCCGGGUCGACGUCGAUCGUCAGCCAUCAUAGACCAAUCGGCCAUCUGUUUUGGAUGCUUGCUAGACUAAUCAGACGUAAAAUUUGGAUGCUUUCUGGCAACUGGGAGACGGGGCAGCCGCACGUGAGCUUCAUUUUUGGCUAUAAAUAUGCAUGCAGCGCUGCAUUAUCUUGCAAGCCACAGCCCACAGCCAGAUAACAAAGUGCAGGUAGCACGCAUAGCCCUGGACUAGUAGCUAGGUAGCUAGCUAACCAUGGCCAUGGGUUCUGCCUCUUGCAUUUCUCUGGUGUUGCUCGUGGCUCUGGCCACGGCGGCGUCGGGGCAACUGUCGUCGACGUUCUACGACACGUCGUGCCCCAGGGCUCUGGCCACCAUCAAGAGCGGCGUGGCGGCCGCCGUGAGCAGCGACCCCCGCAUGGGCGCGUCCCUGCUCAGGCUUCACUUCCACGACUGCUUUGUCCAAGCAAGUAUCACAUAAUAUAUCGGCUCUUUUUUCCUUUAACUAACUUGCUUGAUCAGAAUAAUAACAGCCCGGAUUAACCAAUUUUACACCGUGGAUUAAUAGUAUAUGUUAUGUUACUUUGGCUACAGGGCUGUGAUGCAUCUGUCCUGCUGUCUGGCAUGGAACAAAACGCGGGUCCGAACCUGGGGUCGCUGAGGGGCUUCGGCGUCAUCGACAGCAUCAAAACCCAGCUGGAGAGUAUAUGCAAGCAGACCGUCUCUUGCGCCGACAUCCUCACCGUCGCCGCCCGGGACUCCGUCGUCGCCGUAAGAACAUCUUUGUACCACACAAAGUUACAUGAUCGAUGCUACGUACUCCCUCCGUUCAUAACUAUAAAUCUUUCUAAAGGUUUUUAUUAAUGGACCACGUACGAAUGUAUAUAGAUAUAUUUUAAAGUGUAGAUUCAAUCGUCAUUUUGCUUCGUAUGUAGACUUUUAGUAAAAUACUCCCUCCGUUCCUAAAUAUAAGUCUUUUAAGAUAUUUUACUAGGAGUCUAUAUACGAAGUAAAAUGAGUGAAUCUAUACUCUAAAGUAUGUCUACAUACAUUCGUAUGUAGUCCAUUAAUGAAACCUGUUCAAAGACUUAUAUUUAAAAACGGAGGGAGUAGGUUAAAAAACUUAUAUUUAGAAACGAGCGGAGUAGAACUUAAUUUCUUGCUUGGUCUGCAUGCAGCUUGGAGGGCCGUCGUGGACUGUCCCGCUGGGGAGACGGGACUCCACCACCGCAAGCGCGGCGCUGGCAAACAGCGACCUCCCUGGCCCUGGCUCCAGCCGGUCGCAGCUCGAGGCCGCGUUCCUCAAGAAGAACCUCAACACGGUCGACAUGGUCGCGCUCUCUGGCGCGCACACCAUCGGCAAGGCCCGCUGCUCCACCUUCCGGACUCGGAUCUACGGCGGCGACACCAACAUCAACGCCGCCUUCGCGACGUCGCUCAAGGCCAACUGCCCACAGACAACCGGCUCCGGCGACGGCAACCUAGCGAACCUCGACACGACCACGCCCAACGGGUUCGACAACGCCUACUACACCAACCUCCUGUCCCAAAAGGGGCUCCUGCACUCGGACCAGGUGCUCUUCAACAACGACACCACCGACAACACGGUAAGGAACUUCGCGUCCAGCGCGGCGGCCUUCAGCAGCGCCUUCACGACGGCCAUGAUCAAGAUGGGAAACAUCGCGCCGCUCACCGGGACGCAGGGCCAGAUCAGGCUCAGCUGCUCCAAGGUGAACUCGUGAUUGACGCACGAGCUACAAUCCGGCAGCUCUCCAGCAUCACAUGUCAAUGAAUAAGGCCCAAGAACAGUGGUCAAUACAAAUCAGUAUCUACCAGCACUUGAAACGUGUAUUUAAGUACGUGCACCAGCAAAGCAUGCGUGCAUCUACACAUGUAACGGUCGAAUUAUCAAUUUCCCAUGCAAAGGCAAGGGGAAAUUACCAUCAAGCCUACUUACACUUGUACAUGGAAUGAAGAGGUGCUCUUCUCUUUGUGAAAUUUGGCAUGAGGUGGUCGUGCUCGAUCAUUUUACGAAAAUCAUUAUUUUUUCUCAAUGUUAAGACAAAACUAGAGCACAUGAACAAUCGUGCCUUGUGCGCUCCCGGUCAAAUAGGCGUGGCANNNNNNNNNNNNNNNNNNNNNNNNNNNNNNNNUCUCGCGUGUUUUCUUGUUUCUUUUCCACUGUUUUACUUCUUCCGUUUCUCUUGGUUCUUCUCUUCUUUUUUAAACUUCCCAUUUUCACUUUUGUUAUUUUGGAGCAAAUAUGUAAGAAAUUCUUCAAAAAAUAAUUUCACAUACUAUACCCUUAUAGAAUAAGAGAAUUAUAAAUAAAAAAUGACUACCACUCGCUACGAACAAUGGACUUAGCACAACUUUGCAUUUAGCAAGUCUAAGGAAAGCCAGCCACGACAACACAACUACAAUACCAAAAAACCUACCCAAAAUCGAGAACCUCCCCGCGUCUCAAUCAACAUCGGUCACCACUGUAGAACAUCGGCUCCUGUCAAGCUUCUCUUGUCGACGCACCAACCCCCUUGAUGCCUAAAGGUGGUGGCAAGAGGAUGACAGGACUCGAUUUGACCCGAGGAAGACACCGUUUUGAAGUCAUCAUACGGCGGCCAUACAUAGCACUAGAGAAGAACGAUCUGGGUGGCAGCAAACACCGGAAGAGCACAACCUAGAAACUCCAUAUCUCCCGGCAUGAUGCUCCCAACAGAGGGACGACAUAAAAAAUGAUCCCAAUAAAUAAGUUUGUUUAUUGUGAUUUUAUUCAUGAGCAACACGCAAGCAAUACCGGUGAAGCGCACAAUUUAGCUAGCACUACAAGAAAUGCAUUUGGCUUAUAGUCGCCUAAAAGCCAUGUACGUAUAUAUACACUCGGCUUAAACAACCACAAAGCCCGAGUGUGCACAUGACAGUUUAGUUAUAAACCGAGUGUCAUCAUGUGGCAUACUCGGUGUACAAGUGACACGUGGCAGAUGCACAAGCAGCCUGUCAGUGGUAGAAUGCCGGCUAUUGGCACACGGCUUAGGGCAUGUACAUCAAUUUAGACGGCUGUUGUCUCCAACGAUCCUGCACGUCAUCAAUAGACAGCCGUGAAAUCAUAUCAUACAAUAGACUGUCUUUUUUUAAAUCGGUAACAUCCGAAAAAUUGUAAAUAUGUUAAUUAGUCUGGGAAGUUAAUCUCAUCCAUCUCCGGCAGUUGCCUUCUUUUACAGACGCACCUAAUACAACGCUAGAAAACUAUCCUUAGCGAUCAAUUUUUAAGCACUCCAGACCGUCGUUAAUCCUACCGACGGGCUCUGUCUCUCUCCUCAAUUUCUCUCCUCCACGUCAUCUAAAAUCCUAGCUGUAACCCUUUCUAGACAGCUGAUUGUACAUCGUUGUACAUGCCCUAUACGUAAGCCGUAAAUCUUGUAGAGAUCCCGGCUUAUCCGUAACACUCGGCUUACUGGCGGCACGUCCGUUAGAUGCAGCCGUCCGUGCUCUCGCUUUAUACUCGGCUUACCUAUACGUCAUAUGCCCGAGAACUAGCACUGUUUAUUACACCUAAACUGAUCCAAUCCUAGUCGUGUGCUCUACGUCAUGUGUAAUACUCGGCUUACAGUUCGCCAUGGUUAAUAUGGCCUUUGUCGUGUAUGAAACAUACACGGAUUAGAAUGUCAUUUUUGGUAGUAUAGGAUGGCUACUACCUUGGAUAUCAACCUUCAUGUGUAGCUUAAUGGUCCUUCGGACCACCUUUGUAUCCCCAAAAAAUGACAUGAAAUAAAUUGCGUCAUUUCUCAAAAAGUUAAAAAAAAAUCUACGGUUGAGCCAGUUUGGACCGGUUUAAAUUCUUUUUCUACAUUCAUCUUUCGCGUUUGUUUCUAUCGUAGUAUAUUCAAAAUAAUAUCCCCCCCCCCCCCCCAAAAUUGAGGUAAUUUUAUAAAAAGUUUGUUGUGCACGUGAACGCAUUUUAUAGAAGUCAUAAAUAUUUGUUCUAGGCGUGGAGUGGUCGUGGAACUUCACUAGCGCUUAAGAAACUUCAGGGAGGCAACAACGCCACGUUACACCGGUGUUCCAAUAAAGGCUGGAAACGUCAUAAUUGUACGGCGUUUCAAUGUUUACAUGCAACGUCACGGCUUACGAUGUUUUUAAAAAGGGUCCGUGAAAUCUUUUCAGGUUGAGUUCGUUCUGUGAAUUCUUUUUGUAGUUAGGGUCGAAACAGUGAAUUUGUCCUCAAGAAAGCAUACAGCUAGCUGUGCGGCCUGACUAGUCAGUCUACCGCUCACCAGUCACCAUUCCCAGCGUGCGGUUUGGGAAGCCAUGCACUGUUGGCCGAAGGCGACGGCAGCGCAACAUGGCUGCACACCGGUCAAAACGAGGGUGAAUCGCCUUGGAACAACGCUCACUCCGCACUACUAUUCCUACGUAAAGCCAAACACGCACGUGGCUCCAGGUUUUGCCGAUUUUUGCGCGAUAAAUGCCAGGAGAGAUUGCUCAAGUUGGCCCUGUUGCGCUCCAAGGAAAAUGCAACGUUGGUGUUGGCGGUAGCGACUCGACUCAAGCAGUUGGAAGCUGCCGCAGCCUAAGCCUUGGAUACGUAGCGGACCGCUAGCGGCAUACCAGAUCCUAGAGACUAAGGUUGGACUAAUGGGACGUAAAUUAAUUUUGGAAACUCUAUCCCUAGUGGGAGACCAGUGGCCAUUUGCAUGUGCACGUGAGCUAAAUCUUUGCCUAUAAAUAUGCAUGCGAUGCAGUACUCUCUUGCACAAGCCACUGAGCCACCACCACUCCACACCAGUAAGAGGUGCAGGUAGCUUGUACUAAGGCGUAGCUUUGCUCUUGUAGCUAACUAGCUAGCUAACCAUGGCCGCCUCUGUCUCUUGCCUUUCUCUGGUGGUGCUCGUGGCUCUGGCUACGGUGGCGUCGGCGCAGUUGUCGCCGACGUUCUACGACACGUCCUGCCCCAGGGCCCUGGCCACCAUCAAGAGCGGCGUCAUGGCCGCCGUGAGCAGUGACCCUCGGAUGGGCGCGUCGCUGCUCCGGCUUCACUUCCACGACUGCUUCGUUCAAGUAAGUUGGCCACAUGCAUGCAUGCCCCCCCCCCCCCCCCCGCCACGUACCAUGUUUUGUUUCGGUUUUGCUUGCUAAACACUAUUAUCGUAUGUGAUGUGCAGGGCUGUGACGCGUCUGUUCUGCUGUCUGGCAUGGAACAAAACGCGGCUCCGAACAACGGGUCGCUGAGGGGAUUCGAAGUCAUCGACAGCAUCAAGGCGCAGCUCGAGGGUAUAUGCAAGCAGACCGUCUCCUGCGCCGACAUCCUCACUGUCGCCUCCCGUGACUCCGUCGUCGCCGUAAGAUCAUCUACAUCAUCGAUUGCAUGCUCGAUCGGCAUCUCUUACGCCAUCCCUAACCGUUUAUUCGUACCCUUCGCUCGCAGCUCGGAGGACCGUCAUGGACAGUCCCUCUCGGGAGAAGAGAUUCCAUAGAUGCAAACGAGGCGGCGGCGAACCUGGACCUCCCAGGCUUUACAUCUAGCCGGUCAGAACUUGAGAUUGCUUUCAAGAACAAGGGGCUCGACACGGUCGACAUGGUAGCCCUCUCGGGCGCGCACACCAUCGGCCAGGCGCAGUGCGGGACCUUCAAGGACAGGAUCUACAACGAGGCUAACAUCGACACCACCUUCGCCACAUCUCUCCGGGCCAACUGCCCCCGGUCCGGCGGCGACGGCAGCCUGGCGAAUCUGGACACGACGACGGCCAACACGUUCGACAACGCCUACUACACCAACCUCAUGUCCCAGAAGGGGCUCCUGCACUCGGACCAGGUGCUGUUCAACAACGACACCACCGACAACACCGUCCGGAACUUUGCGUCCAACCCGGCGGCGUUCAGCAGCGCCUUCACGACGGCCAUGAUCAAGAUGGGCAACAUCGCGCCCAAGACGGGGACGCAGGGCCAGAUCAGGAUCAGCUGC
rnacentral:lncRNA from 1 species